rnacentral:lncRNA from 1 species
ACCAUUGCUGCUCUGAGCGAUCUUUGACAAACAACCGAGCGACGACUAAGGAGAAAGACUCCGGAGAAUGCAUCCUGCUGAGCUGCCUAGCCUGGUCUCCCAUUAGUUUCCAGCUGAGCUUGUCUGAAAGCAUUGUCACGUCCUUCAGGUGUCCUUCCACCUGCUGCAUCAGGCAACCCAGGUUACUUGAAUCAGGCGAGUCUCUGUCUUUCAGUACCUGGACUCUUGCGAUGACAUAGGGCUUUGUUCUGACGACCUCCAGGACACGGAACCGGUCUCUGCAGACGCACGUCAGGAAGUAGCGGUCAUUGACGAGCUUAUCGCACUGAACGAUAUGGACCAUGCAUCCAACAUCGGCCAUCCUACUGUCUUUCCUGCUGGAGUAGAUGAUACCAAAGCUGUGGCCUUCCUGGAGUAGUAGUGUCUGCAUCAUGAUGCGGUAUCUGAACUCAACCGUCUGCAGCUGCAGCGUCUGGCCGGGGAAAACGACCGAUUGGUGCAGGAGUAUGGGGAUCUCAGUAGUCUGAUGAUCCUGAUGGGACUGGACAACCUCGUCGGGGCCGCCACGCGGAUUGGCUCUGCAUUUCAGGACUGGUGAACUCUGAAGGCCAUUCUUGGUGGCGAUUCUUGCUUGCGGUCUUGAGUGAGGUUUUGGCUGAUAACAAUAAGACUUGGAGUUGGAGGGACUGCUGCAACUGUCUGGCCUUGCUAAACUGGGUGGAGCUUGCAGAGUCUUAAUGGCCAUGUACUUGAAGUCCUCUUUCAGUGAUGAGCCUGUUAAGACAUAUCCACAGACAAAGAAAGUGAUGUCUUCAGUAACCCUCUGGCAGCAACAUGAGUGCCUAGUGUCCAGUUAUAUGGCUACUGAGCUAUCUUCAAACAUCAACGAGUAAAGGAAGUCAAUUUCAGAUAUAAACACGUGCAACAGCUAAACAAAAAUUAAAUCGACACGCUAAAGAAAAUGUUAACACUCUCAUAAUAUGCAUGUUUCCUGAAAAGGCAUUAACACUCCCAUAAUUGCAGUGGAAAAGCUCUGCAGCAGUUACACUAGAGAGUUGGAUAAAAGCUUCUGCUAUUUCCAAAGAAAAUCGGUCCCUAUGGAGCACAAAUACUACUAAUCAUCUGACGCAAGUUUGUAGUGGAACAGAUUCAAGGUGCUUUCUAGUAGUGCUACCCCUCCGUCCCAAAAUAAGUGUCGUUGAUUUAGUAUAAAUUGAUACAAUUUGAGGUAUUAUCUAACAGAAGAUAAACGAAGAAAAAAAAACAAGUACUAUAAACCCUGGCUCUUGGAGACGCAGCUCGCGGCACCAGUUUGACGGACCAGGUGUGAGAGAGAAGAUCCACUUGAGAAAGACGGCAGUGUAUGGAUAAGGCGAGGAAAACCCGCUGGAUCAUAUCUUCAUACCAUAGCCAACAAAGGAGACAGAACACGCGGAGAAGAAAGCGAUCAGCAUGCAGGAAGGAAGGGAUGCAGCGCCGCCGUUUACCUUUUAUGGCCCGGAAGGUUUCCAGGAGGAGCAGAGCAGCAGAUCGGGGUCGGAGAGCAGCAGGGGAGGAGCCCGGCAGAGGAGGGAAGAGGAUAGAGUGAUAGAGCCUGCCACUUAUAUCAACUGAAUAUGUAGUUUAUAAGUGGAUUGCGAAAGCCCAUUAGAUCUAACCAAUCUUCUAGACCGGUGGGUGGUGGCCCCCACGCCGCAACUACUUAGUUGAUCCAAUUGUAUAUACUCAUGUUCCAUAAUGUGGUGCUUAUAGAUUUUUUGAAAAGUAAAGCAUCAUAAACUUUGAUCAAAUUUGUGGAGAAAAAACAUUUACAUAUGGAAUGCUAAAUUUAUAUGAUUUGAUUCAUUAUAGAUGAACUUUUAUACAUUAUAUAUUUUGGGUCGCUUCAGUGCUAGUAGUCGUCGUUACGUGGUCUACGGAUCUAGAUAUAAUUUUUUAUUAUUUUCAGUAUUGGUUGUACUGUCAUGAUUGAAUAUGAAUAGAUUGAAAGUUUUCUGAAAAAAGUACUUAAUCAAAUUUUAUAAUGUUUCAUUUGUCAAAAAUCUAUACACACUACAUUAUAGAACGGAGUACUCAUCAUGAGAUCAGAUGAUUGAAUUGAUGAUGCCAAAGUGCCCAUAUCACCAAUUUUUUAUCGUGUAGCACCCCAACGCAACAGACAACGCUUGUUAUACAUAACUUCAAGUAGGUAGCUAGCAGCAAGCGAACAACAGUGCGCCGCACAUUGUUUCCAACGUACAGCUAGAGCUAGCACCCCUUUCUCUUGAGGAUAAGGGAGUGGCGGCGAGGUGGAUCUGGAGAGGAGUCGAGUCUUGCACUUGUCUCCUCGUCGGGGCAUGAUUCAGAAAAGAUUAGCCAAGGCGGCAUCACUUGUCGCACACGCACACGCUUGAUCCUUCUUGGCCAUCGUGCGUGCGUGGCUCUAACAAGAAACGGCUUGGGAUUCUUCUAAUGGCAACUUCCCGGAGAUUCAGAACGGGGCUUCGUAGGCAUCGACACGUAAAGGGACCAAAUGCGUUAAAGCAUCUCCAACAGGUCCCUUUCCGUGGAAAGAUGACACUUCCCGUAAACAUUCCCCUAAACUUAUCGAAAAAGGCUUUCGCCCCGCUUUAUAGAUAAAGCAAACCACCCGAAACAAACAUCCAACAGAGUUCACACACACAUAGUCACAGCCGCACAAAACGCACGGUACCAAAGGGGUUAAUGCUGAGGGCACAGCUCAACAAGCCCUAAGAACAAAAGGACACAGACAAAGACCGCCACGGACGAGACCAGCCUAAUCAGGUUCCGGCGGAGGAGGCGGAAGCGGGGGCGCCAUGCGGAAGGCCAUCGAUCGAAGGUCGGUGAGGAGGGUGUCGAUGGUGCUCCGGUCCUCGGGGCGGCUAAGCGGCCGCCAAAGCUGCAAAUAGCCACACAUUUUGAAGAUCGCGUCAGUCGCACGUCGCAGAGGCACUUUCUGAAUAACGAGGUUGUUGCGAAUAUUCCAAAGCGUCCAUGCAAGUAUCCCAAUGCACAACCAUCUAAUAUGGCGGUAGCGUGGGGAGGAGGCAUGGAUCUCCGCGAGUAGGUCAGGGAAGUUGGAAUUGCACCACUGUCCGCCGACCGUUUCACGGAAGCACGACCACAAGAACUGGGCAGUGGAGCAGUUGAAGAAAAUGUGGUUCGAAUCCUCCACCGUGGCACACAGGGGACACAUCCCGUCCCCAGGGCCAUUGCGCUUGCGGACUUCCACCCCAGAGGGAAGACGUCCUCGGAUCCACUGCCAGAGGAAUAUCCGGAUCUUGAGGGGGAGACGAAUGUCCCAGAUCAGGCUAAAGGGCUCAGGGGCCAGCGAAGGGGCGAUGGCAGCAUACAGAGACUUCGUGGAGAAGCAUCCCGAGGGCUCCAGACGCCACGCCAUGGAGUCGGUGGCGCCCUCUACCUGCAUUGGCAAGAGAGCGAUGUCCUGUAGAAGGGCGUCCCACGCGUCAACCUCCUGGGGGCCAAAGGAGCGCCGAAAGGCGAGGCGCCCUAAGUCAAUAAGGGCCGCUUCGACGGAAAUGCGAGGGUCUGCCGCAAUGGCAAAUAAGCCCGGGAAGCGGGCGGCCAGAGGGGAAUCCCCAAGCCAGCGGUCGAACCAAAACAGGGUCGAGGACCCGGAACCCACCGAGAUGGAGGUGCCAAUCCGUAGCACGGGGAGGAGCUGAAUCACCGUCUGCCAGAACUGGGAUCCCCCAGUGCGCUGGCAGAAAGCAAGAGGUUGUCCUCGGAGGUACUUAUUCUGAAUGAUGGUAAGCCAGAGGCCGCCCUCCCCGUUGGUAAUACGCCAUAGCCAUCGGGUCAGGAGAGCAAUGUUCAUGCGACGGGAGGACAAGAUCCCCAGACCUCCCUGGUCCUUGGGUUUGCAAAUGUCCGGCCAGCUCACAAUAUGGUAUUUUUGCUUGUCGCCCUCGCCAGCCCAGUAAAAUCUGGACUGAUAUUUGGCCACCUCCUGGUGGAGCGUCUCAUGGCGUCUAUAGAAGCUCGUGAGGAACCAGAGGAGGCUAGCCAUCGAUGAGUUGAUGAGGAUUACCCGCGCCGCCUUCGAAAGCCACCGACCCUUCCAGGGUUCGACUCGGUGUUGCAUCCGGGUCACGGAAGGGCGGAGGUCUGCUACGGUGAGGCGAGAGUCACUAAUGGGGAUCCCCAGAUAGGUCGUGGGGAAAGAACCCAGUCGGCAAUUAAGCCGGUCCGCAAUGCCCUGGGCCUCCAGCGGUGGGUAUCCUAGCACCAUCAGUUCGCUCUUAUCAAAGUUGAUGGUCAGACCGGACAUCCGUUGGAAGCAGAGAAGGAGGAACUUCAGGUUGGCAAUAUCGGACUCGGAGCCCUCAACCAUUAUUAUGGUGUCGUCGGCAUAUUGUAGGAGGGAGACCCCCCCCUCCUACAAGGUGUGGGACCACGCCGUGAAUGUGGCCGGCCGAUUUGGCUUUGUCAAGAAUGGCCGCGAGGGCAUCGGCCACCAUGUUAAACAGGAACGGCGAGAAAGGGUCGCCCUGGCGGACCCCACAAAGUGUGGGGAAGAAGGGGCCAAUCUCACCGUUAAUGUUAAUAGCGGUCCGACCGCAGGAGACAAGCUGCAUAACUCUGGUCACCCAACGGUCAUCAAAGCCCUUACGGAGUAAAACUUCCCGAAGGAAGGGCCAGUGCACAGUGUCAUAGGCUUUAUGGAAAUCAAGCUUCAGGAAUACCGCCCGUUGGUGCUUGGAGCGGACUUCGUGAAGGACCUCGUGGAAGACCAACACCCCAUCCAGGAUAAAACGGCCCUGAAUGAAAGCCGACUGAUUGGGGUGGGUGAUCGCUUCGGCGAGCCGGGUCACCCUAUUGGCGUACCCUUUGGCCAGGAUCCGAAAGAUCACAUUGAUCACAGUGAUGGGUCGGAAUUGGCGGAUGUCCGUCGCACCCGGAACAUUGGGGAUAAGAGUGACUACCCCGUAGUUCAGCCGCCCAAGAUCCAUGGUCCCUAAGAAAAACUCGUUAAAGAGAGCCAUGAUCUCAGGUUUGAUGGUCUGCCAGAAAGCUUUAAAAAAGGAGACUGGCAGUCCAUCUGGCCCCGGUGCCGAGGAGGCAUUCAUACCCUUAAUCGCCGCGAGGACUUCCUCCUCGGAGAACGGGGCAACUAAGGCGGCAUUGUCCGCAACCGACACAAGCUGGGCACCUGACCAAAUGUCAGGUGCCAGAGCGAUCCCACCCCGAGGGGUGGGGAGAAUAGGGCUUUAUAGAAGCCAUCUACAUGUGUCCGGAUGUCCGAGGGGCGGAGGAGCUGGGAAUCACCAUCCCACAAACAGUGGAUGGAGUUCCGACGUCGCCGCCCAUUCGCGAUCGCCUGGAAAUAUGCCGUAUUAGCGUCGCCCCGCAGCACCCAACGCUGUGUACCGCGGAGCCUCCAGUAAGCUUCUUCAUCCGUGUAGAUGGUAGCGAGCUGAUCCUCGAGAUCAUAUCGCACCAUCCACUCAUCCGGGGAGAUCCCGGAGGUGUCCGCGCGGUAAUCCAAGGCCUGGAUGGCUGAAAGGAGGACUUUUUUCCGUUCGCGGAGGUCCCUACCAAGGUUAGCUCCCCACCCUUUCAUGAAUUGGCGGCCGAUCUUGGCACAGAAUUGCCAGGAGUCCACCGCUGACAUGGAUCGGUGGGGAGAGGAGCGUGCAGAGGUCCACUUGGUCGCGACCGCCUCCUUGAAGCCCGCUUGGUUGAGCCAGAAGAGCUCGAACCUGAAGCGAGGCGGGGUGGGAGGACGUUCAUCGGCGGUGGAGAGGAGAGGGACGUGGUCCGACCCAAUCCGGGUAAUCGCACGAAGCGAGGCCAAGGGGCAUCUAAGUUCCCAUUCCGGGGAGACUAGGACGCGGUCCAAGACGGACCGCGUCGGGUCGGCUUGGCGGUUAGUCCAGGUAAACCUGGCACCCGUCCGCUCAAGCUCGCGGAGGCCGAGAUCCGCGAUGCAGUCGUUGAACAUCUGCAUCCUGGGGAGGUUGAUUCGGUCAUUAGUCUUAUCAUCAGGAGAGCGGAUGAGGUUGAAGUCCCCUCCGACAACCACCGGGAAGGUGGAGGCAGAGACCUUCCGUUGGAGCUCAUCAAGGAAGGUCGGGGAGCGGCGGUGGUCCGCCGGCCCAUAGACAAUGACAACCUCCCAUUUGAAGUUGAGCGCCCUCUUGAAAAGCUCCAUGCUAACGAAGAACUCGCCCCGGUCCAUCCCGCCUACCUCAAAGGUGGCAUCCUUCACACCUAAAAGGAUGCCUCCCGAGUGCCCCGUGGUCCCACUAGAAGGGAGCCAAUGCCAGGCGAAUAGGUGGGGUCUAAGGCGCUCCAGCUCGGGAAGAGAAAAUUCCGUGCGCAAGGUUUCCUGAAUGGCGAUGAUGUCGAUGUGUUCGUCACGCAUGUACUCCACUAGCUGGCGGCGCCGGCCGUCAUGGCCGAAACCGCGGAUGUUCCAAAAGAGGACCCGCAUCUAAACCCCCAUCGGGGGGCUGCUUGACCCCAGAACAGAGGAGGCGCUACUAGCCCUAAGCGCCGCAGUGCGGGAUCGGGUGCGGCCACGAAUUUCGGGUGCAGGGGGCUGGGGAGCCGGAGGGUGGAGGAGGCGGGCCCGGGUCUCAGCGAGUUUCCCAUCAAGGAUUUCCCGGGCCUGGAUCGCAGCAAUCUUCUCUAAGGGGGGUCCAACCUCCCCCGUGAAAACUACGGACGAGUCCGCGGCCACCCUGGCGAGGUGGCCCAGCGGAACAGCCUCAAGAGCAGAAAACGAGCAACGGGAAGAACUGGGGGGAUGUCGAUCGCACCUGGCUCGAGGUUCCGGGCCGCGGCCCGGAUCUCAGCGCGCUCGGAGAUGGACGGCGGAGGGCCUCUCGUAGGGCGGUCCGCGUCGAGACGGGCACUGCGACGGGAGGCAGUCACCGGAGUCGACGAGGCCCGAGCCCGGCGUGCGUACGGCGCAGUCCGGGGCGGGUGGGGGGCGACGGGGGUGGCCACGUCCGUAGCAGCCCCCAGGGGCAGAGCGGUCGGAGGAGCAGUCGUCGCGGGCCGAGAGGUCGGAGAAGCAGUCGUCGCGGGCUCCUGGCUGGCGUCGGACCCUGGCAGAGCUGGAGAGGGCGGGUCCGGGGCCGGCGGGCCAUCCUCCGGCGAUGCCGAAACGGCGGCCUCUGGGGAGGCGGCGGCAGGCAGCGCCGGUGCGCCCUCAGGGGAGCCGAGCAGAGGGAGCUCGCCGGAGGGAGGCAUGACCGAAGGUGGGUCCGCCAGGGCCAGGAGGGGUACUUCCAGGGUCGGAGGCGGGGGACCGGGCGCCGGGGUGGAGCAGGGCGAGCGCGGUGAGGAAGGCGGAGCGAUGAGAAGGCCGACGCUGGAGAUGUCACUCAUCUCCGUGGAGGAGGAGGGAACGGCCGUCGGCAACAUCCCGGGAGCAGCCCCAACAGCACGGAUCAGUCCAUGUGAGCGGCCCGAGCCAGCGCCCGUUCCCCCAUGGCCCGGAGUUGGGUCGCGUGAGGGGGAGCGGCUGUGGCCCGAACGCUCAUCGUCGUCGUCCGGAUCCUCGUAGCGGGAGGGGCGUGGCUGGCGGUAGUGGGAGUCGUCACGCCGGUCAGUGCCCCCACCUCCAAAGUGCCCAUCAUCAGAGAAGCGUGGGCGCCCAACGUGGUUGGGAGGCUCGGGGGAGAUCUUGAGGUCGAAUCCCAGGUCGUUGAAGAAGACGCGAAUGGUGACACGGAGCUUGUCGGAGUCGAGGCAUUUAACCUUGACCCGGACCUCCUCCUCUUUGCGGAGGGAGAGCUCGUCUACCACCACCACCUUGCCCAGGAUCUUGGACAUACUGCGAAUGACCCGCUCGGACCGGGCGACAUCAGGUAGCCCAGCGAUGAGGAUCCAAGCAGUAUCUAGAACUGCGACCUCCUUGGGGUCGGCCUUAGGCUCAGAGAUGUUGACCACAAGCUUGUUCAUGGCCAAGGUGAUGUCGUCGCUGCGGGUGCAGAGGCCCAGGCUGAUGGCGUCAGGAAAGACAACGGUGAAAGAGCUGGCAGAGGUCGGAGUCACCUGCCAGUCCCACAUACAGCGGCACAGGUGGUUGAGCUCGGCCUCGAUCAUCUCCGAAGAAGCAACACUCACCCCCACGACGGUGACGAUCGCCUGGAGCGAUGGGGAGGGGGGUGGUAGAUCGUCGACCUCGAUGUGGAAGAACCCGAGGCCCUCGAUGCCAUGGCCGUACAUCAUGAGCUCAUCAGUCAACGGACGAUCCGGGCACAAGGCCGCCGGGUGUCCGGUAUCCUUGCAGAGGUAGCACAUCGGAGGGUUGGUGCACUCCACUUGGUAGUGGCCCGCGAUCCCGCAGUUGAAGCACGGGGGCUGGUCAUGAGUAGCUACCACAUCGGCCAACGCCGAGGUCGCGGGGGAGGGGGCCGAUGUAGCAGGGGGCGAGCCGGACCCCGCUUCUUCUUCUUCUUUGCGCCCUGGCGCCCUCACCCCCCAUUGCCUCCAGAAGUGGGAGGGAAACUGGGCUGGUUGUGGGGGGGUUGGUAGCGGCGCGAGGGCGCAUCGGCGGCAGCAGGAACAGGGUGACGGGACGGGGACAGAGAACGGGCCCGGCGCCGCUCCGGGGAUGGGGACCGCCGCCGGUCUGGUUGUCGCGCCUCCACCACGGGCGACCGGGGGCGGUCCCGGCGGUCAUCGCGGGGCGGGGAGCGGCGGCCGUCUCUGGCCGGCGAGCGGCGUCUGUCACGACUGGGGGAGAGCCGAGCUUCGUGGGGAGGGGAGCGGCGCAGGGCCCUGGAGUCGAGCUCGCGGCGCAGGUCCGCCUCCCGGCGAAGUCCCUCGGGUGACGAGCGUGGCGGGGCACGGCGGUCGUCCAGGCCGCGUUUGGGGCGGCCAGCAUUGUCCCCCCACUCGCGCGUCAUCCCCGGCGAGGGGGCGGGCCCGAGGUCGGGGGAGGGAGGGAGGGCCGGCGCAGCAGGGCGAGCCGAGGUGGCGGGGGAGGGGGCGAGUGAGGGAGAGACGUGGGGAGAGGGGAGCGAGUUGACUAGAUCGGGAACCCUAGCGGGGGCCAAACCGAUCGCACCAGAGGAGGCCGGGGCAGCAGUCCUUGGGAUGGGCCGGCACCCGCCGUGGGCCGUGUCGUUCCCAGGCCCAUGACCAGCCCAGCCUCAGGCGCCGCGGGAGGCGGUCCAGCCCGGGAGGGGCGGCCCACCACGCAGGCACGGGGCGGGCAGACGGCUAGGGAUUCCCCUACCGCCGCCGGCGCGGGGAGCGGCGCGGAGGCGGGGGCAGGUCGCUGGGGAGGGGGCACGGGCGAACGGCGCGGUGGGCUGAGACAAAACGGAGCCGGGAGGAACUGAAGGUGGCGAUGAACGGCCGGAACGGGGUGCGGCGGGCAGGCACGGACAAGUUGACGGCGAUCGCCGGGGGCGGCGCGGCCACCUCGGCCGCGGCCACAACACUCGAAGGCCGCCACGACGACCGGGCAGGGCCCAGGUCCGCGCGUCCCGCGACCCCCCAGCCAGCCNNNNNNNNNNNNNNNNNNNNNNNNNNNNNNNNNNNNNNNNNNNNNNNNNNNNNNNNNNNNNNNNNNNNNNNNNNNNNNNNNNNNNNNNNNNNNNNNNNNNNNNNNNNNNNNNNNNNNNNNNNNNNNNNNNNNNNNNNNNNNNNNNNNNNNNNNNNNNNNNNNNNNNNNNNNNNNNNNNNNNNNNNNNNNNNNNNNNNNNNNNNNNNNNNNNNNNNNNNNNNNNNNNNNNNNNNNNNNNNNNNNNNNNNNNNNNNNNNNNNNNNNNNNNNNNNNNNNNNNNNNNNNNNNNNNNNNNNNNNNNNNNNNNNNNNNNNNNCGAGCUGAGCUCGAGCCUCGACGGCGCUGCGCUCGCGCACGGGCAGCCGAACCCCCACCCCUGGGGGUAAGGCCGCCGGCGGCAGGGAGCUGCGGCGAGCGAGCAGGGGCGGGAGGGGGGACCCGAUCCCGGCAGACCACAGGGCGGCCGGCAGCGACGUCCUCGUCCUCCGCAAGGUCAGCCCAAACCAGGGACGACGGGGCAUCGGAGGGGGCGGGGGCGGAGGGGGNNNNNNNNNNNNNNNNNNNNNNNNNNNNNNNNNNNNNNNNNNNNNNNNNACAGGGCGGCUGGCAGCGACGUCCUCGUCCUCCGCAAGGUCAGCCCAAACCAGGGACGACGGGGCAUCGGAGGGGGCGGGGGCGGAGGGGGAGGGGGCCGGGGACAUGGGCGGAGAGGCCGGCGACGCCGCCGCGGUGGGCACGUCGGGGACAUCGCCCCGACAGUCGCCAGAGGCAGGCGCGGGUGCGGGUGACUCCAUCGUGUGAUCCUCAGCUCCCCUAAACUUCACGCCUCAUUUUGAGACGUCAUGUGAAUCAACCCGUGGAUGGAUGGUUAGAUGGACAGUGGUAUUUUCAGCCUAUUAGGAUUUAAGUACUAAACUUGACAUUGGUGCUCACAUUAUUUCUAGAUUUAUUUGAGGUUUUUGGUGAUGUCCGUUCAAUAGGAGUAGACGUCCCCGUCGACUGCGAGGCGCCUAUGAUGACUCUGUAAAAUCUCAAGAUGUUAUACUGGCUCAGUCUCUUGGAGGUGCUUAUAAGGGUCAAGUUUCCUAUAGAAAAUUUUUCUUUAGAGCCUUUUCACAUGUAGGAAUGGAUUCUUAUUCUUAUAUAGAAUUGGUUCCUGCUCUUCACGUUUCAAAGGAAGAAAAAUCAUUAGCUCAGAUAUAAUUGAGAAAAAUCAUAUCCUAUGAACCAAAUGACAUCUUUUUUCUAUAUGAUUCGGUAUUUUUUUUUUGUAACUUUAAAUCCUAUUGUGCGAACCAAAUGACAACAUUUUUCCAUAUGAUUUGACAUUUUUCAUAAUUUUCCUAUUCCUAUGAACCAAAGAAUCCCGAAUGAAAUCGGUUUCAUCGGCAUGUGUAGCCAUGUACCAUGUUCUCAAUGAAACUAUAAGGUUUAGCACGGUAGACCGUCUCAGGUAAGUCACCAUGGAGGAAGGCAUUUUUAACAUCCUGUUGAUGGAUGGGCCAAGAAUUAGACAUGGCGAUGCUUAAAACCACUCGAAUGGUUGUAGGCUUGACCACCAAACUCAAUUUCUCAUCAUAAUCCACCCCCUCUUGUUGUGUAAACACAUGAACGCGCGACCCAUCUUGUUGUGUACCCUGCCAAGGAUCCAUCCUUGUUGAAUUUGUGGCAAAAAAAAAUCACUUCCUAGUGAAGGCAUUUACACCUGCAGGCCUAGGAGCCAAAUACCAAGUCAACUAUCAUUACUUGUCGCCAACGGGGAUCUUUGAGAGCCGGCUGGUAGGUAGAAGGGAUAGGAGAUGUGGGUGACGGUGAGUUAGCAGAAGGGAUUAAUCGAUGGGGCAUAAAAUAUCCUUGUUUGGCACGGGUGGACAUCUUGUGGGUGUUCCUAGGUGGCUCUACUGGAAUUGCAUGGCGAGGCAAAUGUGGUGAAGGAGUAGAGGCCAGGGCGAAAAUCAAGAAUGACUGGGUGGGGUUGUGGCCAGCGGAUCAUUGUGGUCAAGCAUGUAAACGGAGGACAGUCUGGAGGCAUGUGAUUGGGCAUGGAAAUGGAGGAAUAUCCUGACAGAUCUAGGACAUGGGGAGGUAGGUCCUGCGGAUCGAGGGCAGGCUGGUCUCCUAGGCGGUCUGGCCAUAGAUGGAGCGACACGUGGACGAAGUCGAUAGCUGGGCUGAUGGUGGGUGGGAGAUGAUUUGUGCGGAUUUAGCUGGGGAACCGGUGUGGGGCUCGUACGUAUUGGGACGGUGGUGGGAUUUGGGAGGAUCAUGGUAGGUGGGUAGGAGUUAGCUGAUCCGGUGCAAUGGUAAGGUGUGUGGGCGACGAUGUUGGUGGGGUAUAGGAAAACGUUGAUUCAUCAAAGAUAACGUGCCGAGAGACGAUCACUCGUCGCGAGAGUCAAAACACCUAUAGCUCUUGAAUUCUAGAAGGUAGCCAAGGAAAAUGCAUGGAGUGGAACGAAGCUGAUAUUUGUAAGGAGGACAAUGUUAAGAGGUGGGUCGCGGUGUGGAGGGCCUCUACCCAAAAGAGCGGAGGGAGGUUCGUGUAGAAGUAAUGUUCGAAUGACAUCAUUGGUGGUAUGGAUCAUAAGUUCUACUUUACCAUUUUUGGGUGAGGUGUGGGGGCAAGAGGACAAUAAAGUGACACCGUUGGUAGAGAAAAAUGUACGACGUCAAGAGUUAAUAAACUCAGCACCAUUGUCACAGUGCAUGCUUCAUAUGGUAACAUUGCAUUUGUGUGUGAAGAAAAGAGAAGAAAUGUAGUAGGGUGGUGGACGUGUCGGAUUUUUGGUGUAAAAAAAUGACCAAAAAAAAUGAGUGUAGUCAUCGAGAAUAAUAAGCUAGUAUUGAAAACCAGAAAAGCUUACAUCCAGAGAGGUCCACAGAAAUCAAAGUGAAUUAAAUCAAAUGGUUCAAAAGAUGUGCUAAACAGGGAAAGAAAAGGGAGGCGGGACUGGCGGCCUAAUUGACAGGUGAUACAUGCAAUAUGUGGGGCUUUAUGACAUGAUGAAAGAAAAUAUGUAGCUUAAAAAAAGAUUGGGUGCUUGGGUGACCAAGCUAUCACUACUGCAGGAAUGUCUAGCAGCACUAGUAGAAAAAGGGUCAUCUGUCCCGGUUGGUAAGGGCCUUUUGUCCCGGUUGUUGAACCGGGACUAAAAGGUCGUUACUAAUGCCCUAGCCCAUUAGUCCCGGUUCUUACACGAACCGGGACAGAUGGGCCUUCACGUGGCCGCUGCGGCCAGCCCAGGCAGGAGGGCCUUUGGUCCCGGUUGGUGUCACCAUUUCAGUGGCUGGAUUUUUUUUGAGAGGGAGAGGGUUUAGGGGGUAAUUCAGGGUGUGUAGGCUAGCUAACAGAGAGAACUGUCAUCUCUUAUUUCCGUGCUUGAUUUACCAACGCUACUGCUAUGCCUAAACAUGGCUUAGAUUAAAAUGAAGGCAACAUGUGCUGCAUGUCGAAAGUAAUAUUAAUCCUAACUUGAUCAAGUUUGGAUUAGUACUACUUUCGACAUGCACCACAUGCUUGUUGCCUUCACUUCAUUCCAAUCCAUGUUCAUUUCACCCACUGAUAUAUAAUAACUCUUCAUGCCCGCAUCAUGCAUCAUCAUAAUAACAAGUCCUACUAAUCAUCAUCAUACAACUUCUACUCGUUAUUAAUAACAAGUCAUACGAUCAUCAUCCUCAUAGUCAUCGAACCAACCCUACUUAAUUUUUCUAGGCACAUGAUCAUCAGUAUUAGGUAGGACCUGAAUACCCUCUUUAAGGUAAAAUAGCAUAAAACAAUAUAGACCCUGACUCUCCAUUAUGAAGAAUGGAGAUCAUCCUGUCUUCAGUUCUUGCGCUUCACUUCCUUUUGCUUCCAAGAACCUCCUUACGACUGUCCAUACAUUUGUUUCCAAUCCUUGAUUUUCAUGUCUCCACUUCUUUUAGAAAUCCGGUAUGGACAGUUCAGAUUCGUAGGAUGACCUGGACGUAUGUUCAAAACAUCAAGGCGACCACUCUGAUACAUUAGAUGAGGCACACAAUCCUCUGGGAUUAUCUGUUGAAAAACAUAGUAAUAACUUCAUAGUUAGCAAUGGUGUACUAGUUUUAGAAGUAUGCAAAAGAUGCACGGAUGUCGUAAUAGUAAGAAAUCUUACCAGGGUAUCUCCAUAGUAGUUACCGUAGUUCAACACGUGCACUAGUGGCACGUAUUGACCAUAAUGUGGAGGAGUUUUACAAUAGAUAUUGUAAUUCUCAAGAUCAUUACAAAAUCCGACCAGAUGAGUUUUCUCCUAUAAGUUAACUCAGUGCCAUCGGUGUAGUAGGUUAUGUCUACCAUGUUCCGCACAUUGUUUGAACAAUCAAAAUAAGCUGUCAAUGAAAAUAAGCUGUCAACUAUUUUGAAAUGAACAAUAUAAAUUAGUUAAUAACUAUGUUUGAGAAACUCACAUAGCGGUAGAAUUGGAGGCGUAUCAACAAGGACCCAAAUGUCCAUAUUGUCUUGCUCGAUGUCAGGAUCACCAAGAUCCAUGGUGACAAGCAUACCCUCAUCAAAAGCAUACAUCUUGCAAAAUGCUUCCCAAUUUUUGCAACCAAAAUGGGUUACGCUCUUAGAAUUAUACAGAUUUACUUCAAAAUCUAUAUCAUGAUGGGUCCUUAGGUGAAUUUUCUUUGUUUCCAUACUUUCAUGGUCUUCAAAACCCAUGCUCUCCAAGACGUAGCGUCUUGCAUGGCAUGGGAUAAGCUAGUCGAAUUGUAAAAGAUGAAAAUUACACGUUGAAAUAGUUGAAGUCGUGCUUAAUUACGAAAAAAUAACACUUGUCGUCGUUGCGUACCAUUUCAACAUCAAAGGUCUCCUCUAGCUUAAUACUGAAGCGCCGAUCUUCGUCCAGGUGAGGCCUGUCGCACAGACCUCGGUCGUCGUGGCACCAGUCGCACUCCCCCGGGAGACUUUCAUCGUCCGAGUACGACAUUUCCUAUGUUCAUAAUUCAAAUAUUAAACGUCUACAAUUAAAUAUAUGUACUAAAAACCUAAGUUAGAUCAUUAUUAUUCAUCACGGGUUGACUAUCGGUCUGUCGAGUCUUUUCUUGAAAACUCUCAGCUCACGUGGUGUAUACAUUCGACCGUUGGUGAUGGUCGCUCCUCCUUUCAUCCCCGAGUGCAUUACACCAAAUUGUCUAGCACACGGGAACGAAGGAGAAGCUACCCCCACGACAACAGUCGGGAUUUUUCGUCCUCUCAUAUAUGGUGGAGACUCAAUAGACUUAAAGUCAACCCAAAAUAUCGUUUAAUUAUCUUUCUAAAACCGGUUCGUGGCUGGUCUCACCUCGAGGUCGGAGGGGGUCGGUGACGGGGAUGACGGCCGGGAUGAUGGAGGGGGGCUCCUAGAUUUCUGUGAAAACAAAAUCCCUAUAAGCUAUCAACUAAUCAUAUGCAUACGCCUUGCAUAGUGCUCUCCAAUUUUAGCAUUCAAAGUAGGAGUAGUUUUCCAAUUUGAUCAUUCAAUAAGCAAAAUCAAAUCACAAAAUAAAGUAGUAUUCAAAUUAGGAUGCAUUCAAUUAUAAGCAAAACUACAUCAUCUCCAUGCGUCCGUACAUCAUCGAAUAUUAUCACUAAUACACCUCGAAUACUAUCAUACAUAUAGCAUCGCUAGUACACUAGAACCGUAGCGCCCGACGGGUAUCGGCGCGGGCGGUGGAUACCCAAAGAGAAGCAACCAUCACAGGAUCAUAGCUCCAGUGAGAUCCCUGAAGAACCUGCCAGGUAUUGUCGAACCUACACUCCAACGCAACCAUGUAGCGACGGACGUGCUCGUCCUCCUCGCUGACACGGUGAUGUACCACCUCCGUGGUGUCCGGAAGCCUCGACACCAUCACUAGCCCACGCGACCGCCACCAAACAAGGAUCGGGUCAAUGACGGGCUGGCUCCUCACCAACCUACGCCCCCCGGAUGGUAGCACCUCCCAAAACCAGCCCGGCGGAGCCCAGUCCCGGACAUGGCCCCUCUGAUCAAGCCGGCCUCCUCCGCCGAGUCGACGACGAGGAUGCGGGAUUGGCAUCGUCGACGUCGAUGCGGGAAUAAUUGCUUUAACUAAAAAAAUAAACUAGUUCUAUUAAUUUUCUUGCUAAAAAUAAACUACUUCUAUAGUAAAAUAAACUAGUUUUAUUAAAUCAAGUAGUUCAACUACUAAGCACUUACUAUAAAUAAAAUAAAGUAGUACUUACUAAAAGUAAACUAGUUUAACUAGUUCUAUUAUUUUUCUAACUAAUUCUAUUAAACACUUUCUCUUCUUAUUCUAUGAACAAAAUUACAACAGAAAAAAAUCAUAAAAAUUCUAUGAACAAGAUAAAAAUUCUAUGAACAAAAUUACAACAGAAAAAAAUUAUAAAAAUUAUAUGAAAAAAUUGACAUAUUCUUUGCAUAUAUAUGAACACACAAACAUUUGCAUAUUCAACAAUAAUUUCAAAAAAAUCUAUGAACAGAAAAAAAUUCUAACUUUUGCAUAUUCAUUUAUGAACAAAUUACAACAACUCAAUUAACUACACAUCUAAACUACANNNNNNNNNNNNNNNNNNNNNNNNNNNNNNNNNNNNNNNNNNNNNNNNNNNNNNNNNNNNNNNNNNNNNNNNNNNNNNNNNNNNNNNNNNNNNNNNNNNNNNNNNNNNNNNNNNNNNNNNNNNNNNNNNNNNNNNNNNNNNNNNNNNNNNNNNNNNNNNNNNNNNNNNNNNNNNNNNNNNNNNNNNNNNNNNNNNNNNNNNNNNNNNNNNNNNNNNNNNNNNNNNNNNNNNNNNNNNNNNNNNNNNNNNNNNNNNNNNNNNNNNNNNNNNNNNNNNNNNNNNNNNNNNNNNNNNNNNNNNNNNNNNNNNNNNNNNNNNNNNNNNNNNNNNNNNNNNNNNNNNNNNNNNNNNNNNNNNNNNNNNNNNNNNNNNNNNNNNNNNNNNNNNNNNNNNNNNNNNNNNNNNNNNNNNNNNNNNNNNNNNNNNNNNNNNNNNNNNNNNNNNNNNNNNNNNNNNNNNNNNNNNNNNNNNNNNNNNNNNNNNNNNNNNNNNNNNNNNNNNNNNNNNNNNNNNNNNNNNNNNNNNNNNNNNGGCGUCGGAGGCAGGGGCGACGACGGCGACGGCGAGGCGCAAAGGGGCAGCCUGGCGGCGUCAUUGGGGCGGGGAAGACGAACUAAAUGCAAAAUUUGACAAGUGCUAGUUAUAUAGACGAAGCAUUGGUCCCGGUUCGUGACAGCAACUGGGACGAAUGCGAUCUUUAGUCCCGGUUGGUGCCACCAACAGGGACGAAAGGCCUCCAUUCAGCAGCCCAAAGGGCGGGAAGCGGCGGCCUUUGGUCCCGGUUGGUGGCACCAACCGGGACUAAAGGGGGGGCAUUGGUACCGUUAGUGCCACGAACGUUAUCAAUGCACCCCUUUAGUCUCGGUUGGUGCCACCAACAGGGACCAAAGGCCUUGUGUUGCUGCGCCCGCGUCGAAAGUUUAGUCCCACCUCGCUAGUUGAGAGGGGCGCGCAGUGGUUUAUAAGCCCCACUGCGGCACCCCUCUCGAGCUCCUCUCCAUUGCAGGCUUACGGGCCUAAUUGUCACUGCUAUGCCUAAUGGGCCUUCUGCGGGCCUGAAUCCUGGCCCAUCGAUGGGUUUCUAGUCGUAUUCAGGCCAUGGUGGCCCAGUAGGUGGCAUAUUUUUUAUUUUUUGCCUGUUUUUUUGUUUUAUUUUUUGCUUUAUUUAUUUUGUUUUGUUUCUACUUACAACAAAAAACUUAUUUAUUUUAUGUUAUUUUGUUUCUAAUUACUUAUUUAUUUUACUUUGUGGUAAUUCUUUUUGCUAUUAANNNNNNNNNNNNNNNNNNNNNNNNNNNNNNNNNNNNNNNNNNNNNNNNNNNNNNNNNNNNNNNNNNNNNNNNNNNNNNNNNNNNNNNNNNNNNNNNNNNNNNNNNNNNNNNNNNNNNNNNNNNNNNNNNNNNNNNNNUUUUGUUUCUACUUAUAUAUUUUAUUAAAGUUUAUAUUAUUUUGUUUCUAAUUACUUAUUUAUUUUAUUUGUUAUUUUUCAUGCACCAUUUUUCAUGCAUUUACUGAUUAUUUUGAGCUAUAAGACCCUAAAAUUGAAAAGCAUUUCAAAUGAACUCUGAAAAGGUUGAAAGUUGGCAUGGUAUCAUCAUUUCAUCCACAUGGCAUGUGCAAGAAAGUUGAGAGGGUUACGGCAAAAACUGGAUGCACUUUGUGUACAAAACGGACAAUGGUAUCAUACUCGUCUGUUACAAAGUUGGCAUGGUAUCAUGAUAAUAGUUGCGGGAGAAAGUCUUCACUUUUUCUUCGCUUCUGUCAUUUGCUUAUUGCGCCGUAACAAUGGAUAAUCUUCAUCGUUUAUCAGGAUGCUUGGGUCAGCCUUGACUUUGAAGGGACGAAAACUCAUCUGUUACAAAGGGAUUUCAUUUUCUUGAACUUAUUUGAACUCCUGACUUUUUGUGUGUUCAAAAUGCACCAUUGAAAGCCACAUCAUCAAUUUUCAACCCUUUCUGACUUCAUUUGUUAUUUUUCAUGCAGUGAUGGAUUGUUUUGAGCUAAAUGACCCUGAAAUUGAAAAGCCCUACAAAUGAGCUCUGAAAAGAUUGAAAGUUGUCAUGGUAUCAUCAUUUCACCCACAUAGCAUGUGCUAAAAAAUUGAGAGGGUUACGUCAAAAGCUGGAUGCACUUCGUGAACAAAAUGGACAAUCUUUUUCGAAUUAUCAGGGUUUCGGACGAAAACUCAUAUGUUACAAAGGGAUUUCAUUUGCUUGAACUUAUUUGAACUCCAGACUUUUUGUGUGUUCAAAAUGCACCAUUCAAAGCCACAUCAUCAAUUUUCAACCCUUUUUGACUUCAUUUGUUAUUUUUCAUGAAGUGACGGAUUGUUUUGAGCUAAAUGACCCUGAAAUUGAAAAGCCCUAUAAAUGAGCUCUGAAAAUGUUGAAAGUUGGCAUGGUAUCAUCAUUUCACCCAUAUAGCAUGUGCUAAAAAGUUGAGAGGGUUACGUCAAAAGCCGGAUGCACUUCGUGAACAAAAUGGACAAUCUCUUUCGAAGUAUCAGGGUUUCGGACGAAAACUCAUCUGUUACAAAGGGAUUUCAUUUUCUUGAACUUAUUUGAACUCCAGACUUUUUGUGUGUUCAAAAUGAACCAUUCAAAGCAGAGACUGAUUUUGAAUGGUGCAUAUUCAACACACAAAAAGUCUGUAAAGAUCGCCAACCCCAACAUAAAAAAAUGAGCAUAGAUGCGCCUAUAGAGAGAAUUCAACCUAAAUUCAUAAUAAAUUUCUAUGAAUUUCAGAGAAAUUCACUCUGAAUUUAGGUCAAAUUCCCUGUAUAAGGGCAUUUAUUUUCAUUUUGAGAGGAGCUCAACAAGGCGGAGAGGGACGGGCUUAUAAACCGGUGUGAGCGCCCUUCGGUUGGCGAGGUGGGACUAAACUCUGACCGCAACGAGGACCAACCCUUCAGUCAUGGUUUGUGGCACAAACCGGGACUAAUGGUCAUGGGCCAGGAGCGAGGCGCAUUGGUCCCGGUUCAUGCGUGGAACCGGGACCAAAAGGUCCAGACGAACCGGCACCAAUGGCCCACGUGGCCCGGCCGACCCCCUGGGCUGACGAACCGGGACAGUUGCCUUCUUUGGUCCCGGUUCGUGAGCGAACCGGGAUUAAUGGUAUUACGAGGGCCGAACCAAUGCCCUAUUUUCUACUAGUGCAGUGACGGGCCAGCCUCUCUUUGCGCCGCCCACCACUGACCUCCCACCAUUGCUAAGUGGCAGUAAUGGCGGGCUCUGUAAAUUACCCGCUAGUGUAAUCAAUCUCGUAGUAGUGGUGGGCGGCCGUGUCAAUGGCCGGCAAGUUGUAAUGAUCACCAUUGCUGUGUAAAGUAUGUGCAGCGACUGCUUAUUAGCGCUCGCCACUGAUUGCUACCCAAAGUUAGAAUAAAAAACGAUGCCAUGGCAGCAUAUGCUGCGACGGCAACAUUAGCUAAUCCAAAUAGAGAAGCGUUCUCAAUAAAUGGGAGCAAAUUAGGAAUAAAACUAGUGGUAAUAACUCAGAAUAAAGAAGGACAAGUACGUUAAGAAUAAAAUACAUUGUCAUCAAAUAUAGUCUACUGAUAAUGUUAAACAACAUAGUUAAUAGGUCAAAUAUAUUUAGUCACGGUUGCAGUUUUGCCCACUUCAAUAAGCUAGGUAAGACUCUUUUGUUGGUCGGACUCAUAUCCUUCGGUUUUAUUAUAAAAUAGGCCGGACGACAAGCGGACCUGCUUCUUUAUGAUGUAUUCUAUCAAAACAAGUGAAGGAGCCAUGGAUCCCAACUGACUGCUAGGAGGCGUAGGUGGCGGAUUUGUGCAUUGAUGAGUGCACUACCGCAGGAUGCUGCUAACGCGACACAUGAAUCAGAGACCCUUCGACGAAACUAUGUGCAAUGCAUGAAUCGCAAAUGGUAUCGUAAUAAAACCAUCACCAAUAAGACGAACUGUGUGCGAUGGUGGAGACAUCAGGCACAAUUCAGAUUAGAGUUGUGUGUGUGAUACGUGACACACAGUUUAUCCGUACGAACUGUUUGCGAUUAGCCAGAACAACAGAAAUGACCAGGCACAUCAAGGUGUGUGCGAUAUACGACAUACGGUUCACUUGAUGAACUGCUUGCGAUUAGCAAACAUAGCAAAAAUGGUCAUCCAUAUCAAAAUGUGUGCGAUAGACGGCAUACAGUUCACUCGGAUGAACUGUUUGUGAUGAGCCAUAAGAUCACAAAUGGUUUGGCUUAACGAGAUGUAUGUGAUACCCGGCAAAUAGGUCAGUAAUCAGAAAUAUGUGGGAAGGCCAAUAAUAACACAAAUGAUUCAUGUUAAUAAGUCAUGUGUGUUGCGGAAAAACGCUUGCUGGUAUACAAUUGUCAGCGAUUGAUGAAAUGAUCAUCAACGGGUCCCCUAGUUUAGACCGUGUGUGAUGUGAUUUGCUCAGUCUGCACAACAUAUACACUCUUUGUGUAAAGAAAAAUAUUCUUUAGUGUGAAUAAUGUGCUCUGUUGGGCACCUGAGUAUAGGGAUCACAUUGUGGGCAAGCAAUGUGAGUGCACACGUCAUGCUAGCCCGCGCUUCAUUCUAUGCCAAGUUUCCAUUACUUGAUUGCGUAUUGUGAAUAUGCCACCGUUUCCCACCACUUCCCCAUCGCUUCUCCACCGCCACCCAAUGAUUGCACAUAACCCUAGGCAGCGUGUGACACACCGAGGCACGAGCGCAGCCUAUAGCUCCUCUAGCUACCUUUUCCAAGCAUGCCAACCCACUGAAGCGCCGCCUCCGCCAUCUACCUCCUUGACGAGGAAACCGAGAUGGCGCCACGUCCCGUCGAGCAGAAGGCGUCCCCGGCAACGUGAUGGACGACGUCAUGCCGCGUGUCAUCGCCAGGGUUGAGAAAACCAUUGGUGGAUGACGCUUCAGCAUUGUGGAUCAAGAUAAGCAAUUCAGCGCGAGAGGUCGCAACUCGACGCACAACAUGAUCGGUGGUGCGCCACAGAGCAAGAUAAGCAAGAUAGGCAUGUUAGCGCCGAUAGUCCGCCGUUCACCGCACAACGGGACUGAUAGACCGCCGCAGAGAGAGAGGCGCGGCGAGCCGCACAAGAGCGAUUUCGUCGGCGUUUGCCUACUGUCGAUGGGGCGCUACAGCUGGGUACACGGCCCAUCAGUAGCCCCAUUUCUUGCCAGGAGUGGGAAGAGGCCGUGUGCGCCGUACUAGCACCAACGGCCGGCUGCGUCGUGCUUGCACUGGACGCCGGCCACCCCGUUCGCAUCGGUCGCAUUGUUCUCCUUGUCCGCAGCCCGCUCGAUGCCAGUGUGCUGGUAGCUAGCCUCGAGCGCCUCCUUGGCCCAGGUGUCCACAUAGGCGCAAUAGAGAAACAUGGCCAUCGCAUCCUUUAGUUGGUCAUCUCCGAUGAAAUAGCCAAUUUGGAUAUCGAGAUCGCACUCCAGAUGCACCGAGAGCGUGUCAACCGCUUGGACGAACGCCUACACAAGUUCAGGUAGAAACAAAAGCUACUGUAGGCAGGGUGGUGGUCAUGGACGCGUUUUCUUCUGUUGAGUCGUUUCGACCUUGAUCGCUAUAUAUUCCCAACAAUCAUAAUAUUGCUCUGUUUAUUGCUUUACUUCAGUGUGUGUACUCUAUUUUGCUGGAGUUUAUGAAUACUAUGAAUACUAUUGCUCGAUUUACACACAAUUCCUGGAGCAAAAUCCGUGUGUGAAAUAAAUCGCUGACGGUUCUGAGGACCGAACCGCGUAUAAUUAAUAUCCCGCGCCACUCACCUUCCACACCUCGCGGCACGAAAUAGACUGCCAAUCAUGCGGGGCCCUGUUGUCUUGCUAGAUAUUUACAUUUUCUUUCCAAUUGUUUUGCAUAAAUGCUUAUUCCGUGUCACCAUAAUAUUAUUGGAAUUUUUUUUCAAAAAAAUGAUAUUGUAGGAAAAUGUAAUACACAAAUGAUUAUUCCAACCCAUGAUGAUCAUAUGCCAUUGCAUGUACAUGUAAUUCAAAUUUGAAUUACAUCCAUUAAAUGGUUAGAAACUUAUUUAGUGUCUUAAAAAUGUCAAAUGACCCCUAUUUUUUUUAAAUUUUCACAUGAAAGUUGUAUUUGUGCAUGUUAACGGUAGAAAAAAAUUCAAGGCCAUAAGAGAAAGCGGUUUUCGGGUUUUCAUCAAAUUAACAUGCUUAUUGUUCCCUCUCGAAACCAUGAGUUUUCUCAUGAGAUGCUUCGAUUUGUGAGAGGUGUAUACCAAAACUUUCAACAAACAGGCCAACUUCUUAACCACGGCAUCUUUGUACGAUUUCAUGACAUCAAACAAGGUUUCAUGUAUUUCUGAUCAUUUUAGAAUUUCUUAGAAUUUAAAAGGCAUGGUACUCAAUGUUUGUGUCCAAGCCAUAACACCAAUAUGUUUGAAAAAUCCUAUUAUAUGGCUAGAAACUCACUUAAUGUCUUGAAUAGGUCAAAUGAAUCAUGAAAAUUUCCAAAGUUCAACAUCACAGUUGUAUUAGUGCUUGUUAACCGUACAAAAAAUUUCAGGGCCAUACGAGGAAGCGAGCGUCGGUUUGUCAUCAAACAUGCAUUUUUUCCUCCUGGAACCACGAGUCUUCUCGUGAGAUGCUCCGAUUUGUGAGAGGUAUAUGUGUGUCGAAACUUCGGUCAAACAUGCCAAUUUUUUACCAUGACAUCUUGGUGCCAUGCGAUGACAUCAAGCAAGGUUUAAUGUAUUUUUGAUUUGUUUUGGAAUUUAAAAGCCAUGGUACUCAAUGUUUGUGUCCAAGCGGUGACACCCAUAUAUUGAAAAAAUUCUUCCAAUUUACUGCACAGGGCAUUAACGUGCACACAAGGACGCAAGUAUGAUUUUUCCAAUCCAUGAUGGUUUGCUAUUGCAUGUACAUGUAGUUCAACUUUGAAUUACGAUGAUUAUACACUACUAGGAAAAUGCUUAUACACAGUAGCAUAGUAGUAGCGCUGGAAAGAAGUAAACGCUGCUGCUAUUUAGCAGUAGCGCUUUUCCAGGAAAGCGCUACUAGUAAAUCCAUAGUAGUAGCGCUGUGAACCAGAAAUGCGCUACUACUAUGUGGGACCAGACGAGGCCACCGACUGUUUUUGUAGUUGUACCGGUGUACAGAAAAAAGCGCUACUACUAAUAGUUUGGUAGCAACGCUCUGUUUUUAUGCGCCGCUAAUGCUAGUGGGCCCCUGUUAGUAGUAGUGCUUUUCCUGGAAAGCGCUACUACUAAGUCCAAUAGCAGCAGCGCUUUUUGCAAAGCAACACUACUGCUAGUUGCGGCUGGUGCCACCUUUUCCACCCCCUUCCCCUCCUCUCCCCCACUUUGCCCUCUCUCCCCCUCCUUUCCCCUCUCCCCUCUCCACUCUAGCUCCACCAUUGUUUCUCUUCUUGUCUCUUCCUCCUACCUCUCUUCUCUCCUCAUUAAUGUCACCCUCCUCCAUAAAUGGCCUCUCUCUUUCUCCUACACCUCUCUUCUCUCCCCCAUUAAUGCCCCCAUCCACCAUAACCCCUCUCCAUUAGUUCGCUAGCUAGAUAAACCUCUCCUCCCCAACAGCUAGAUCUAGCUAGCUAUUUAUCCAACCACACGUGCUCUGUCGAUCGUUCUCUCUCAUCAUCUAAUUAACCGCGUGCUCUCGGUCUCUCUCGGGAGAUAUAUAUAUAGGUGAGUAAAAAGUUGUUCAUUUCAAGAAUGGGAAUAUGUGUGUGAAUGAGAAUAUGUGUGUUUGGGAUAUAUAUAUAUAUAUAUAUAUAUAUAUAUAUAUAUAUAUAUAUAUAUAUAUAUAUAUAUGGAGAUAUUUGUGCUAGUGACAUGCCCUCGAGUUGCUUAUGUUUUGCCGAAAUGUCGAUUUAUUUCCGUUUCGGUGAAUUUCGAGCAAACUCAUAUGUCCUAUUUUUAGGCAAGGUCAUGCCAAAAUUUUAUAUAUUUGACUUUGAAGCAUGCAUUAUUUAUUUCAUAACCCUUUUGCUUGUUGUACCGUGCAGUCGGUCAUGAAGGUGAGUGGAUGGAAGGUGGAGCAGUACAUGCAAUCCGCGGUGAUGGACAUGUAUGCAAAUAAUCGGACUAGGAUUAGAUGUCUGUGUGCAAGAUGCAAGGAAGGAGUCCUUUUGGGCCUUUUGAUCGUGGCACUUUGAAGGCGCACCUGCUGAUGAAUGGUUUCAUGGAUGGCUAUACUCAGUGGAUAAGUGAAGAGGAGGAUGAUGAUGAGGACGUCCACAUGCCAGGGAAUAACGACAUGGGGCUAGACGAAGAGAUGACCGAUCGACAAGAAGACGAUGGCGCUGGACAUGUCGGCGGGGAAGAGUCCGAAAAUGACGACGACAGCGGAGAAGAUUCCGGACACCGCGAAGAAGAGUCCGGACAUGGCGGAGAAGAGGCGGCGGUCACGCCACAGUCUUCGACGCUACUAAGUGCAGUCGUCCAGAACCCUCAUGUUCGAGACCUCCUUCGCAAGAGUACGACUAGCGAGAGAGCUGCUUCUAGAGAGGAGGCCAAGCUGGCGCAACUUGAAGUGGACUCGAGGACUCCAUUGUAUGACAGUUGCGAUCCCAAGGUGACCCGCUUGAGUUUCAUGCUCGAACUUCUAAAGACGAAGGCCAACAACAAAUGGACAGACAAAAGCCUCGAUGAGCAUUUGAAGUUUCUAUAUAAUAAAGUUCUUCCCGCGGGGAACCUAUGUCCUACUAGUGUCGAGGAGGCCAAGAAAAUCAUUUGCCCUUUUGAUUUGCCGCACAUUAGGUACCUCGCAUGCAUCAACGAUUGCAUCAUUUAUUGGGGGGAGCACGCGGGAAAAACCAGUUGUCCAGUGUGCAAUGCUUCGCGAUACAAGAAGGCAGGAAAGAAAGCUCCUCAGAAAGUUGGAUGGUUCUUUCCGAUCACUCCCGUCUGCAGCGGUAUUUCGUAGAUCCUAAGGAAGAAAAGCUCAUGCGCUGGCAUGCGGAGAGGAAAAAGCCCGACAAUGGAGAUGAUAUGAGGCUGAGACACCUCGUAGAUGGUAGCCAGUGGAGAGCAUUCAACGCCGUAUAUGAAUUUGCUGCAGAAGAUCCAAUGAACAUCGUGCUUGGUGCGAGUACCGAUGGCAUGAAUCCGUGUGGAAACCAGAACACGAACCACAUCACAUGGCCCGUGUUUGUAUGGAUGUACAACCUCCCCCCGUGGAAGUGCAUGAAGACAAAGUACAUAGACAAGAGCAUGCUGAUUUAAGGGCCAAAACAACCAGGAAAUAGUAUUUACCUGUAUAUGGGGCUUCUGCAAGAGGAGCUAGACACGUUAUGGAAAACACUGGCAUGGACAUGGGACGCCAGCAAAGGAGAAUAUUUCCAUAUGAGAGCCGCGCUGAUGACGACGGUGCACGAAUAUCUCGGUUACGGGUACACCUCAGGCCAGGUGUGCCACAGAUACUGCGGAUGCACAAGGUGCAUGGAUGAUACAAUGUCUCAGCAGCUUACAUCAACGAAAGAUGGCGGGUCCGGGAAAAUCGUGUACAUGGGGCAUCAUAGAUGGCUCGAGAAGGAUGACCCGUGGAGAAAGCGUGGAGAUCUAUUCAAUGGGUUGGCUGAGCUUCGAGGACCUCCACGUAAGAGGAGCGGCGCCGAAAUCGACGAGCUGUUGAGAAACUGGGAACAAUGCCCCGCGUCGGGAAAGAUCAAAAAGGCGUCGGAGCCGCUGCUGAAGGUAUGGAAAACGAGGUCUGUUUUCUGGGACUUGGAGUACUGGCCCAAUCAUGACACACCUCAUUGCCUUUAUCCAAUGCAUGUCACGAAGAAUGUCCUCGAGAGCUUGCCUGGCACACUGAUGAACAUGCCAGAGAAGACCAAGGAUGAGCCGAAGGCAAGGAAAGACUUGGAAUAUUUGAAGAUCAGGAAAGAUCUCCACUGUAAAAAGUUGAUGGAGGAGACGGAGACGGAGACGGAGGAGGGGGUAAGGGGUAGAAAAGUCAACAAGAAGGAGGAGAAUUAUUGCCCCCCUUCUUGCUUCACCUUAAGUGCGAAGGAUAUCGAUCAAUUCAUCAAGUGCCUUAUGGGAAUCAAAGUCAGUUCCGGUUACUGUGGGAAGAUAAGCAGAUUUCUAGACCCCAAGAAGAAAAGGUUUAGCAGGAUGAAGUCUCAUGACUGUGACGUGAUGAGGACACAUAUACUCCUGGUUGCCAUUAGAGGGAUAAUGGAGAAGCACGUCCAUGACACGCUUACUGGUCUCUGCAACUUCUUCGACGUUAUAUCUCGAAAGUCCAUAAGUGUGAAGCAGAUCCGAAGGCUACAGGAAGAGAUUGUUGUCAUACUAUGUGAGCUUGAGAUGUACUUCCCGCCCGCAUUCUUUGACGUCAUGGUGAAUCUGUGUGUCCACAUCAUGGAUGACAUCAUCGACCUCGGGCCGACAUUCCUUCAUAGCAUGAUGCCGUUCGAGAGGAUGAAUGGGGUCAUAAAAGGAUUCAUUUGUAACAUGUCCCGUCCGGAAGGGAGCAUCGUCCAGGGGUAUCUGACGCAUGAGUGCGUCUCCUUUUGCAAGAAUUAUAUAAGCGUCGGAGACCCUGUUGUUGGUUUGCCCGUCAAGAAGCACGAUGGGAAGCUCGAAGGACAUGGUCACAACAACGGCCGGAGGGAAUUGCACGUGGACUACUCGGAUAGACGGAACGACUUUGACAGGGCUAACUUAGUAGUGCUACAACACCUAGAUGUGGUAGCUGAUUAUCUGGCACAGCACAAAAAAACCAUCGCAAAGAAGUACUGUGAUAAGGGGAUGCUCAAGACGGACGACGAAGUUACUGUAGAGCACAACGCCACUUUCUUGCGCUGGUUUAAACAACAAGUUCUGGAAAAUCCCCCGAAAGAGGGCAGUUCAGACGGAUUGCUCGUACACGCCUUAGCACAUGGCCCCGCGCACAAGAUCGCGACCUAUCAGUCCUACGGUAUCAAUGGUACACGUUCUACACGGAGGCCAAAGACAUGGAGAGUUAUUACCAGAACUCUGGGGUGACAAUUCAAUGCGUGACUGACGCUAACGGCACAACUGAGAGAUUCCACGGAAGGGUCGAAGAGAUCUUGGAGCUUGACUAUGCUGGAAUGCACGAUGCGACGAUGUUCCGUGUCAGAUGGGCCAAGGACGUUGUAAGAUUAAACAAGUAUUUCACCACCAUGUCUAUUCCCAACGCGAAGAGCACUCCCGUGAACGUUGACGUCAUCGCCAAAAAUGAACCAUGGUACACGCUAAGCACGUGACACAAUGCUCCUUCAUAACCGACCCGGCCAAUCCCAGUCGUGUUGUCGUGAGGAGAUCCAAAAGGAGCAUCGUCGGAAUGGAUGGAGUAGCCAACAAGGAAGACUACGACCAAUACGGCAACCCGAUGAGGGAAGAUGACGAUGACGAUGAAGCAUACGUGAAAAGAAGAAUCAAUACUACAUUACCUUAGAAAGAUCGUAAUCCAUGGCUCCGAAAAAGUCACAAGGAGGGGCUCAAUUACUCGGGAAUGAACAAGAAAGGGAAGAAGCUCAAUGUGAAACGUCGUCGACGCAGCUGAUCAGAAACCUACAUCUAUAUAUAUAUAUGUAUAUAUUUUGUGUACGCACUUAAGUAACCGUUAUCGGUCAACUGAUAUGUUACCACCACAUGCAUGGUUCCGGUGAUAUGCGCGCAGUGGGGGAGAGCACUAGUAGAAAAAGGGCCAUUUGUCCCGGUUCGUAAGGCCCAUUUAUCCCGGUUGGGGAACCGAGACUAAAGGGUCGGUACUAAAGCCCUACACAUUUAGUCCCGGUUCUUACACCAAUCGGGAUAGAUGGGCCUCCACGUGGCCACUGCGGCGAGCCCAGGCAGGAGGGCCUUUGGUCCCGGUUGGUGGCACCAACCGGGAGCAAAAGGCAUCCACGCAUCAGUAGCUGGCAGGAGCUGAGGUUUUUGUUUUUUUGAAAGGGGUUGGGUUUUGGGGGUUUUGGGGGGUUAAUUUAGGUGUUUCAUAUAUUGUGUUAGCUAGCUAAUUAAUAGAUAGAAGUGUCCUCUCUUAUCUCCGUGCUUGCUUUACCAACGCUACUGCUAUGCCUAAACAUGGCUUAGAUUGAAGUGAAGGAAACAUGUGGUGCAUGUCGAAAAUAAUACUAAUCCUAACUUGAUCAAGUUGGGAUUAGUACUACUUUCGACAUGCACCACAUGCAUGUUGCCUUCACUUCAAUCCAAUCCAUGUUCAUUUCACCCACUGAUAUAUAAUAACUCUUCAUGCUCGCAUCAUGCAUCAUCAUAAUAACAAGUCCUGCUAAUCAUCAUCAUACAACUUCUACUCGUUAUUAAUAACAAGUCAUACGAUCAUCAUCCUCAUAGUCAUCGAACCAACCCUACUUAAUUGUUAUUAGCACAUGAUCAUUAGUAUUAGGUAGGACCUAAAUACCCUCUUUAAGGUAAAAUAGCAUAAAACAAUAUAGACCCUGACUCUCCAUUAUGGAGAAUGGAGAUCAUCCUGUCUCCAAUUCUUGCGCUUCGCUUCAUUUUGCUUCCAAGAACCUCCUUACGACUGUCCAUACAUUUUUUCCAUUCUUUGAUUUUCAUGUCUCCACUUCUUUUAGAAAUCCGGUAUGGACAGUUGAGAUUCAUAGGAUGACCUGGCUGUAUGUUCAAAACAUCAAGGCGACCAUUCUGAUACAUCAGAUGAGGCACACAAUCAUUCGGGAUUUCCUGUUGAAAAACAUAGUAAUAACUUCGUAGUUAGCAAUGUAGUUAAGUUUUAAAAGAAUUUAUGCAAAAGAUGCACAGAUGUCGUAAUACUAAAAAAUCUUACCAUGGCAUCUCCAUGGAUGUUACCGUAGUUCAACACGUGCACUAGUGGCACGUAUUGACCAUAAUGUGGAGGAGUUUUAUAAUAGAUAUUGUAAUUCUCAAGAUCAGUACAAAAUGAGACCAAAUGAGUUUUCUCCUGAUAAGUUAACUCAGAGCCAUCGGUGUAGUAGGUUCUGUCUACCAUGUUUCGCACAUUGUUUGAACAAUGAAAAUAAGCUAUCAAUGGAAAUAAGCUGUCAACAAUUUUGAAAUGACAAUAUAAAUUAAUUAAUAACUAUGUUUGAGAAACUCACAUAGUGGUUGAAUUGGAAGCGUAUCAACAAGGACCCAAAUGUCCAUAUUGUCUUGGUCGAUGUCAGGAUCACCAAGUUCCAUGGUGACAAGCAUACCCUCAUUAAAAUCAUACAUCUUGCAAAGUGCUUCCCAAUUUUUGCAACCAAAAUGGGUUACGCUCUCAGAAUUAUACAAAUUUACUUCAAAAUCCAUAUCAUGAUGGGUCCUUAGGUGAAUUUUCUUUGUUUCCAUACUUUCAUGGUCUUCAAAACCCAUCCUCUCCAAGACAUAGCGUCUUGCAUGGCAUGGGAUAAGCUAGUCGAAUUGUAAGAGAUGAAAAUUACACGUUGAAAUAGUUGAAGUCGUGCUUAAUUACAAAAAAACACUUGUCGUCGUUGCGUACCGCUUCAACAUCGAAGGUCUCCUCAAGCUUAAUGCUUAAGUGCCGAUCUUCGUCAAGGUGAGGCCUGUCGCACAUACCUCGUUCGUCGUGGCACCAGUCGCACUCCCCCGGGAGACUUUCGUCAUCCGAGUACGACAUUUCCUACGUUCAUAAUUCAAAUUUUAAACUUGUACAAUUCAAUAUAUGUACUAUAAAAAAUAAAUUAGAGCAUUAUUAUUCAUCACGGGUUGACUAUCGGUCUGUCGAGUCUUUUCUUGAAAACUCUCAGCUCACGUGGUGUAUAUAUUCGGCCGUCGGUGAUGGUAGCUCCUCCUUUCGUUCCUGAGUGCAUUACACCAAAUUGUCUAGCACACAGGAAUGAAGGAGAAGCUACCCCCAUGAUAACAGUCGGGAUGCUUCGUCCUCUCAUAUAUGGUGGAGACUAUCCCUCACUGAUUCCUCUCUGACAUUUGCGACCGUCGGUGAUGGUAGCUCCUCCUUUCGUUCCUGAGUGCAUUACACCAAGUUGUCUAGCACAUGGGAACGAUGGAGAAGCUACCCCCACGACAACAGUCGGGAUUCUUCGUCCCCUCAUAUAUGGCUCGACAUACCUAAAGUCAACCCGAAAUAUCAUUUAAUUAUCUUUCUAAAAAAGGACAUAUCUACAUCAUAUGAGCAUUCAAACUUUAAUGGCCAUUACAUUUCAAUGGUUGAAAAUAUGAGCAAAAACAUUACAAAAUAUCUUAUAGGACUCAUAUUGACAUGGAGAUUUGGCUGGUGACAGGGACGACAGCAGGGAUGAUGGAGGGGACUCCUAGAUUUCUGCAAAAACAAAAACCCUAUAAGCUAUCAACUAAUCAAAUGCAUAUGCCUUGCAUAGUGCUCUCCAAUUUUAGUAUUCAAAGUAGGAGUAGUUUUCCAAUUUGAGCAUUCAAUAAGAAAAACCAAAUCGUAAAAUAAAGUAGUAUUCCAAUUAGCAUGCAUUCAAUUAUAAGGAAAACUACAUCAUCUCUUGCGUCCGUACAUCGUCGAAUAUUAUCACUAAUACACCUUGAAUAGUAUCAUACAUAUAGCAUCGCUAAUACAGCUAGAACCGUAGCGCCCAACGGGUAUCAACGGACACCCAGAGAGAAGGAACCAUCACAGGAUCAUAGCUCCAGUAAGAUCCCCGAAGAACCUGCCAGGUAUUGUAGAACCUGCCCUCCAGCGCAACCAUGUAGCGACGGACGUGCUCGUCCUCCUCGCUGACACGGUGACGUACCACCUCCACGGUGUCCGGAAGGCUCGGCACCGUCACUGGCCCAUGCGACCGCCACCAAACAAGGUUCGGGUCAACGACGGGCUGGCUCCUCACCAACCUACGCCCCCAGAAGGUAGCACCUCCCAAUACCAGCCCGGCGGAGCCCAUUCCCGGACAUGGCCCCUCUGAUCAAGAAGUCCUCCUCCACCGAGUCGAUGAUGAGGAUGCGGGAUAGGCAUCGCCGACGUCGAUGCGGGAAUAAUUGCUUGAACUAAAAAAUAAACUAGUUCUAUUAAUUUUCUUGCUAAAAAUAAAGUACUUCUAUAGUAAAAUAAAGUAGUUUUAUCAAAUCAACUAGUUCAACUACUAAGCACUUACUAUAAAUAAAAUAAAGUAGUACUUAGUAAAAAUAAACUACUUCUAUAGUAAAAUAAAGUAGUUCUAUUAAACCAACUAGUUCAACUACUAAGCACUUACUAUAAAUAAAAUAAAGUAGUACUUACUGAAAAUUAACUAGUUUAACUAGUUCUGUUAUUUAUCGACCCCCCCCCCCUCAUGUCGAAGUUAUCGGGGAGGGGCUAUAUCGACAACGAUAUACCCGAUAAAAAAUAAGAAGAGGAAGAAGAAGAAAAAAAAGAGGAGAAGAAGAAAGGAAUAAAGGAGAAGAUCGAAGAAAAAAAAGAAGAAAAAAGAGGAGAAGAAGAAAUGAAUAGAGGCGAAGAAGAAAAAACUAUUUUUUUCUUCUUCUCCUCCAUUCCUUUCUUCUUCUCCUCUUUUUUUGUUCUUCUUUUUUCCUCUUCUUAUUUAAUUCUCCUCUUCUUCCUCUCCUCUUCUUCUCCUUCUUCUUCUCCUUCUUCCUCUUCUUAUUUUCCUUAUUUGACUUUUUCCUCUACACUAACCUAAAAUGCACUAACCUAAAAUCGAUAUCUACCCAUUCAUCAUAUAGCUACCACAUACAUAUAUACAUUAUAUAUAUGAAAAAAUGCAAUGAACAGAAAAACAAUACACAUUAUAUGAAAAAAAAAGCACUGAACAGAGCCGUGGCGGCGGCGGCUCACAUCAGGGGUGGCCGACGAGGGCGACGGCGGGGGCGCGAGGGCGUCGGCGACGACCACGGNNNNNNNNNNNNNNNNNNNNNNNNNNNNNNNNNNNNNNNNNNNNNNNNNNNNNNNNNNNNNNNNNNNNNNNNNNNNNNNNNNNNNNNNNNNNNNNNNNNNNNNNNNNNNNNNNNNNNNNNNNNNNNNNNNNNNNNNNNNNNNNNNNNNNNNNNNNNNNNNNNNNNNNNNNNNNNNNNNNNNNNNNNNNNNNNNNNNNNNNNNNNNNNNNNNNNNNNNNNNNNNNNNNNNNNNNNNNNNNNNNNNNNNNNNNNNNNNNNNNNNNNNNNNNNNNNNNNNNNNNNNNNNNNNNNNNNNNNNNNNNNNNNNNNNNNNNNNNNNNNNNNNNNNNNNNNNNNNNNNNNNNNNNNNNNNNNNNNNNNNNNNNNNNNNNNNNNNNNNNNNNNNNNNNNNNNNNNNNNNNNNNNNNNNNNNNNNNNNNNNNNNNNNNNNNNNNNNNNNNNNNNNNNNNNNNNNNNNNNNNNNNNNNNNNNNNNNNNNNNNNNNNNNNNNNNNNNNNNNNNNNNNNNNNNNNNNNNNNNNNNNNNNNNNNNNNNNNNNNNNNNNNNNNNNNNNNNNNNNNNNNNNNNNNNNNNNNNNNNNNNNNNNNNNNNNNNNNNNNNNNNNNNNNNNNNNNNNNNNNNNNNNNNNNNNNNNNNNNNNNNNNNNNNNNNNNNNNNNNNNNNNNNNCGGGACCAAAGUCCUUGUGCUGCUCGCGUCGCGGCCAAAAGUUUAGUCCCACCUCGCUAGUUGAGAGAGCUCCAGAGUGGUUUAUAAGCGCGGCUGCACCGACCGUCUCGAGCUCCUCUCAACUGCAGGCUUUCGCGCCUAACAUGUGACUGUGUGCGUGUGGGCCUACUGGGCCUGCUGCGGGCUUGAAUCCUGGCCCAUGGUUGGGUUUCUAGUCGUAUCCAGGCCGUGGUUGCCUAGUAGGUGGCACUUUUUAUUUUUAUUUUGUUUAUUUUCUUGCUUUAUUUAUUUUAUUUUGUUUGUACAUACAACAAAAUACUUGCUGUUGUUAUUUUUAUUAAUUUUAUUAAAGUUUAUUUAUUUUACUUUAUUAAAGUUUACUUUGUUUCUACUUAUUUAUUUUAUUUUGUUUCUACUUAUUGAAUUUGUUUUCGUUUUUGCUUUAUUUAUUUAUUUUCUGAAAAAUCUUUUUGCUUUUAAUGUUUUGAACAGAAAAUAAUUCGAUAAUUUUAGUUGCAUAAGUUUUAUAUAAUUUUAGUUUCAAUAAUACUAGAGGUUUAUAAAAGCUUUUUGGUUGAUUCCUUUAGCUAUUAGAGUUUCAUUAAAGUUUUCUAGUUCAUUCUUUUUUCUAUUAGAGUUUCAUUAAAGUUUUCUAGUUCAUUCUUUUAGUUUAUUAUUUUUGCUAUUAGAGUUUCAUAAAAGUUUUCGAGUUCAUUUUUUAUAUUAGUUCAUUCUUUGAGCUAAAUGACCCUGAAAUUGGAAAGCAUUUCAAAUGAACUCUGGAAAGGUUGAAAGUUGGCAUGGCAUCAUCAUUUCACCAACAUAGCAUGUGCAAAAAAGUAGAGAGGGUUACGGCAAAAACUGGAUGCGCUUCGUGUACAAAACGGACAAUCUCUUUCGAGGUAUCAGGGUUUCAUACGGAAACUCGUCUGUUACAACAAGCAUUUCAUUUCUUCACAUGUAACUGCAGUGAUAUUCUAGAUCAAAGGGAUCAUCAUAAUAGUUGUGGAGAGAAAGUCUUCACUUUUUCUUCGCUUGUGUCCUUUGCUUAUUGCGCCGCAACCAUGGCUAAUCUUCACCAUUUAUCAGGGUGCUUGGUCAGCCUUGACUUUGAAGGGAGGAAUUUCUUGAAACAUUUCAUAAUCUUCGGACAUGUCUGUCUUGCCCUCCACUCCCACAAUGUCUCUUUUUCCUGAAAGAACUAUGUGGCGCUUUGGCUCAUCGUAUGAUGUGUUCGCUUCCUUAUCUUUUCUUUUUCUCGCUUUGGUAGACAUGUCCUUCACAUAGAAAACCUGCGCCACAUCAUUGGCUUGGACGAACGGUUCAUCUGUGUACCCAAGAUUGUUUAGAUCCACUGUUGUCAUUCCGUACUGUGGGUCUACCUGUACCCCACCUCCUGACAGAUUGACCCAUUUGCACUUAAACAAAGGUAACUUAAAAUAAUGUCCGUAGUCAAGUUCCCAUAUGUCCACUAUGUAACCAUAAUACGUGUCCUUUCGCCUCUUAGUUCCUGCAUCAAAGCGGACACUGCUGUUUUGGUUGGUGCUCUUUUGAUCUUGGGCGAUCGUGUAAAAUGUAUUCCCAUUUAUCUCGUAUCCUUUGUAAGUCAAUAAAGUCGAAGAUGGUCCCCUGGACAACGAGUACAGCUCAUCUCGUAUCUCAUAUCCUUUGUAAGUCAAUAAAGUACAAUACAGGAAUCAGCUAUUUUGCCGUCUGCCAUGGCGGACGGCAAAGGCAUGAACGGCGGACGGCAAAGGCCUUUGCCGUCAGCCGCGGACGGCAAAAGGCUCCGGCAAAGUAGGCUACGGUAAACAGCUACUUUGCCGUCUGCUUCCUGGCGGCUGAUGGCAAAGGCCCUUUGCCGUCUGCGGCGGAAGGCAAAGAGAGCGGACGACAAUAAUUGUGCUCUUAGUCCGUUAAGUGGCUAACGGCAGGCCUUUGCCGUCCGCCGCGGACGGCAAACUUUCUAGUUCCUUUGCCGUCUGCCAGCGGACGGCAAACUUUCUAGUGUCUUUGUCGUCCGCCGUAUGAUGUCAUCUACACGUCACUACAUGGCAGGCCUUUGCCGUCCGCCGCUGACGGCAAACUCGUUUACUCUUUGCCGUCUGCCACUGUAGGCAAAUUGACCAAAUGGGUCAGCUCCCAGGAAGCACAGCUGGCUGCCACGUGGCUUCUUUGCCGUCUGCGGCUGACGGAAAAGAGCCCGUUGCCGUCGGUGGCAGACGGCAAAGAGCCUGCAUAUUGGCUCUUUUUUCUGUUUUUUAUCAAAUCCAACAAUUUUCAUCACAAAUAUAUAUGACAUAUAUAGAUAUAUUUCAAAAGGCCAUUACAGAGCAAACAUAUAAGAUAUCCAACACAUAACUUCAUCAUCCAACCAUAUAUAUUACAUACAUACUUCCAUCAUACAUAACAAGUUCAACAUAGAGGCAUCCAACCAUAUAUAUUACAAUAGUUUCAUCCAACGAUACAUGCAUAGUUCAACGAUACAAAAGAAACAGAGAAAGGGAUAAGGAGCACUCCAUCUAUGCAAGCUUUCGUCAAGUGAAUGAAAUCUGCAAAAUGAAAAAUAAGAAAGUUAGAACAAGAAGAGUAGAACAAGAAGAAGACUAGAACAAGAAGAGUAGAACAAGAAGAAAACUAGAACAAGAAGAGUAUGUCAUUUAUGAGCUAACUUACGUGAAAUGGAUCAUAUAUGAGCUAACUAAGUUGAAAUGGGUCGUUUAUGAGCUAGCUAAGGUGAAAUGGAUCAUUUAUGAGCUAACUUAGUUGAAAUGGGUCGUUUAUGAGCUAACUAAGGUCAAAUGGAUCGUUUUUGAGGUAACUAAGGUGAAAUGGAUCUUUUUUAGCUCACUUAGGUGAAAUGGAUCAUUUAUGAGCUAACUUAGUUCAAAUGGAUCGUUUUUGAGCUAACUUAGGUGAAAUGGAUCAUUUAUGACCUAAUUUAGUUGAAAUGGAUCUUUUUGAGCUAACUUAGGUGAAAUGGAUCAUUUAAGAGCUAAUUUAGGUGAAAUGGAUCGUUUUUUAGCUAACUUGGUGAAAUGGAUCGUUUAUGAGCUAAAUUUGUUGAAAUGGAUCGUUUAUGAGAUAACCUAGGUAAGAUGUGUCAUUUUGGAGUUAACCUAGGUGAAAUGGGUCAUUUUAAAGCUAACGUAGGUAAAAUGGAUCAUUUAGGAGCUAAUCUAGGUAAAAUGGGUCAUUUUUGAGCUAACUUGGAUGAACUGGAUCAUUUAUAAGCUAACCUAGGUAAAAUGGGUCAUUUUAGAGCUAACUUUGAUAAAAUGGAUCGUUUAUGAGCUAAGCUAAUUAUGCAAUUUUUGACAUAAGUAAGCUCAGUACAGAUCGUUUUAGAGCUAACUUAGGUAAAAUGGAUGGUUUUGGAGGUUAGUAAGCUUAUUAAGUCAUUUUGGAGGAGAAGAAGCUAAGUCUAGGUCAUUAUGGUAAGCAUUGGAGGAAAUAAAGCUAAGUCUAGGUCUUUAUGCAUGUGUUAAGCAAAACACUAGAUAAACUUACCAAGAUCCAGGAGGUGUAGGAGCGGGGUGGCUCGUGUCGGUAGCUGGAGAAGGAUCGUGCGAUGCCUGUCUGGAGUUACGCUGCACCAAAGAUCAUUUCCAAUGUCUUGUUAGCAUGAUGACACUCAAAUGUUAAGACUAGCAAGUAAUGUCCAUUCAAAUAAAACUCACCGUGGUCCCAGGAGCAAUCACUGGCAUCGGCGGAGCGGUCUGACCUGUCUUCUCGCACACAGACUGCACAUUUGGUUUCGACGACUCAGUCAUACUAGUUAGUAAUGAGACAAACACUACAUGAAUGUUUUGGCUAAUCUGCAGAAGAAACUUACCACAAGGAGCUGGUACAUGGCCCUUGCCUGCAUGUCAUUCCGUGCCCUCUCCUCCUCCAUCAUCUUUGUCGUCCUCUCCUCCAACUCCCGCUGCCUCUCCGCCGCCUCCGCCAGAAGUUUCUCCGUUCUAUCUCACUCACUCUGUAUAGCAGCCUGCAACACCACUCACAUGAACAUUUGUAAUCAUUGAUGGAAGCGCACACAAUGUAAUGGAGAAAGAUAAUUGAGUACGUAUCACUAACCUUGAUGGCGAGUUGCACUGGCCGUUCACGAGGCCUUAUCUCAGGAGCGGAGCUCGACUGGCGCGCCUUGAUCUCCGGGAGAGUGCUAGGACAACGCAUAAGUCCAUCUCCAAUGGCUAUGGAGCCAUGGGACCUCCCGCCACCAGAUAUCAUCACCAGCUCUGGAUCAAUGGGACCCUGGCUCGGGUGAAAGUCCUCCCCUUUCCUCGCCUUCCCCUCAUCUCUAUAUCUCACGAGCUUGUUGUGGGAGGAGAUGUUGGUGAAGUUGUUUGCAUCUUCGAGGUCAGACUGAGAGAAAGCCUUGACUUUCUUGAAAGAGGCAGUGUGGGCCAUGGCAUACAGGUCGUACACCUCUGGCACCUUAUCCACCUUAUUGUGGCGUGCCUGAAAGAGAGAAACAAUGAAAAUUAGUAAUUAAAGGGCUCAAGCUAGCAUGAUGAAUGAAUUGCAUGAAUCAUGAAGCAAACCACAUACCCAGUUGCGCCCGAACUGAUAUAAGUUGGAGCUGCCUUGAUGGUGUGGCACACCUUCCAUUUGGGCACGUUUGUCCUUGGCCUCGUUGUGGAGGGCUAGCCAUUCUUUUGAGCACCACUCAUCGACCAACACCUCCCAACAAUCCAUCCGAUCCGCACACCAUCUCGGAGGCGCCUAAGUUAGCAAAUAGAAACUUGAGCGCUACGGCUAAGAAUUACUAAAUGAAGGAACUUAAGUAGAAGGCCUUAAGAAUUACCUUCAUGUACUGCUCCUUACUCAGGAACUUAUCGCGGCACGCCGGCUUGGUCUUCUUGAUACCACGCAAGGCGUAGUAGUCUCGAACAGCCUGCACCCGAGCCUCGUGCCAUAAGUUCUGGAGUAGGCGCUUGCAGACGUUCUCGAUAACAUGUGCCGCGUCCUCCUCGUAUCCCUCCUCACACCUAUAGAAUGUCUGCAAUCAAAUGAGACAAUAUUGAUUAGUACAAUUAAUAACUAGCUAGUUGAAGAUUUUUAAAUGUGUAAAGGAGAAAUUACCCAGAACUUUCUGAUCACCAUGUCUGCCCUCGUGUCGCACACGACACCGUCGAUAAUCUCAUCCGGUGGGGCCGGGGCAGCCACGUAGUGCUCCCAGCUCAAUCCAAGCUCUGGAAGCCGACCCUCACCAGGCAACGUGACAAACCCCGGGAAGUUUUGCUGGCAAAGAACUCCAAGGACGGAGUUGGGCCGGCGGACACUGUGAUGGUGGUCCCAACCCUGCAGCAUGACAAGGCCAACACAUUAGUUAUUUGAAGAAACGUGAAUGCAGAAGGUACAAAAAUAUUAAAUGCACUUACGUACCUCUCCCCAUCAGGGAAAAUCAACCACCUCUGCUCGCGGGUCGCCGGCACGGACGGGAGCGUGUAGCACCACGCUGGUAGACAGUGCCCCCCUCCUCCUCAAGAUCAGUCGGCUCCCCACCAUCAUCAGCAUGGCCACUCGGCUCCUCGGGCUGAUCCGGCCAGGUACCCCAUCCGGACGUGUGCUCCUCCGGGGUCUCGUGGGCCAAACUCUCGUGGGCCGAAGGCCAGUCGACCCGAGGCUCGUGGGCCCAAGACCCGUGGACCGGAGGCUCAUGGACCGGAGUCCGUGUAGCCUCCUCCUCGGACGAGUCCACCCUAGCAGUCACGUGCUCGGGUGAAACAGCUGGGGGUGGCGGCGAGGAAGGCGCCGUAGCAGUCACCCUACCUCCUCUCCCGCGACCACGUGCCCCACCUCCUCUCUUGCUACCUCGUCCCCUGCUGGGCACCGCGGUCGACGAAGAAGGGCCCGGCGGUGUGGCCAUACUGUCCAGCAACGCUCGACGGAGAGGUGCGUCUGGAAUGGAAGACCUCAGACCACGCGCCGACGAAGAAGGGGCCUUGGCGCGCUCCCGACCAGCCCCCACCAUCUUUCAAUACCUGCCAUGACAAACAGUAAACGAAAUUAGUACAACAUAAAAAAAAGACCGACAUGAAUAAUAAUAUGUGUAUCACUUAAGUGUAUCAUCAUCAAGUACAACAUAAAAAAUUUAAUACCUGACACUACUAAUAAUCUCGAUCAGUAUCAUCAAUAAAUGCAUAAUCAUCAUCAUCACUAUAAUCAAUGACAGGCUCAUAGGGUUCAGUGGCAUCAACAUGUGGAAGGCCACCUUGACGUAAUCGGUCAAGCAAUGCCAGGUCAUCCGCAGCAGUAACCUCUUCUUGUUCCGGCUCUUCUUGUUCCUCCUCUGGGGUGAUGUCGGAUUCACUGUCGCUGUCUACUUCAAUGUUUUGGGGUGAAGUAUAGCAGUUCUUGAAACGCUUUUUGGAAAGACGUGUCUCUUGGAAGAAUUCUCCUUCAUAUGUGUCUGGGUUAAUGUGAGGUUCAUAAUCCUCUUCCUUUGGGGGAGAUAGUCUAGCACAUGGCGGCACUUCAUAAACGACAUCCCAACCUUUCAGAUUUGGAUUAGUUUGGCAGGCCCACGGUAGAUAGAAUACUUGGGUCGCCUGUUGAGCCGUAAUAUAGACAUCAGGAACAUCUAAAUGGGUGCUUUGGUUGAUUUCACCUAGCCCUAUAUGUUCAUGAGUCCUUCUAGUCUCCUUCGGCUGAAACCAAUAACAUUUGAAGACUACGACAUUCGGUGGGUUUUCACCAUAGAAUAGAAGUUCAUAAAUUGCUUCAACUCUCCCAUAAUACUCGGUACCUCCUUCGCCGAUAGCAGAUACACAACAAUUUGUAGACUUUCGGUCGGCCAUAGAUAGCUCUUUGCCAUAGGUACCAAAGCGAUACCCGUUGAUGUCGUAUUUGUCAAAUGAACGGACCUUAUAGUCAAAACCAUUAGCGACUUGUCUCAAUUCGGCGUCCGUAGACUCUGAAUUAGCCUACAAGUUUAAUAUGAAAGGAUUGUUGCAUUACGCACAAAUUAGCGAAUGAAACCGGGAUAGCCGCCUACAAAUUAGCCUACAAGUCUAAUAGAAAUUACCGUUUGUUUGAACCAAGAGAUGAAACCGGGAUAGCCGCCUCCUUGCUUUGCGAGAAGCUCAUACUCUUCGACAGAAUCCUUUUGGAUCACCGCUGCAUACGAGAAUAAGGCGACGUAUCGACUGUAUGAAAUAUCCAGGAAUAAGAGCACUUCAAAGGAAAUAGAAGUUGUGAAACUAUGUACCGAGAACUUACUCGAUGUACGGCCGCACUUCUAUCAGGUUGUUGAAGAUAUACAACGAAAUGGUCCACCAUUGUUCGUUAUCCAAAGAUACUGGAUUUGAAACACUGGCUGGUGCGAGAUUCCCUUUGAAUAGGCUGAGGUUGGAUCCACCCUUUUUAGGGUCGUCAGCAUUGUACCGAGGCUUCGGAUUAUGCAAAUGAUGAUUUUUGGCUUCGUAGUGUGCUGUCACGAAGUUUGCCGCCUCCUCAGUGAUGAAUGCCUCAGCCAUCAAUGCUUCAAUUCUACGUUUAUUUUUACAUUUUUGUCGAAGCGUCUUCUGCAUCCUCUCAGUUGGGUAGCACCAACGAUUUUGCACGGGCCCCCCCAAUCUUGCCUCGGUCGGGAAAUGCAAAAUCAAAUGUUGCAUUGGAUUAAAGAAGCCCGGUGGAAAGAUCUUCUCUAACUUGCAGAUCAACUCCGGCGCCAACUCUUCCAUUUCUUCUAGCACGCCAGGCGAUAGUUCUUUCGCACAAAGAACACGGAAGAAAUAGCUGAGUUCUGCCAGUACUAGCCAUUCAUCCUCAGGGAUGAAGCCACGCAACAUCACCGACAUUACCCGCUCAAUCCAUAUGUGCCAAUCAUGACUCUUGAGACCAAAUAUCUUCAAUUUAUCAAGACUGGCUCCCCUCUGUAGAUUCGCUGGAUACCCAUCGGGGAACAUCAACUGCAUUUUCACCCACAAGAUAAUUUCCCUCAUAGCUGGCCUUCCAAGAUUGAACCAUGCCUUUGGCUUCGUCCAGUUCUGCUUUCCUUUCGGUUCUUUCAUGUUUUGUAACGGCCUAUCACAUAGCGCCUCCAGAUCGACUCUAGCCUUAGUAUUAUCCUUUGACUUCCCAUCUAUGCCAAACAAUGUACCAAAAAGUGCCUCGGCGAUAUUCUUCUCAGUGUGCAUCACGUCGAUGUUGUGUGGGCAAAGGAGGUCUUUGAAGUAGGGCAGAUCCCAUAAGCCUGUUUUGUGAGUCCAGGCGUGCUUAGAAUUAUACCCCUUGAAGUACCCUGGAUGCUCUGGAUCUGGCUCGAGAGCGUUUAACUGAUCCAGGGUCUGUUGGCCUGUCAAUGCAGGUGGUGCAGAGUUUUUGACAACUCUACCUCUGAUGAAGUUCUUCUUGUCUUUCCUGAACUUAUGGCGAGGAUUCAGGAACUGUCUAUGCAUGUCGAAGCAAGAAAACUUGCGACCGGCCUGAAGCCAACGAAACUCAAGAGCUCCCUUGCAUGUGGGGCACGGGAACCUUCCAUGCACACACCAGCCAACGAAUAGCGCAUACGCCGGCAAGUCAUGCGUCGAGUACAUGUACCAGACACGCAUUAUGAAGUUCCGUUUGCUAUAGGCGUCGUAUGUCUUGAACCCAUUAUCCCAGGCUUCUUGCAAUUCGUCCUUAAGCGGUUGCAUGUACACAUUCAUAUUUUUCCCCGGAUAGUUGGGCCCUGGAAUUAUCAACGUCAGGAAAAUGUUCUUUCUUUGCAUAAUCUGUCCGGGGGGGAGAUUGAGUGGAAAGACAAAUACGGGCCAACAACUGUAUUGGGCUGCCGUCAUACCAAACACACUGAACCCAUCCGUGCUGAUGCCGAAUCGAGGAUGCCUCGGAUCUGCCGCUUUGUCACCAUGUAAUUCAUCAAACUUUUUCCACGCAACACCAUCCGAUGUGUGUACAAUCAUCAGAUUCCCAUCUACAUCUAGUUCGGUUCUUUUGCCCGUUUUGUGCCAUGUCAUCUGUCUGGCCGUCUCUUCGACCAUGAAAAGACGUUGAAGUCUUGGUACGAUUGGCAUAUACCGAAGAACACUAACGGGGAUUUUGGUCUGUGUCUUCUCACCCAUACCAUUGUCUACCACAACAUACCUGGAAGACUUGCAAAUGGGACAAUAGUUCAAGUCCGCAUAGUCAAGCCUAAACAAGACACAUCCUUUCUCACAGGCAUGUAUCUUAUCAUAGGGCAUCUUCAGUGCACGGAGGAUUUUGUCCGACUGGUACAGGUUUGCAGGCAUUACAUGGCCUUUGGGUAGAAAGCGUCCAAAUACUGUCAUCAUUGCAUCAUAGCAUUCUCUGCCCAAGUUGAACUGAGCCUUCAGAGCCAUUACUUGUGAGAUGGCAUCCAACUGACAAAGCUCAGUGUGCUCAUGGAGCGGACAUUUUGAAGACUCCAACAUUUCAUUGAAGGCCUUUGCAGAUUCCUCCAUCUCCUCGUCCGAAUCCCGAGCAUCAUCGAAGUCUUGCACCAUGUUUUCCAUCCCGGUACCAUGCUCGUCGGUGCGACGACGAUCCACCUCAGCUCGGUCACGUUGGGCAGACUCACCAUGAAAUGUCCACACCGUAUAAUCGGGCGUAAAACCACUCUUUUGCAGGUGUUUUCCCAUUUCAGCCUCUGUCCUCUUUUCCCAAUUGCCGCACCGUAAACAGGGGCACCAGGUUUUCCUCUGGCCAUUUGCAAAUGCGGGUCGCACAAACCCCUUGGUUUUUGUGAACCAUUCAGUGCUCCAUUUGUUCUGACAAGUGUGACCGGUAUACAUCCACGCACGAUCACUCAUCUUGACUUUCAGAGCUACUAGACACACAACAAAUAUAUAUAUAUAUAUAUAAUUCACCAUGUAUAUAUUCAUCAGUUGAUCUACUUUGUCAAUUUUAUUACGUCCAUGCAACCUACACUCUAAUAGGUAAUGAUAGGUCCUAAUCCCACCCGAGUAUGUUUAGAUUGGGUUCAUUUUCCCAUGCUAUGCUCCGGAUCCUACGCAAAAUUUCGGCAGCACCUCCCCGCUGUUCUCCUGAUACACGUCUCUGCAAUAAACAGAGAGGAUGUGUACCCAGAGAACAACAAGGGAGGCACUGACAAAAUUUAUGCGUCGGAUCCGGAGCAAAGCAUAUGGGAAAACGAACCCAAUCUAAACAUACUCGGGCUGUCCAUGGAUAGCGUUGGACAAUUCGAAAGAAUCAAGGUUAUAAAUAUGCAAAUGCAUGCAUAUUUAUAACUAUGACGCUUUCGAACGGGAGACACAUAUUGGUUACGCAUACUGAUGAUUCAAGACACAUAUAUAGCUAGCUAUCGAGUUUCAUCGGAAUAGAUCAAAUAAUUAAUGGGGGAGGAGGACAUGUCAUUUGUGCUCACCCACGAACGAAGGGGCAGAGCUCGUCAAACGCACGGCGAGGUCGUCGAACACCAAACCUCGCAGCGAUGAAACAACUGCACAUUUAAAACUACCCGAUCGACACAAUUAUAUAUGAUGUUUUUCAUAACAAAAUCGAAAAAUAUAUGACCUAACUAAUAAUUCAAAAAUAUAUGAUCCCGUCGGCCUCUGCAAGGCCAAAGAACACCUUUUCGGGAGGUGUCGGGGUGUCGUGUCGGUGUCGGGGUGCCGUGUCGGGGUCGGGGUCUCGGGGUCGGGGUGNNNNNNNNNNNNNNNNNNNNNNNNNNNNNNNNNNNNNNNNNNNNNNNNNNNNNNNNNNNNNNNNNNNNNNNNNNNNNNNNNNNNNNNNNNNNNNNNNNNNNNNNNNNNNNNNNNNNNNNNNNNNNNNNNNNNNNNNNNNNNNNNNNNNNNNNNNNNNNNNNNNNNNNNNNNNNNNNNNNNNNNNNNNNNNNNNNNNNNNNNNNNNNNNNNNNNNNNNNNNNNNNNNNNNNNNNNNNNNNNNNNNNNNNNNNNNNNNNNNNNNNNNNNNNNNNNNNNNNNNNNNNNNNNNNNNNNNNNNNNNNNNNNNNNNNNNNNNNNNNNNNNNNNNNNNNNNNNNNNNNNNNNNNNNNNNNNNNNNNNNNNNNNNNNNNNNNNNNNNNNNNNNNNNNNNNNNNNNNNNNNNNNNNNNNNNNNNNNNNNNNNNNNNNNNNNNNNNNNNNNNNNNNNNNNNNNNNNNNNNNNNNNNNNNNNNNNNNNNNNNNNNNNNNNNNNNNNNNNNNNNNNNNNNNNNNNNNNNNNNNNNNNNNNNNNNNNNNNNNNNNNNNNNNNNNNNNNNNNNNNNNNNNNNNNNNNNNNNNNNNNNNNNNNNNNNNNNNNNNNNNNNNNNNNNNNNNNNNNNNNNNNNNNNNNNNNNNNNNNNNNNNNNNNNNNNNNNNNNNNNNNNNNNNNNNNNNNNNNNNNNNNNNNNNNNNNNNNNNNNNNNNNNNNNNNNNNNNNNNNNNNNNNNNNNNNNNNNNNNNNNNNNNNNNNNNNNNNNNNNNNNNNNNNNNNNNNNNNNNNNNNNNNNNNNNNNNNNNNNNNNNNNNNNNNNNNNNNNNNNNNNNNNNNNNNNNNNNNNNNNNNNNNNNNNNNNNNNNNNNNNNNNNNNNNNNNNNNNNNNNNNNNNNNNNNNNNNNNNNNNNNNNNNNNNNNNNNNNNNNNNNNNNNNNNNNNNNNNNNNNNNNNNNNNNNNNNNNNNNNNNNNNNNNNNNNNNNNNNNNNNNNNNNNNNNNNNNNNNNNNNNNNNNNNNNNNNNNNNNNNNNNNNNNNNNNNNNNNNNNNNNNNNNNNNNNNNNNNNNNNNNNNNNNNNNNNNNNNNNNNNNNNNNNNNNNNNNNNNNNNNNNNNNNNNNNNNNNNNNNNNNNNNNNNNNNNNNNNNNNNNNNNNNNNNNNNNNNNNNNNNNNNNNNNNNNNNNNNNNNNNNNNNNNNNNNNNNNNNNNNNNNNNNNNNNNNNNNNNNNNNNNNNNNNNNNNNNNNNNNNNNNNNNNNNNNNNNNNNNNNNNNNNNNNNNNNNNNNNNNNNNNNNNNNNNNNNNNNNNNNNNNNNNNNNNNNNNNNNNNNNNNNNNNNNNNNNNNNNNNNNNNNNNNNNNNNNNNNNNNNNNNNNNNNNNNNNNNNNNNNNNNNNNNGUGCGGUGGAGGUCGGGGCGCCACAGGGGAGGGGUGCGUGGCGGCGGGGCGACCGGCUACGGCAGACGGGGUCGGCGGCAGCGGCGUGGUUGUGGGUGGGGAGGGAACGAGAGCGAGAGAGAGUGGAGAGGAGAGACAGAGGACGGGGGCGGGACGGCCGUUAACGUACCCGCCUCUUUGCCGUCCGCCAACGGUCGGCAAACAUUCUUUGCCGUCCGCCAACGGACGGCAAAGAGGUGGGGCUGGUGGGCUUGGGUUGGUUACACAAUAACUGGACCCACCAACCUCUUUGCCGUCCGCUAGCGGACGGCAUAGUUUCUUUGCCGUCAGCCAGUGGACGGCAAAGAGUUGGCUGAUGGCAAACACCGUCUUUGCCAUCAGCCACUUCUUUACCGUCCGUUUUUGUGUGGCUGACGGCAAAGACCUUCUUUGCCGUCCGCCAGCGGACGGCAAAGAGAUGGCGGACGGCAAAUAAGCUAAUUCCAGUAGUGGUAGAACUGUGUAGUGUGCUUGAGACCAAGAAUGCCCGUCCAUGCAUAUUAUUGAGUCCCCUCCAAGCGUGCCUUUUCCAGUUAGUCUCCCCUCAUACCGCGAUUUAGGGAGACCAAUCUUCUUAAGGCCAGGAAUGAAGUCAACACAAAACCCAAUGACAUCCUCUGUUUGAUGGCCCAUGGAGAUACUUCCUUCUGGCCUAGCGCGGUUACGGACAUAUUUCUUUAGAACUCCCAUGAACCUCUCAAAGGGGAACAUAUUGUGUAGAAAUACGGGGCCCAGAAUGACAAUCUCGUCGACUAGAUGAACUAGGACGUGCGUCAUGAUAUUGAAGAUGGAUGGUGGGAACACCAGCUCGAAACUGACAAGACAUUGCGCCACAUCACUCCUUAGCCUUGGUAUGAUUUCUGGAUUGAUCACCUUCUGAGAUAUUGCAUUGAGGAAUGCACAUAGCUUCACAAUGGCUAAUCGGACGUUUUCCGGUAGAAGCCCCCUCAAUGCAACCAGAAGCAGUUGCGUCAUAAUCACGUGGCAGUCAUGAGACUUUAGGUUCUGGAACUUUUUCUCUGGCAUAUUUAUUAUUCCCUUUAUAUUCGACGAGAAGCCAGACGGGACCUUCAUACUAAGCAGGCAUUCAAAGAAGAUUUCCUUCUCUUCUUUGUUAAGAGCGUAGCUGGCAGUACCUUCAUACUGCUUUGGAGGCAUGCCGUCUUUUUCGGGCAAACGUUGCAGGUCCUCCCGUGGCUCUGGUGUAUCUUCUAUCUUCCCAUACACGCCCAAGAAGCCUAGCAGGUUGAUGCAAAAGGUUCUUCGUCACGUGCAUCACGUCGAUUGAACAGCGGACCUCUAGUUCUUUCCAGUAGGGUAGGUCUGAAAAUAUAGAUUUCUUCUUCCACAUGGGUCUGCGUCCUUCAGCGUCAUUCGAAAUAGCUAGUCCGCCGGGACCCUUUCCAAAGAUUACGUGUAAAUCAUUGACCAUAGCAAGUACGUGAUCACCGGUACGCAUGGCGGGCUUCUUCCGGUGAUCUGCCUCGCCUUUGAAAUGCUUGCCUUUCUUUUGACAUUGAUGGUUGGUCGGAAGAAAUCGACGAUGGCCCAGGUACACAUUCUUCCUGCAUUUGUCCAGGUAUAUACUUUCGGUGUCAGCUAAACAGUGCGUGCAUGCGUGGUAUCCCUUGUUUAUCUGUCCUGAAAGGUUACUGAGAGCGGGCCAAUCGUUGAUGGUUACAAAUAGAAACGCGUGCAGGUUAAAUUCCUCCUGUUUGUGCUCAUCCCACACAUGUAAACUGUUUCCAUUCCACAGCUGUUAAAGUUAUUCAACUAAUGGCCUUAGGUACACAUCAAUGUCGUUCCCGGGUUGCUUAGGGCCUUGGAUGAGAACUGGCAUCAUAAUGAACUUCCGCUUCAUGCACAUCCAAGGAGGAAGGUUAUACAUACAGAGAGUCACGGGCCAGGUGCUGUGAUUGCUGCUCUGCUACCCGAAAGGAUUAAUGCCAUCCGCGCUUAAACCAAACCAUACGUUCCUUGGGUCACCUGCAAACUCAGCCCAGUACUUUCUCUCGAUUUUUCUCCACUGCGACCCGUCAGCGGGUGCUCUCAACUUCCCGUCUUUCUUACGGUCCUCUCUGUGCCAUCGCAUAAACUUGGCAUGCUCUUCGUUUCUGAACAGACGUUUCAACUGUGAUAUUAUAGGAGCAUACCACAUCACCUUCGCAUGAACCCUCUUCCUAGGGGGCUCGCCGUCAACAUCACCAGGGUCAUCUUGUCUGAUCUUAUACUGCAAUGCACCGCAUACCGGGCAUGCGUUCAAAUACUCGUACGCACCGCGGUAGAGGAUGCAGUCAUUAGGGCAUGCAUGUAUCUUCUGCACCUCCAAUUCUAGAGGGCAUACGACCUUCUUUGCUGCGUACGUACUGUCAGACAAUUCGUUAUCCUUUGGAAGCUUCUUCUUCAAUAUUUUCAGUAGCUUCUCAAAUCCUUUGUCAGGCACAACAUUCUCUGCCUUCCACUGCAGCAAUUCCAGUACGGUACCGAGCUUUGUGUUGCCAUCUUCGCAAUUGGGGUACAACCCUUUUUUGUGAUCCUCUAACAUGCGAUUGAACUUCAGCUUCUCCUUUUGACUUUCGCAUUGUGUCCUUGCAUCGACAAUGACCCGGCGGAGAUCAUCAUCAUCGGGCACAUCGUCAGGUUCCUCUUGAUCUUCAGCAGCUUCCCCCGUUGCAGCAUCACCGUAUUCAUGGGGCACAUAGCUGUCAUCAUCCUCUUCUUCUUCGCUGUCUUCCAUCAUAACCCCUAUUUCUCCGUGCCUGGUCCAAACAUUAUAGUGUGGCAUGAAACCCUUAUAAAGCAGGUGGGUAUGAAGGAUUUUCCGGUCAGAGUAAGACUUUGUAUUCCCACAUAUAGGGCAUGGACAACACAUAAAACCAUUCUGCUUGUUUUCCUCAGCCACUUCGAGAAAAUUAUGCAGGCCCUUAAUGUACUGGGAGGUGUGUCUGUCAGAGUACAUCCAUUGCCGGUUCAUCUUCGUGCAUUAUAUAUAAUUAUGUGUGUCAAAAGUAAGAAAAUUAGACAAGUAUCUAUCUAAAGUAAGAAUUGUUUUUCUUUCAGAAAGAAGAUAAGAAAAAGAGACUCACAACGGUGGUGUCGGCGACGAGAUCGUCGCGGGCGAUCAAUGGCGGUGAAGACGGGAACGGGACGUGACGGACCGCUAAACCUAUGCAAAUCUCAGGGAAAAUGGAGCUUCGAGGUCGAGCUUCCAGAGGAGAAAACUUAACUAGUGUGGCUCGGGCAUUUCAUCGAACACCUCAUGUGCAUAGGAGGUGAGCUAGAGCACCCAAAUGCCCUCCGCUCGCCGGCCAGAAAAAACAGAGCACUGUGGAGUGCUCUGCUGCGGCGAGGGGGUAUAUAUAGGCUUCUAAUUUUUUCCGGUUUGUGGCUCGAACCGGGACUAAAGCUCCCCCUUCUGUCCCGGUUCGAACCACGAACCGGGGCCAAUGUAUGUGGGCCAGGAGCGAGGCCCAUUGGUCCGGGUUCGUGCCAGGAACCGGGACAAAUGGAUCCAGAUGAACCGGGACCAAUGCCCACGAGGCCCCGCCCGGCCACCUGGGCUCACGAACCGGGACGUAUGGCCCCAUGGGUCCCGGUUCGUGACUGAACCGGGACUAAUGGGCUGGCCAGGUCCCAACCAAAGCCCUGUUUUCUACUAGUGGAGGGAGACGCCGUCGUCGGGAGAAAAACAAAAAAACAAAAACAAAAGGGAGAAAGCAGUACAAAAGAAAAAGAAAAGUAAACUGAAAAGAAAAGGAAAAUAAUAAAAGAAAAGAAAACUAAAAUCCAGAAAAGGAAAAUAAUAACAAGAAAAUAAUAAAAAUUGGAACAGUUAGCAGUCGCACUUUUUUAGGAUCCAGCGCUAUAGCUAUCUUAGCUAUAGCGCUCGAUCCUAAAAAAGCGCUACUACUAUGUGCCAUUAGCAGUAGCGCUGCUUUACAACCCGACACUAUAGCUAAUAUAGCAAUAGCGCUGGAUCCUAAACCAGCGCUACUGCUAUUUUGAGUUAACCAUCGCGAGGCCCAAAUUUUGGCAAGUCCGCCAAGUCCCAACCCCACCCAAAUGCCCUCCGCUCGCCGUCCAUCGCCCUCGAUCGCCAGCCGUCACCCCUCGCCGCCGUCGACCUGGUCGCCGACCGUCUCCUGAGCCCGCCUCGACCUGACCGUUGUCUCCCCUGCCCGCCCUCGACCACAACGCCGCCCCAGCCUCUCCCCUGCCCGCGCGACCUCGACCUCGCCGCCGCCACCGCCGUCCGCCGCCCUCGACCGCCGCCGCCCGAGCGUGAGCUCCCUUGCUGUAAGCUUCUCCUCUCCCCUGCCCGAGCCUCUGUUUAGGGCAAAUUUUAGCCUCUGUUUAGGGCAAGUUAGCAAAUUUAGCAAACAAAAUUAGCAAAUUAGGGCAGUAGCUGAUUAGCAAAUUUUUGUUUUUUGUUUUUUAGAAAGUUAGCAAAUUUUUGUAGCAAGUUAGCAAAAAAAUAGGUAUAAAAACAGUAGCAAAAUAUUAGGUAUAAAAACAGUAGCAAAUAAAUAAAACAGCAGCAAAUUAAAAACUGUAGCUAAUUAGGGCAGUAGCAAAUAAAGCUAGGGCCAUUUUUUUAGCAAAUGAGCAAAUUUAGCUAGGGCAAAUUUGUUUAGGGCAGUAGCUAAUGGUUAAUUUGCUAAGUCCUGGAAAUCUAUCAUAUAAUGUUGCCAUGUUCUCUUGAGAUAGCAUAAAAUCUGUUAUAUGAACUUGUGCCAAUUGUCGAAAAAUAUCUGAGUGGCCUAUGUUUUGCCGGAAUGUUGAUUCAUUUCCGUUCUGGCAAAUUUCAGGCUCUCCAAGGAGGACGCCGAACGUGAAAGUCACGGAAUCCCAGGCCCCUUGGCGGAGUUCACCGACCCACUAGAGCAUGACUGGAUCAGGGCCCGGUACAAGUGGGACAAAGAAUAAAAGCUCUUUUACACGGACCCGAUCACGAGGGACUUCAUGACACUUCUGGUAAUUGUUAUAUUACCACAUUAUCAUAUUAUAACUUCUAAUCAAUUCGACUGCAAGUUAUUAGUAAACCAUCCAUGUUCCUUUUGCAGAAAGAGCAGCACCAAAAGGCAGCCGAAAGCGAUGAGUCAACACAGUCGUCGGCGAGGCGCAACUGGGACACCCCAUUCAACCGGGCCCUGAACAUACUGAAGAAGGUCCCGGUGGACAAGCCGCCAUCCUAUGGACGUGUGCACGGCGUCGGAGAUGGCGCCUCGUGGAAGACGUGCUACCCUGAGGAGCUAGAGGAAAGACGGAAGAGAUGCUCGGUCGUCACUCAGCAGAGCAUCGACGAGAAGGUCAAGAUUGCGGUCGAUAAGAACAAAGAAGAGUUGCUCGGGGCCGUCAAUGCAGCGGUCACUUCGAUAAGAACAAAGAAGAGUUGCUCGGGGCCGUCAAUGCAGCGGUCACUGACGCGGUGGUCAGCUUGCUUCCGGCACUAUGGGAUUUCACGAAGAACAAUCCAACUGCACGGCCGGAGGACAUUCCCCUUCCCAGCUUUGUCGGGAGCAAUUCGGUGAACACCAGAGCAUCAGCACCUGCUCAAGCAACCGUAAAAGGUCCCGCUCCUGUUCAUACAAGCCCGACCUCCGUCUCUUGCAUGGUCGGUGGGCCUUCAUCGCUGGCUGAGCACGACGCCCUCACGGUAAUUACGUGGCAUACCCUUUUCACCAGCAUGUCUAUAGUCUUCCGUUUCAGUUGCCUUUUGGACGUUUGACGUCGCAGACAUGUCUCCUUCGUAGGCCGACGACACCCCUUGCAUCCUACUCUACGACAUCAAGGGCCAGAAGGUGGCCAUGGGAAAGGCAACAAUCGUGAAGGCAAAGGACCGCAUGUUCCACAACCGAGAGAUGCCCGAUGGCGUCUUCCAGGUUAACAUGGCCAGUGUCUUAGCGGGCUUCGAGGUUUUGCCUCCUCCGGUACCAGUCGAUGACGACGAGACCCCUAAGAUGAUUGGCGCAUGCAAGAGCUGGUUCUUGCCUUGGCCCAACUCUCUUCUUCGUCUGGAGGCUCCCAGUAUCACGCCAACGCCACCUUCUCAAGAAGGUAUGAACACCACCCUACCUACCACAUUACCUGCACCUGUCGUGGCGAGUGAUAGCGGACGACGCGAGGGAGAGCCUCCAUUAGUGCCAGAUGAUGUAGCCCCUGUUGUUAAAGAAGCAAAUGUUGAUGAUGACAUGGAGGAUUAUGAUGAUGACCCAGACAAGUAUUUCAAUACUGCCUAUGAUGAUGGAGGAUUGAUGGCUCAGGACGGCGAAGACUCAGGCUAUGAGCAUGGAGACGAUGACUUGAUGCUGCCUGAUUUGCCAGAGCUGGAAUAUCCAAAGGAGGAAUGCAAAAAGUCUCUCUUCAAGCGAUCCUCGCAGGAGACGCCUCCAGAUGCCGCCCGUACCCUGCAACCCCUGGACGCCCGUCCAUUGAUUAGCCUGACGACACUGGGGGUGGCGGUUAGGGAAGGUAUGCUGGGCUCACUACCGCCGCCCACCAAGAAGCAAAGGAGGAGACCGGACAAGAAAGGCCCUAAAGGAGCCAGAGCUGCUUCAAGCAGCCAGCCGCCUCUGGAGCCUCGGGUGGCAGACAGAAUACCUGUCGAAGGUGCUCAGCGCUUCCAUGUCACCGGCCAGCCGAUCCUACCUGCGAAAGGCUAGAGCACAUAGUGAACAAUGAUCUAAGGAGACUCCAUGAAGAUGUGCUGACCAGAGACAAAAUCCUUCUGGUCGCGGAAAAACCAGGAUACCCGCUUUAUGCGGCUCAGGUGCCGGGUGGGAGGUUGUACGUCGAGAGAUAGCCCGCGAAUAAGUUCAUCCUAUGAUUUGACUACAUCUACGACAUGCUCCACAUGACCAAGCUGGAUUUCCUGUUCAUCCGCAUGUAUGCGCUCACUACUAGAGAAAACCUUACUAGUGGCACUAGUUUUUUACAUCCCAGUAGCGCGGGCACCCGCACUACUAUUAGGGCGCUCCAGCUAUUAUUUAACAGUAGCGCAUUUCUAAACAAGUGCUGCAGCUAAAAUACUUAGUAGUAGCGCCUCUUUCUCCACCAACGCUACUACUAUCAUCUCGUAGUAGCGCCCUAUUUUCUACCCACGCUACAACUAGGUAAAUAGAAAAAAAUAAAAAAAAAAAGAAGUCAGAUGCAAUAUUCAUGGAAAUCAAGUCAAGUCCAGUGCAAAUAAACUAAGUUCACAUAACCAUCUCACAAACAUUAACGACAAUACCACAUUUAAUAUAACCACACAAUCUCACAAACUCAUAUAUAGUAGUCAACAAUGCAUGGAUAGAUCAUAGUUGAUAAGUCUACUAGGUAGUCAUACUAACAUAUAUAUGGUUCAGCAGCCACACGCAUGUAUAUGUAGUUCUAGAUGAUAUCGAUGACGACCAUCAUCCUCAAGCCUGGGCAAAUGGGUGUUCCUGAUAGUAAUUAGGAUUGCCUGUCCAACAUGAAGAUUCUUGCUGACCAGGAAGCUCUUCCACCCAACCGAGUUGAAGUGUGUGCGACCGUCCGUGUCCACGCCGUAUGCACAAGUGGUGGCGGAGCCCCUCGCGGUAAGGCGUAUUCCAGCAGAGCCUUCUUCAUCAGGCUUGAUACCACAACUCUCAGAUAGGCUCUUUGGCAAUUUCCGAAUAAGAAAGACAUAUCAAUUAAUAAGUAGCCUCACACAUUCUACACUAUCAAAAGACAAUACUACAUUUCUUCUAAGCAUGAAUUCUACUAAUAAGUAUAUAUGGAUUCUACACUAUUAACAGUUCUUUGGAUUCUACACGAAGCAUGCAAUCAUCGGACUCUACACUAAGUAUGACAAUAAAGCAUAUAAGAUUCACUAAUCAUAUAUCAUCGGACUCUACACUAAGUAUAACAAUAAAGCAUAUCAUCAAAUUAUUACAGUAAAUGCAACAUACCAUGAUAUGCCGAUCAACCAUGGUACUUGUCAGGCGGGUCACGAAUGGAACCCCAACGAAGUCAGCACGUGGCGGAAUGAUGUCCCAUAGGUUGCACACCUCCUCCUCGCUUAACCUCAUUCUUUAAGCUACGAUGGCUUCACCAAGUGGGUCAUCAUCAUCCUCAUCAUCUUCAUCAUCAUCUUCUUUGUUGACAUAAAACACGGCCAGCUUGGGUCUUUCUGCUCUAAAGUAGAAGCUGAUCAACUCACCACAGGUGAUACACAUGUGGGCGAUGAAACGGACCCACCCAUCUCCUCCCACCUGCGUCAUAUUUCGUCCUUUCUCGACCUCCGUAGUGUAGGGCCCCCAGCAGCCUCAAAGGUCAUAGAGUCUGUGGUUAGCUUGUUGAAUUCUGAUCUCACAUUGCAUGGGACGAGCUGUGUACAAAAAGAAAAAUGAUAUAUGCAUGAUGCAUUAAUGCCAAUGACACUAAAAAUAGUGGUUACUAGUUUCAUAUAAUUUAUUACCGCCGCAUGAAGAAAACUAGACUCGAAGUAGAUGCCGAACAGCGUGGCAGUUGCAAGGCUGCUGGCGCACCUUGACUUGCACCGUCGGCAUGGUGGUGGUGGUGGUGGUGGCGCCAUUUCCCUAAAGCAAGAUGAUUAGAGGAUAAACGAUCCAAAAAGUAAACAUAAAGUUUUCAAUACACACAUCAGGUUUUGAAUAAUAUACACAUCAGGUUCACAUCAUAGAGAAUACACAUCAGGUUCACAUGGCAAGCAAAAUAACAACUAAAUUGUAGUUCAGUUCAGACAAUAACCUAAUAGAGAUCAUGUAACCCAAACAGAGCCUAAUAACCCAAACAGAGCCUAAUAUAGAAUUCACAAGUGGGUGAAAAUGUUGCCAACAUUUUCUACUACAAAAUAUAAGUACCAGACUAAGAGGUAAUACAAGGGAAGAACAGUCGCACACACAGACAAAAGAUAGCAUCAACCUGUCCUAAUUAACACAGCAAAGUCAUUUUUCUCAUUCAAGAAAACAGAGACAUGAGACAGAUCAGUUAGCAUUUUUUUCGAAACGGGUGUUACCAUAUAUUGAAAUACGCACCAUAACAACUUGGCAAUUUGAGCAUCACCACAUACAGACACUCUCUUCAACUUGAAAGAGUAUCGAAUCAAGCAUUGAUUUUUCCAUGAAACCACAGAACAGUGAGGGUUCUUCGUCAUAUCUUUAUAUGCAUCAACAAAGAAGCUAGUGGAUCAAAUUCACACAUAGGGUAGCUCAUCACGAGGAUACAAACAUUUAGACCUUUAAUAAGAACUGGCACAAUCAACAUCAUUCAGAUGAAAGGAGGGGCGUUCAUGACAUAACCCUAGUGUCAGGAAAGAACCCUCUCUAAACCCUAGAACACUAGGCACCGCCGCCGCCGCCACUGCUGCAGGGACAGCAGCCAAGAAUUGAAACCCAAGUUUCAAUUAUAUGUGCUAAACUGCUAAUCAAGAAUUGAAACGCAAGUUUCGGUGAGCAACAAAAAGCCUCUACUUCUCUCACCUAACCCCUCUCUCUACUCUCUCCCCAAUCACGCGAGGAAACAAGCCUGGAACACGUCGCAUCGAAGCGCGGAGUCACCGUGCAAUCCCUAAAUCCCUUUCCCCCACACGAAAUCCCAAAGCAUGGCGAGCCGCCACAGCGAAUCGAUUGGACCCUAGCUAUUGCUGGCGCGCGCAGGGAGGAGGAGAUCGAGGGGACUUACGGGGCUGGAGCAUCGGAGGAGGCGAGAGGCGACCGCGCGUGGUGUCGGCGCACGGCGCCGUCGACGGAAGUGAGGCGGCCGGGGAGGAACCCUAACCGCGGCGGCGGCGGCGGGCGGAGGGGAUCGAUUGUGAGAGUGAGGGGGUGCGGGGGCGCUCGGGCAGGUUUUCUUUUCCCCUAGUAGUAGCGCUGGGUAGAGGCCGGCGCUACUGCUAAGCCCACCAGCUGUAGCGACCGUUUGAAACAAACGCUACAGGUAAGUGGGCUACUGUCUUUGCCCAGCGGCCCAUGUAACAGUAGCGCGACCCAAGCUAACAAACGUUGUUGUUAAUUAGUAGUAGUAGCGUGUUUUCUACCAAGCGCUACUGGUAAAUACCAGUAGCGUGGGGUCAAAAAUAGGCACUACCAGUAAACUUCUACUUAUAAGCAUUUUCCUAGUAGUGGCUGCAUCUGAACUACUUCAUCGGGGUCGAGAACAUCAAAUAUAUCUGCGGCGCGGACCCGUUCUAUAUGCACGAGAGCUUCUUGGCAGUUUGCAAAGAGCACCGUGACUAUGCGAGCAAGUACCUCGGUGAAUUCAUGAUCGCUAAUAAGGACAAGGAAGUGAUUCUCUUGCCUUAUGAUCCCACGUAAGUCAUCCGCACAUAUCCUUUUGUAAGUGUUAAUCAUUCCUUUGCAAGCAUGGAGGAUAAUUUGAGGUGUACUUAAUUAAUUUGCGCAGCGGGGGGGGGCGUCCUCAUCAUUCUGUCCCCGGAAUACUCCCAUGGGAUGUACUUGGACUCAUCGAAGAACCUCAGGAAAAAGGAUUACAAGCACAUAAAGAGUGUUCUCGAUAGUGCCCUGCUAAUCUUCAGCCUAUCUGGUGGAUAUAUCAAGGUGAAAAAGUACAGGAAUCGCGGGCUAUCUUUCGGUCAUAAGGUCGACUUCUGCUGCAUCCAGCAACCGCACACCAGUAUGGCUGAUGGAUUCUACCUCAUGCAUCACCUGCUCGAGUACAGAAGGGAUAAUCAACGCCUUUGCAUGUCACCUACUACAAACAAUGCCGAGAUUGUCAGUUGGGCCACAAGCAUAGGAAUGACACCGGAUCAUCGAAUCAGAGCUGAGUUUUAUCACGUACAGUGUGAACUUGCCCAAGUGAUCAUGAAGCAGGUCCUCGAACCAACAGGGAUGUUCUACCAUGGGCCAAUCACGCGCGCAGAUGUCCGAGCACUGCUACUCGCUCAGCGUCUGGACCUGAAGUCUUUCAAGAAGCUCGGGUGCUUCCUCCCUGACUAUGAAGAUUGGACCGCCGACAUGGAGGACUGAUUGUUGAUGACAAUGUGUCACUACUGUCUUUCUAUGGCAAAAUUCGAAUUUAUGCACAACGAAACUAUGUGAUGUAACUAAACCAUGGUCCUGAACCAGCGUAGAUCGCUCUAGUAAAUUAGUUUGGGUAUGAGGAACUUCGUCAUUUAUGUUUACUAUUGUUUGAUUGUAUUUUGCUAAUUAUGCCUCCUUGUUUUCUUAAGUACAUUAUGUAGCAUAUUAUCGUUCAAUUCAUCAACUCACAAUGCAGGUACAUAGAUCAGAGAUGGCGAAGGCUACUAUGUCGUGUACGUUGGGAGGGUUCCAGGAGUCUACGACCACUGGCCAGCCGCUCAGGCCCAGGUGCACAGGUACCUGGGUGCUAGCCAAAGAGGGUUCGACAGCAGAGCCGAAGCGGAAAGUAGUUACUUGAGGUGGACACUCCAGCAUGAGCAGGGGCGGGACCGCCGGUACUAUAUAGUCGCGCUCUUGCUCAUGUUGAUCGCUCUUCUCUUCUACAUCAUGGUUUAGAUAGAGAUGAUGAAACUUGUGUGUGUGCCAUGACCAUGAAGUUGUACUUAUUCGAGACAUGACAUGAUCGCACUUGUGUAUAGCUAUUUUUGAGAUUUGAUGAUAUUUGUGUUGAAUGAUGAUGAUGAUGGUAUGAUGAGACUACUGUAUGUCUAUGAUAUGAUGAGAAUAGUGUAUGUUCAGUAUGAUCUGAUGAAACUAUUGUAUAGAGCCUGUAUAAUUAAAUACACCACAAAUACGUAGGGGGUGAGGGUCGGCGAAAGCAGGAACAUUAGCAGUAGCGCUGGAGAGCACCUAGUAGUAGCGCUGGCUUAGCAGCAGCGCUUCAUAUGAAAAAGCGCUACUGAUAACUAUCAGUAGCGCUUGUCUAGGAAGCGCUACUGCUAACAAUACUUAGUAGUAGCACUGCCUAUACCAGCGCUACCGCUAUAACUUAGCUGUAGCGCACUAGUAGUAGCGCUGGAUCCAGCGCUACUGCUAUGCAUAUUUCAAGCGCUACUACCAGGGUUUUCCCUAGUAGUGAUAUGGCUAGAAUUUACCUCACUUAAUUAAUGUCUUAAUUAGAAAGGAAAAAUGAACCCUGAAAAUUUCCAACUAUGAACAUGAUCACUGUAUUAGUGCAUGUUAACAGAACAAAAAAAUUCAGGGGCAUACGAGGAAGCGAGCGUCGGGUCAUCAUCAAACAUGCAUUGUUCCCUCUCGGAACCACGAGUCUUCUCGUGAGAUGCUCCGAUUUGUAAGUGGUGUGUGUCAAAACUUCCGUCAAACGUGUCAAUUUUUUUAACAUAGCAUCUUGGUGCCAUGCCAUGACAACAAGCAAGGUUUGAUGUAUUUUUAUGAUUUAUGAUUUUUUUUUAGAAUUUAAAAGUAAUUGUACUCACUAUUUAUGUCCAAGCGGUGACAUCAAUAUAUUUGAAAAUUCCUUCCAAUUUACUGCACAUGGCAUUAACCUGCACACAAGGACACAAGUAUGAUUUUUCCAAUCCAUGAUGGUUUGCUAUUGCAUGUACAUGUAGUUCAAACUCGAAUUACGGCCAUUAUAUGUCUAUAACUUCACUUAAUAUCUUGAAAAGGUCAAAUGAACCCUGCAGAGGAUGUUAAUGGGACAAAACAUUUCAGGGCCAUUUCCAUCACCAUCCAUUGCCACUGUACUCCAAAUUAAUCUAUUGCAGCAAAUAAGAAAUAUUAACUAAAUCACACAUAGUCGGGUGUAGGAACCGUCUGCGAUGAAAGUUCAUGGGUCUAUUUAUAUCUUCUUCCAUAAGCUUUGCCGGCUUCAUCUGCUCAAGCGUCGUUCACCCUCCAAUCCUCGAAUUCCGAAUCCCCAUUAACGAACCCCUUCUUGCAAAGAAUGACACCGUGGAGACGCUUCAUGAGGGCCCGUACGAUCAUUAGGUCCUCCUAGAGCGGGGCCGCCUCCAUCGAGAGCGCGACCGCCUACAUCGAGAGCGCGGCUACAGCCGCAUUGAGCGUGGCCGCAUUCACCGAGAGGGCGUCUAGGGGAGCCGAGAUGGCAGCAGCAGCAAACACAGAGAGCGCUCGAGCAGCCGUCUCUGCCGUGGAUGACGCCAUGGCUUGGGUCGAGGCCAUCCAAGACAAGAGCGAGAGGGCCCAUGCAUGAUAUUUGAGGCCUCCUCGGAAUCCAGCAUGCACCCCGUGUCUGAAGAGGCGGUGGAGGCCAUGGAGCGCCUGCUUCCUCAUGAGAUCCUUGAGCGGGAACUGGAGAUGCAGGAGGCGGCGGAGAUCGAGGAGCUCCAGGAGGAGGAGUUGCGCGUGUCUAAGGAAGAGGUAGAUAAGCGCCUAUCCGUCGAGGAAUCGGCGGUGGAGUACCAAUGCGAGCUUUGGCGCCGCCACUACUAUGAGUACUACAACCUUGAGGGCAGCGCCGAGGACGAGGAUGACGAUGCGGUCGAAUUCAGCCUGGGGGACGCGUAGUUCACAAAUGGUGGCAUGUCAGCAGGACAAGUAAUCGACAUCGCAUCUUACACCGGCGUGGCAUAUGGCGGCGUGUCGGUGGCUUUGUUAAAAUUAUGCAUACUUAGCCUUUGUUUAUAGCAUUGGUCUUUUGUUAAAGCAAUAUUUAGGUCAACUGGCUCUAUUUAGUUACUAAAAUUACUUGAUUCAGUAAGUGUGGUCUGUGUGCUAUAGGCUCUUUUGUGUACCCAAAUUAGCAAGUGAUGCUAAAUUAUGCAAUGACGUGGAUGAGCACUGUUCCCAGGGAAAUUUUGACCAAAAUUUGAAUGCUCAAACUCGUCGCAUGCGCGUAAAGCAGAAGAAUUGUUUAUGAUGCACACAUUUGUUCAAAGUGAAUCACAUCUGAUGACACUGCGCGCCAAGUUUUCCUCCACCUUGCAAAAUUUUUGCCUACCGCCAAAAUAUCAAACUUCCCCCCGACCCCAUUUUCUCCAUGACCACAAGCCACAUUUCCCCUAUUUCCUCCUUUAUUCGUUCCUAAGCUAUAGUCACUUCCUUGCUUGCUUCCUCGCUCUCGCCAUCUCGCAUUCAACCGCCGCAGAGGCCAUAGUCUUCUUCAAUGACCUAUCCAGCACUUCCUCCUCCCACAACGACUCUGUCACCAGCCGGUUAUGACUCUCCUUUCUCUGACCCCCUAGGCUUAGGCCGGGGUUAUGAUUUCGAAUAAAUGAUUUUGACCCGGGAAUUGCUUUGAACCAUUUCUUCCUCUUGUAGCUCCCUAGGACCAUCACUUGCAACGAAUGAAGCGGGGUAGCUGAAGAUCUACCUGCUCGUUGUCACCAUCAAUCUCCAUGCGUGAAGUUAGUGGACAAUGGGAGGAAGUUUCUGGGAUGUGUAGAGAAGGUUAUCCCUACUUUCAUUGUUACAAAUCAUUUGUUAGAUGUGAUUCAGACAUUGUCACUGUGCUAUGUUAUUCUGGAGGUGAUUAAGACACUGCCACAAUUUCUACCUAGUAUCUAAAAAUGUUGCCAUCUCAUCAGCGGUGCCCCAAGAAAAUUAUUUUAUACCGGUUCAGCAGUUUGUGCAGCCAACUUUGCUCCACACAUCCGAGCAGUCAAGCAGUAAAAUACUAAUACUUUAUGGCACAAAGGAACUAGGCAUCAGAGCAACUAGGUGCUCUUGAGUCCGGUUCCCUGAAAUUUUCCCAUGCAUCGGCUCGGCAGUGCAGGGCACCAGUGCCAAAUGUACCAACAGUUGAUUUGACGCCACUUUUGGCCCACCAUCAUGACCUUAGUGCUAUUAGUUCUAUGUUAUUAAAUUUGUGCAUGUACAUACAUGUUAGUAUUAAUUAAAUGUCAUUCAAACACUCUCACUAUGCUAUUGUAGUUAUAUUUGGCUUCCUCAUAAAAUGAUCAAUUUGUUAUUUAUAGUACAUGACUAAGAACUUGUAGUGUUGUUGCAGUUAAUUAUAGGUUUGUGAUGUUCCUGAAUUUGGUUGUUUUCUCAUGAGCAAUUAAUUCAUUUGCGCAUUGAUCUUUUUUAGAAGAUAUCUCAUAAUUAACGUGUUUCUUCAGUUUUUCAAAAUAUGUAUGUGGUGAUUUUCUGUAUUGCUAGAAAUCCAUUUUCCCUACAAUUGUAACUAAUUUAGUUUUAAAUAUUAUAGGAUGAAUGGAAGUGUUUUUACCUGGAGUGGGUUGAUCAAGAGUGGUCACUGUCUUUGAAGAUGUGCCUAGCAAAGCUGUGGAGCAUGUAUGAGCAAGAAAACAGAGAUAGGCUUAGAGAAAAUGUUGUCAACGCUGAAGAAUAUUUUAAGAUACGGGAAAAAGAGGAAGAUGGAGAAUGAGCUCAGGUUUUUUGAAUUAGACUUUCCUGAGAUGGUGUUUGCGAAGGAGGAGUCACUUUCCUAGUUGGUCAGUGCAAAACAUGUUCAUACUGAACUAAAAUUAGAGAUGGAGAAGACGAAUUUAGCUGAUCAUGCAUCAGUUGAUUAGGGAAAUGAAUAUAUAGUUCUAAUAUUGUGCUCAACAUACUUUGUGCUUACGAAGGUGAACUAGUUAUAUGAUGUCAUGCACUGUUGUCAGGUAGGUAUCAUAAUGUGAUGUUAAAAUAUAGUUUCUGCCUGAUAUGAAAGCGGUAAACAACUGUUCGAUAUGAAAUGUGAAUUUGCUUAAUACUCAAAGUAUUAAUAGUAAACUAAUAAACCUACUAAAUGAGUCAUGAAACUUUACAAACAUUUCUAGUAGUAAAAGCAUGUGUGAUGGAUAGACCAAUGCAUGUCAUAUAGUUCUCUUCAUCGAAUCGUGUGUGAUAUACUUGAAUAAGGCAAAUUAACGGAGGCAGAGCGUCUGUGAUAGCUACACCUAUCACAGACAAGGCUAUACAGGAAGUUGUGUCGGAUGGCAAGACGAUCUCCCAGGGCAUGUCCUAUGAAAGCGUUUGCGUUAUCUUCUUCGAUCGCACACGGAAGGAAAAUUGUGUGUGAUGUACAUACAAGGUAAGCGUUUGUCAGGGAUUCACUAUGUGGGAUGUACAUACGAACAGAAACAAUUGGACCUGUAUAAUUGUCUGUGAUGGCUUGCCCAAUCGCACACGAGCUCUUUUUACCCCGCGUGUGUGACCAGAGGACCUAUCGUCGAUAGGUUUUGGGUCGUGUGGGAUGGGCCCCCCUAUCGCACACAGGCAAGGCGACGGUUUAAAACUAUAUCUAGGAAAGGGGUUAAAAACCGUUUGUAUAGCAAGUCGCUGCAUCAGUGGUGGCUGGUGACGCAUGAGGUAAAAAGAGGAGAUUGCUUGAAGAUGCCCGGUCCGGCACACAUGCAAGGGAGCCUCAACCUCUUAGCAUACCAUGAAAGAAUGGUAUGUGCAACCCCAAGGUCAAUGUUGUCUAUUGGUUCAUCUGGGUUUUACUAAUCACGACCGUCUUUCUUUUGUAGGUGAGAGAAGAGCCUGAGGCCAACAUCAACAUCAUGCAGGUGUGGAAACAUGGGCAUAGAGGCAAGGAUGGCGCAGAGUUCUGCAGCACGUCGGCCAAGCAUAGAUAUGGGUUUUAUAAACCCAUUUCAAGGAAGCUUACAGAGAGGAGUUUGGACCUCGAUCCCUUGGUGGUCAUGAGGGCAGGCCCAAGGAAGAAGAGCUACCGCCACUUGACCGGCGACGGCGUGAUCUCCAUGUCCUCACAUCCCAAGCUAUCUCAGAUGCAAGCACAAAGCACAAGAUGAAUUCCCUCCAUAAGGAGUCGCCCAACGACUUAGUCCAUUGAGAUUUCGAAGCUCAAGGUUUGAAAAGUUAAUAUAUACUAUUGUCUUUGGAUUCUUUGUGUCGCAACCUGUAUGUGGAGGAACAACAUGUACAACAGGCCGUGUUGGAGGCAUCAAGGCCGCACGUGCAAGAGACGCAGCCGAACAGGUGGCAUGGCUGUCGGCUGAAGUGGUGGCUAGACAGAAGCAGGCCGCCGAACAGAAGGAACAGAUGAAGGCUGAUAAGAUGGAAGGGGAGAAGAUCCAGGAAGACUUAGCGGUUAUUACUUUCCCAUAUCGGCGCCUAUCCGUAUUAACCAAUUGACCAACUUGGAACAAUGCUGACAUGUCGACCCUCAUCCUCUAUAGGGGUUAUGGGCAAUGUAGGCGAUGAUGAUGAGAGGAAACCCUCCUCCUCCGGAAUCAUCGUGAUGUGUCGACCAUCGUCCUCCUCCUAUGUUCUGAACUUGUUAAUUAGUUGUUUCUUAUGUAUUUUCUUUGUUGAUGGAAUAGAGUGAUCUUGUGAACUAUGCUGUUUUGAACUUGUCGGGAGCUAAGUUGUGAACUUGUUGCUAUAUAUGACUUUAACUCGACCGUGAUGUCACUUUGAGUUAUCUAUAUGUCACACCAUCUAUAUUUGAUAUGUUUUGUGAAAUUAUGUCAACAAUGUAUAUGUCUUGUUUGUCGAUUGCAGAGACUUAGGACAAAAAAAAUGGUUUAGUGUUGUACUGGUACUCUUUUGGAGUACAACACUUGGCGUUGCAAUGCUUUGCCGAGUACACAUCUUUGCAGACGCGGCGCCUAGGUCCGCAGGCAACACCACAUCUUUCCCGAGAACAUAGGCACCUGGCAAGAAAUGCCACAUGUGGCAACAUCUGAGCACACAUGAAGAUGUCUGCCAAGUACGUUAUCGGGCGUGCUCGGCAAACAUUUACUUUCAGGACAAAAGUAUUUUCGUAAUUGGUUUGCCGAGUACGUAAGUAGAGAAUCUUGGGAAACAUGGACUCUCGAAGUCACGGAGCCGUCAACUGCAAACGGCCAUGCCACCUGGCUCGUAUUUUUCGGGUGUCGCAUCUACGAUCUCGGCAUACUCUCUAUAAGUCGAGUGCUUCUGUCUAAGCUGAGUAUCUAUGGCAGAGGGCUCGACAAAUUCUCUCAUAUGCCGUGCGCUAGUGUGUGCCCAGAGCCGUACUCGGCAUAGAAGUCUUUUGUCGUGAUCCCGUGUUACCGUACUCGGCAAAGGCGGAAGUACUCCAUAAUGAUGAUUUUUCCCGUAGUGAACAUAAACCACCCAUAUUCAUGCCCUGCAAGAUUUUAUUCACAGGAUGCUAGAUAUGAUAGAAAAGAACCCAAAAGUACUGCUACGGUGCUUAUGCACAUCCACUGCUCACACACUGUUGCUGGAACUUCCACUACACCACCAUGCUGCAGUGCAACCACAGUGUCCCUCAUGCAGCGAAUGCGACAGUAAAAUAUGUAAGUGAGGCGCUCCAGGAAGGAGACCUCACUCUCGCUGGAGCGGACAAUGUUCAUCAACGCCGCACAAAGAUGCUCAGCCUCCAUCCGCUUCUUGCACGGAUCAUCCACCUGAUGGCGCAGGUACACCAGCGCAUAGUAGUUAAUAUCCGUAAUUUUCACAUUAUGUUCAAUAGCUACAACAUGGAUAACCAUUAGACAAGCCGCUUGCUCAGCUUCAGGGAUAGUUGCUCCUGCAACCUCGUACUAUACGUGAGGAACCCUAUCUACUGGACCAAGGUUGACCUGAACUCCCGCGAUGUAUAGUCCAUCAGGAGCAGGCCUCCAAUAGAGAAUUGGUGGGGAAAGACCAAGCACUACCGCAAACUGCUCCAGAAAAUGCUUGAUUGCGAUAUUAACAAACUCUAUGCCUGGAUUUCACAACACAUCUAUCACAUUAGAAACAAAGUAAAGAGAAACAAGCAUAGCUACUACCCCUACACCAGAGAACAUCUCCCUAGUCCUACUAUACAAUCUUUACUAGUACGCCCAUGACCAUACUCAAACCAACCAGUACAUGUUCCUAUGCUACGCCAGGAUUAUUACCAAGUUAGUUUGCUCAUUUAAGUCACUUUGUACCCUCACCAGUCCUACUAAACCUGGUUUAUAAAUGGUUUAGUUAUAACGAGGCUCUGGUGCCACUAAAACUGUCAUGACCCGAGGGUUUGGGAAUAUAAAAGUGACAGCUGCCGAGUCCUUAUGAAUUUAAGCAACUCAUAACCGCCCAAGGCAUAAGUAGCAAACAUCAUAUCAUGAGGGUACAAAGGAUGCUCUAGUUUCUUGUUAUUCCUUACAUAGUAGCUUACACCAUCAAAUAAUUAAUCAGAGACAAAUAGUAGCCUACCUAGCUGCAGAUUAUUCUCCCACUUCAUUCAAUGAUUAAACAAAGACCCCUAAUCUAAUACCCUGUCCUGGGUGUUGAUGAUUCCUCAUGUUCCUCUAGCUCCUCACCAUGCCCACCUCCCGCACACACUGCGCAUAUCAGAUAGAAGAUAAGCAAAAUAAUAGUGAGUAUGUUGGGACGUACUCAGCAAGAAUAUAAGUAUGCAAGGAUUAGCAGGUUACAAAUUAAACACACAUAAGGUAGAAAUGGUUCGGCCCCUAUUACCUCAAGGAUGCCGAUAACUGCCACACGUGUGGUGUAUCGGGUGGUUGUGCCGCAAGCCCUGUGUGGCACGAAGACGAACCCGCCCGCACGAUCGCGUCCUGGCGCGCGCAGCCAUAGCCCGCACGUCCGGUGUGUGGCAACAUCGCCCACACGUCCGGGCAAACGACCGCGCUGCCCGCACAACCCAGCACGCCAGUCGUCCCGGCCUCCUUUCGAUCCCCAGUCCGACCAGCCGCCAUCGUCUCCUACCUCUCGAUCCCCUACCUCCAUCGCCUUCCUUCUCUGGUUGCCAUGGCAACUAGAGCAGAUCCAUAGCGCCUUCCCACUGNNNNNNNNNNNNNNNNNNNNNNNNNNNNNNNNNNNNNNNNNNNNNNNNNNNNNNNNNNNNNNNNNNNNNNNNNNNNNNNNNNNNNNNNNNNNNNNNNNNNNNNNNNNNNNNNNNNNNNNNNNNNNNNNNNNNNNNNNNNNNNNNNNNNNNNNNNNNNNNNNNNNNNNNNNNNNNNNNNNNNNNNNNNNNNNNNNNNNNNNNNNNNNNNNNNNNNNNNNNNNNNNNNNNNNNNNNNNNNNNNNNNNNNNNNNNNNNNNNNNNNNNNNNNNNNNNNNNNNNNNNNNNNNNNNNNNNNNNCCAAGGACGAUGAGCUAAAAAAAGGUGGAUGUCCGAUCUUCUUCUGUUUGUCGUCCUUCUUCUGCCCAGAAAUUUGAAAUUGCAAAUUUGCCCACGAAGUUGGCGACUGGAUCCACGCUAUCAGGGAAAACACCCCACGGGUUUGCGUGUAUUCGCAUUUGCCCACCAACAUACGCCAGAUCUGCCAUGUACUAUGCUAGAGUUGAGCUAAGCUUCUGGGUUGUCUUGGUGCCAGUAGUUGGUAAUGAAGGAUGCGUAGGAAUCACUAAAAAUAGGGAGAGAAAGGAGAAAUUUGGCAGAGGGAGGUAGGAAGAAUAAUUGCCACUUCUAUCUAACAUCAGUUGCCACCUAUCGUUGUCGUUAGCUGCCACCAUGUUAUCUUGUUGCUUGCCAUCCAAUUUUAUUGGCUAUUGCCAUCGCUUCAAAAUGAUAGCUGGCACCCAGAUUUGAGAAAAGAGAAUAAAUGUGCAUGUCAUACUUGCCAUGAUGUGUUGGUUGCCUACGCAGGAAAUGUGAUAAGAUUGUCGUGUAAUCUUCCACGUGCAAACAGCAAGAAUGCAUUUUGCAGUUUUUUGAUGCGUUGUUGUUCAUGCAGUGACUGAAAAACACUCUGGCAGGAAAAAAGUGGAAGAAUGAAUCACGAAGACGGCACUGAUCCUUGGUUUUCUCAAAGGCCGGAAACGCCCCCCUUGGGAUGCAGCAGAGUACAGUCAACUCAUUUCUGCAGGGCCGUUGCUGCCACUACUAGAGCAGUACGCGGGCAUCCGUACGAUGCAUGAUUAAAAAAAGAACAGUUCGCGUCGAUGAAGAUGUCAUUCUACUUAUGUCCUACAAUGUCAUUUUCCGCAGGUUCUUAUGACCAAACCACUUUUGGGGGGGGGGCACCGUGGCAAGUUCAGUCAUAGGGCGCUAACAAUGACAAAUUUACGGGCAACCAACUCCAAGUAGCUAAUAUGGAAAAUCAAGAUAACGCAUAUGAAAAAGAAACAUACUGGUGUCAACAUGAAAUUAAACUUGCAAGGAUGGCAAAAGACUCACGAGUUAUGUCGGGAAAAUGUAGGACCUUCAUGCAGCACGUGGCAUCAGGUGGCAAACGUGUACCUGCCAUCAACGUCGAACACAGGUGAGUCCAUGAAGUAAAGUUGUGGACAGUGAAUUAGCAGAAGGAACAUAGCUGACGGCUGCAGUUGCCAUGCCUGCACAGCUGCAGUUGCCAUGACUGGACAACUACAGUUGCCAUGUGUCAUAAAAUGUGAUUGCAAAUGUAUAAACAAUUGUGGAUGACACGUGUGGACAAACAUGUGUGGCAUGGAUGCACCGCUACAUGUGCAAUGUUGAACAAACUACAGUUGCCAUGCAUUGACCAACUGCUAACAUGAUCACAGGUUGUUACGGUAGAACCACAUCGGCAAACGUCUCAUGGCAAGCUUCACAGUUGCAGGACAACGCUAUUGCAGAUAGAGCAUCAAAUUGGAAUGACAGACCAGAUAAGAUCAGCACAUGCGGCACAACAAGGUAAGAAAAUGUGAACCAGAACACAGUGCUGCAUUUGCUUUUGUGAGAAUAGCAUGUGAGGAAAACGUAGAUUUGUAACGGUGGUGGUGGUAAAACAAACAAAAAAUGCUACCAAGUGGUUGCGUGCAAAAAGUCAUCUAUUCACUAGUAGAAAACAGGGCUUUGGUUCGGCCAGAAAAGAGCAUUAAUCCCGGUUGCAUUACGAACCGGGACUAACGUGAGCAUUAGUCCCGUUUCGAGCGGCUAGGGCACUGUACAGGCAUUAGUCCCGGUUCAAAUGGGACCUUUAGUCCCGGUUGGUGCCACAAACCGGGACUAAAGGGUGCGAUGCCCAUUUGUACCGGUUCGUGGCACNNNNNNNNNNNNNNNNNNNNNNNNNNNNNNNNNNNNNNNNNNNNNNNNNNNNNNNNNNNNNNNNNNNNNNNNNNNNNNNNNNNNNNNNNNNNNNNNNNNNNNNNNNNNNNNNNNNNNNNNNNNNNNNNNNNNNNNNNNNNNNNNNNNNNNNNNNNNNNNNNNNNNNNNNNNNNNNNNNNNNNNNNNNNNNNNNNNNNNNNNNNNNNNNNNNNNNNNNNNNNNNNNNNNNNNNNNNNNNNNNNNNNNNNNNNNNNNNNNNNNNNNNNNNNNNNNNNNNNNNNNNNNNNNNNNNNNNNNNNNNNNNNNNNNNNNNNNNNNNNNNNNNNNNNNNNNNNNNNNNNNNNNNNNNNNNNNNNNNNNNNNNNNNNNNNNNNNNNNNNNNNNNNNNNNNNNNNNNNNNNNNNNNNNNNNNNNNNNNNNNNNNNNNNNNNNNNNNNNNNNNNNNNNNNNNNNNNNNNNNNNNNNNNNNNNNNNNNNNNNNNNNNNNNNNNNNNNNNNNNNNNNNNNNNNNNNNNNNNNNNNNNNNNNNNNNNNNNNNNNNNNNNNNNNNNNNNNNNNNNNNNNNNNNNNNNNNNNNNNNNNNNNNNNNNNNNNNNNNNNNNNNNNNNNNNNNNNNNNNNNNNNNNNNNNNNNNNNNNNNNNNNNNNNNNNNNNNNNNNNNNNNNNNNNNNNNNNNNNNNNNNNNNNNNUCAGUUUUGUAAAAAGCAAAAGAAAAUGAUAAAAACUUCAAAAGUUAAAAUCCUUCGAGAUGUAGUUAUGUUACUACAUCUACUAGUUAGGAAAAUUUAAAAACUUACAUUUGGACAUGUUUUGCAAGAAGUGUAGGGAAAAUGUAAAACGGCUCUAACUUUUGCAUACGAUGUCAGAAAAAAACAUAUAAUAUAUCAAAAUGUUCAGCACGAAUUUUUAGAAUCCUCAAAUUCUAAAAGGAAUAAAAUUUAUGCUCAAAUUUCAGUUUUUUUUGAAUUUUCGUUAAAUCUGGUCAAACUAUGGUCAAACUACUUAUUCAAGAAGUAUUACUGUUACUAAAUAAUUAUUCAAGAAUAUUAGUGUUACUAAAUAAUUAUUUCAGUUUUUUUGAAUUUUGGUCAAAUCUGGUCAAAAUGGUCAAACUACUUAUUCAAGAAAUAUUAGUGUUACUAAAUAAUUAUUGUUUUUUAGAACGAUAGUUUCGAACUCAAACAGUGAAAUGUGUGACUUCAUGCUCAAGCUAAACUCUUGAGGGUUAAUAGGAUUGACAUCUUACUAUUGUCAGGAAAACAACAAGUGCAGGGCUGGGGUAGUGAGAGGAUGGGUGACCGUCCGGGAAGUUAGAUGAUUUGGAAUGAUGAGAGGUGAUUAGAGAUUAGAGGUUAAAAUAAUUCAGAAAUUUGAAAAUUCGGGAGAAAAAUUCAAAAAAAAAUUCAAAAAAAUUCAUAAAAUUUCCUUUAGUACCGGUUGGUGUUACCAACCGACCAGUUAGUGUUACCAACUGGGACUAAAGGUGGACCUCCAUGCAGCGGCCACGUGGAGGGCCUUUAGUCCUGGUUCAUAUAAGAACCAGGACUAAAGGGGGGCCUUUAGUAACGACCCUUUAGUCCCGGUUCCAAAACCGGGACUAAAGGCCCUUAUGAACCGGGACAAAUGGCCCUUUUUCUACUAGUGAAUGUCUUCGGGAUUUGGCAGUUGUUAUAUGAUUGUGUGCAACAUUCAUGAUUGAUCUCAUUUGCCUAGUGAGCUCGAANNNNNNNNNNNNNNNNNNNNNNNNNNNNNNNNNNNNNNNNNNNNNNNNNNNNNNNNNNNNNNNNNNNNNNNNNNNNNNNNNNNNNNNNNNNNNNNNNNNNNNNNNNNNNNNNNNNNNNNNNNNNNNNNNNNNNNNNNNNNNNNNNNNNNNNNNNNNNNNNNNNNNNNNNNNNNNNNNNNNNNNNNNNNNNNNNNNNNNNNNNNNNNNNNNNNNNNNNNNNNNNNNNNNNNNNNNNNNNNNNNNNNNNNNNNNNNNNNNNNNNNNNNNNNNNNNNNNNNNNNNNNNNNNNNNNNNNNNNNNNNNNNNNNNNNNNNNNNNNNNNNNNNNNNNNNNNNNNNNNNNNNNNNNNAAUAAUUCAGAAAUUUGAAAAUUCGGGAGAAAAAUUCAAAAAAAAAUUCAAAAAAAUUCAUAAAAUUUCCUUUAGUACCGGUUGGUGUUACCAACCGACCAGUUAGUGUUACCAACUGGGACUAAAGGUGGACCUCCAUGCAGCGGCCACGUGGAGGGCCUUUAGUAACGACCCUUUAGUCCCGGUUCCAAAACCGGGACUAAAGGCCCUUAUGAACCGGGACAAAUGGCCCUUUUUCUACUAGUGAAUGUCUUCGGGAUUUGGCAGUUGUUAUAUGAUUGUGUGCAACAUUCAUGAUUGAUCUCAUUUGCCUAGUGAGCUCGAAUCUAGAAUGCAAGUUUUGAUGCUAAAAGAUAGUGGUUGUCAUGUCUUGGCAGUAGUAGUUGCCAUGUAUGUUGGACUGUAGAUGUCGUGGCUAUAGAAUGCAAGUUUUGAUGUUAAAAGACGCGGUUGCCAUGUCUUGGCAAUAGUAGUUGCCAUGUUUGUUGGACUGUAGAUGCCAUGACUGGAGAACUACAGUUACCAUGCAUGGCCAUAUGCAGAUUCACGGCUUGUUGUGUGAAUGAUCUCAUGCCAAAUCACAUGCAGUUGAUGUAUUCCAUUACGAUAGACAUGCCAUUCAAGCAAAUACAUACGCUCGUGCCUGUUUUUUUAUUGCAGGACCUUCAACUACAAUCAACAGCGGCGCAGGGACAUCUACUGUGGGAAGCUCUGAGCGCAUGGAAGAAGCGUUCCACCAGCAAGCCAACAAUUAUGCCACAAACAAUGCAGAGUCAGUGUCGGAAAUGGCAAUUGUUCCAGCAAUUCUGACAAGCACACCUUUGCACACCAGCACAAGCUACACUCAAGUAGAUGAAACAGCCGCCGAUACUGAAGUGAAUGAUGAAACUGAUGACGAACCACAAGGGGAUGCAGAAGAUGGGCAAUCAGAAAUCAUGGUACCUAAGCCACCGUAUGUUGGGCAGAGGUUUGAUUCGUUUGAAGAUGCAAAGGAAUUCUACCUGACAUAUGCAAAGUUCCAUGGGUUUGCGGUCAACACCGAAUACCAUAGGAAAAUUAAAAAAACUAACGAGUACAGCAGAAGUGAGAUGAGGUGCUACAAGGCACGAAGGAACAAGAAGGGUAAAGGUGUUGCGCAUGUCGUGCCGGAAUGAAAGAGAGGUAUCAUUGUCAAGAUGGAAUGCCAUGUCCGGUGUAAGCUGAAUGUAGAUGGAGCACGGUGGGUGGUCACUGAAUAUUUUGACGAGCACAACCACGAACUCAUAAAGAAGUUUGACCUGGUAAAAUUUCUGACCGCCCACAGAGGCACCCCACUCGAGAAGAAAUUCAUAAAGCUGCUACAUGAUUGUAACGUCGGUCCAUCAAGAAUGGUCCAGAUACUAUCCCUCAUCCACAACAAAAAUGGGACUCUGAGUAGCAUGCCGUACAUACCAGCAGACGUCACAAACCUAAAGGCAAAGUACCAUAGGGAGAGCAGGUUGGCUGACAUAGAAGACACGAUAGCCUACUUCGAUGAGAAAGCGAAAGAAGAUCCAGAUUUCUUCUACAGGAUAAGAUUGGACGAUAAGGACUGUGCCAGGAACAUGUAUUGGGUGGAUGGUGCUGCAAGAAGAGCCUACAAACAUUUCCGAGAUUGCAUUUCGUUCGACGCGACAUAUUUCACUAAUAUGUACAAGAUUCCAUGCGCUCCAUUCAUAGGAAUAAAUAACCACAAUCAGUCAUUGCAAUUCGGAUGCGGGCUCGUUCAGAACGAAGACACGGAUGGGUACACUUGGCUGUUCAAGACAUUCUUGGAGUGCAUGGGUGGACUUGCUCCGAUGAACAUAAUAACAGACCAGGAUUUUAGCAUACGUGCAGGCAUAGAGUACGUCUUUCCGUUGGCAGUGCAUAGGCACUGUAGGUGGCACAUUAUAAAGAAGGCUGAGGAGACGCUAGGACCAUUCUUUGCUGACCGUCCGGAUCUGCACAAGGCAUUCGAGUUGUGCGUGGACCACAGCUUGACAGUGGAGGAGUUUGAACGGAGCUGGAUGGCUAUGAUUGAAACAUAUCAAGUCCAAGACAACGAGACGCUUGCUAGCCUAUGGCAGAAGCGAAUGUACUGGGUGCCAGCCUACUUCAUGCACUGCUUCUUCCCAUUUCUGCAGACUACGCAGCGCAGCGAGGGGUUCAAUGCUGUUCUGAAGCGGUACGUGAGCCCUGGCAACUCAUUGCUAUAGUUUGCCAAGCAAUACACGGCUUUGCAACAAAAAAUACUGGGAUCUAAGCUAUAGCAAGAAGCAAACACCGCGCUAAAGCAGCCUAAAUUGCUAACAUAUUUACCAAUGGAGAGGCAGAUGAGCAAGACAUAUACCAACAAGAAUUUUAACAAGUAAGUCAGUGUGUGUUACAGUCUUAUUUGCACAAGCAUGAAGGUAAAUAGGUGCCAUAUAGAAAUGCAAUGCAGUUGCCGGCUUUUUUGGAAAUGCUGGUAUAUUGAAAAUGGCCAUUGAGCACAUGGUAACCAUGAUGUGUAGUUACCAUGUUUAAUGUACUGCAGUUGCCAUGUGAAGUCAACUAUAGUUGCCAUGUGAAGUCAACUACAAUUGCCAUGUUUAAUGAACUAUAGUUGACAUGUUUAAUGAACUAUAGUUGCCAUGUUUAAGGAACUGUAGUUGCCGUGUGAAAUCAACUAUAGUUGCCAUGUUUAAUGAACUAUAGGUCCAGUUCCCAUGAUGGUAUGGAGUGCACUUGCCAAUUAAAAUGUUAUGCAUUUGCCAUGUGAAAAAUAUCAUGCAGUUGCCAUAGCCAUCAUUCAUUUUAGAUGCCUUUCCUACGUUACAGCCUACUUCAACAUAAAGGUGCUACAAAAAAAUCAUAUAAGAGUUUAACAAAACCACACAAAACUUGCAGAUUCCAGGAAGAAAUAGAGCGCGCCAGCAUGUACACGGCUUACUAGGUGGACGAACAUACGUUCAAGGUGUGUUCUCUGUUGGGCAUGUCGGAUUCAGAACCUGAAGACCCAGACAAAAGGAAGGAACUACUUUGUGAAGGCCUUGAUAAGCGAAGGUGAAUACUACUGCCAAUGUUGCAAAUUCGAACAGGACGGGAUUGUGUGCUGUCACAUACUAAAAGUAAUGGACAUGAACGCGGUGACACGAAUGCCCCGCCAUUUCAUACGGCGGCGAUGGACUUGGGAUGCUGACGACGCAUUGGGGCCGCAAACAUCAAAUGCAGUUUUGGCUGUGCAUGAUGAGAGACCAGAGUCAACCAUGGAAGCCGUGAGGCACGUUGUGUUGACAAAAAACUAUGUUGAACUAAUAGAUGAAGCGUGCAAGAGUGAUGAGACAGCGAGGGUUGCAGAAAAACACAGGAAGGCCCUAAAAAGAGAGCUUGAUAAGAUCAAGAAGAGGAAAGCUGAGGAAGCCUUACACAGGUUCCCCCGCACCUCAAGUGUGCCUUCAUCCACGGGGCCAUCAUCUGAAAACUUGGAGGUAGGAUCUGGAACAGCAAGCACACAAACCCAGAUCAGGAACCCGCCCCGUUCCAUCACAAAAGGGCGUCCAAAAGAGAUCAGAUACAAAUCGGAAUUGGAGAUUCAAGCAAAGCACAAGAAAACAAAGAAAGGGACGGGAAAUCCAUAAGCAACAUUGGAGCAUUGUGACUUGGUUGUUGGUGACAUUAUUUGCAAGCUAGAUGUUCUAAAAAUUGUAAAAAUGGUAGAACGAAUCUUGAGGGGAAUCAGAACCUGAAAAGGAAAUGCCAUGAAUCAAUGACUGCAAUUGCCACGUGUGUGGUACUGAAUUUGCCAUGUUAUUUCUUCGGAAUCUGCCAUGCCUUUUCUACUGAAUCUGCCAUGUUAUUUCAACUGAGUCUGCCAUGCCUGUUCUACUGAAUCUGCCAUUCAUUUUCUACUGAAUCUGCCAUGUUAGUUCUACUGAAUGUGCCAUGUCAUUUAUACUGAGUCUACCAUCGCGUAGAUUUUCAUGUGCAGCCAACACAUUUUAGUCCACACAUAUUGUAUUGUGUGGAAACUAUGGAAAACAAGUUGAAACGAUCACGUGCAAAAACCGUAAGGGUACGACUGCGUACAAACUACCCUGCUAGCCGAUACAGUUAGCAGUGCAAAAAAACCAAAAAGACAAAUGAGAAAGAACGAUAACUUUCACUAACCAUGACUGAUCAACUACAUUUGCCAUGUUUUCAGACAUCAAGGACGAUUCAAAACACCAAACUAGUACUGCCAACCCACAAACGCGUAAUAAUACUGAAAGCACAUAAACGUAUCUGCUGUCACACCUAAGUAGGUUCACAUCCACACAUAUAUUACAAACUAUUCAAAUAUCGCUCACACGCCACCACUAUAUACUAGGCUACGGGGAGAUGCAGUCAUAGCAUAUUACACGGACAUAGUUUUGAAAAAGAACAAGGUAAUACCUUACAUUCCUGGGCAACAGAAUGUAAGGUAGGUGUUCGGUGUGGAGCACCACGUGAUCACUUGUACUUCUUGGUGGCUUUCUUGACAGCUUCCUCUAUAAACUCUCGUGCAUUGGACCACGUGUUGAAAUCUUCAUUCAUCAACCAGUUCCAUGUGUAAAUUUUGCGGAGCUCGACGACCAUUGCAGCUGUGACGACAGGGACCCGUCGACCUUCCCACUUAGCAAGGUAUUCCAACGUGUGAAAGCCACAAUCGUGCCUAUACAAGAGAAGAAUAAGGUGAACUCACGAGAACAGAGAAAAAUCACACACUUCAAUUCAGAGGUGACAGAGAGGGUUAGCAUUGAUGUACAGGACACAUGACGAAAAGAUAGUAAUUACCGGUUUCCUUGCUUCGUAGUCGCCAUGUACUUGAUUGGAAAAUGUCUGAUCUGGACCUUUGAGUUUUCGUAGUGAAGGUUCCAUGUCUCUUUGAGGUUGUUGAUGAAGUAUUCAGCAUGUGUAAUAAGGUCUGUAUCAGCUUCUGAACACAUUGAAUCAAGCACCUCAAAACGCUGGUUCUUCAGGUCCAGGAAAAUCGCGUAGUGGUGACCACAAUUGUCAUGUGGGUCCUGUGGUGCAAGCUCCUGGAACAUGGGGAACAAUACCUGCAAGUAAAAUGAAGGAAACAAAAAGCAGACUUCACAUCAAGAACAUAAAUGAUGUAGUUGGAAAAUGGUGUGUAAAGAUAUCACCGGUUGCACUAAGAGGCACAUGAAUGACAUAAAGCAGCAAGUGUCCAAAAGUAAACCCACAUAGAAUGUUUAGUUACACUGUGUAAUUAAAAGAAGUUGCCAUCCAUGUAUGAACAAAGUUGCCCUGUAUUUUAGUUUGAAGUUGCCACAUAGGUUGUAUUAAGAAGCAAAUCAAACUCAUUUUACAUGGCAGCUGUUGCCACAUGAAACAGUUGUCACAGAACAUGGUGUAGCCCACAUGUGAAGCAUAUCUACUGGCAAAACAUACCAAGGCAGGAAAAAUGUGCAAAAAAGAAAGGAAUACUCACACAUUUCUUCAUUGUGAGCUUGAAGUCACCAUGCGUGGCAAAAUGCUUCCUCAGGAUUUUGUGGUGGAAGUCACCAUCCCAUAUUUUGCAGGUCACGCUGUACUGCAUGAUUGUUUUGUCGGGAGACAUAUCCAUAUGCCUGUUGGUGAAGUCAAUCCCACAUGCAACUACAUUCUUCGACAUUUUGCCGAGUGGCCUCACAGACUCGGCAAGAUCACCAUGGUCAACGUAUGUCGCAUCGCAUUGUAUGAUCUUGGUUCUGUCCAAACAUGAGCUGUAUGAAAAUGAUAUAACUUGAAAGAAUCAUGUCUAGUAAGUAGAAAAAAGAAAUAAAUUGUAAAACAGAGCAUCUAUAGAAUUGCAAAAAGGAAGAAAAAUAAAAAGGAAAGAAAAUGAGGGGUUAUGCGGUGUGGUCAUUACGCUUUCAACUCCUUCAUGUGCUUGCCAUUGGACCUCGCAUUUCCAAAGCGCUUGACAAUUUCGUAGAGCUGGUUCUGAUCCUUUGUGGCCUUGACUUCUGGCUCAUACUCAUCCGCGGGUGGUGUGUGAACUACCCUAUGCUACCUCACAGAACCAGGGGUGAGUUCUAACGGUAUCCUCAGAUACGGAAUCAGUAUGCAUGCUAGAACUUGAUUGCCCCUGACCUCGUGAGGACCUCCUCUGCAGUGCUGCCUCCUCAAUCCUGCGGUAAGCUUCAUCAAGUGAUGGCGUAAUCUCCUCAGGAGUGGCUGGAAUGAUCAAAAAAGUGGGUUACGGUACCUGGGGAAUAAAACAAGUUAAUUGUGCAAAGAAAGAGUGUAGAAUGUGAAAAUGUAGGUGCAAAAUUAGGGAGUUGCCAUGUGGAGGCAACUACAGUUGCCAGGUGUAAUUCAGUGUAGUUGCCAUGUGGCAACAACUGUAGUUGCCACAUGGCAACAACUGCAGUUGCCAUGUGGGUUGAACUGUAGUUGCCAUGUUGUAUCCACUCCAGUUGCCAUGUGCUUGCCGAAUGGAAAAUGCAACAUGGCAACAGAAUGUAGGUGACAUUGUGCAGCAAAUCCAGUUGCCAUGUUCAUCAGAUAACAUUUGCCAUAUGCAGUGAGAAGCUAAAAAAAGCUUGGGACAAAAUUCAAACUAAAAAAUAUGUACAACAAAAUGAUAAACGUAGAAAAAAUGUACCUUGCACAAUCGGCUCUGCGAACUUCACAGCCUUCCUGCCCUCAGCCAUUGGCUGCGCCAUCAUUGGGGCCAUGCCUGCCGAGAAAGCAAAGGAAACUGGCAUAGGAUCGUGCACCACUGGUUGAUCUUGACUAAUGCCAAGGCUAAAGCUCGGUGGGGUGAAGGCCAUUGGGUGCCUCUCCUGCCUACUAGCCGGACCACGAACAACUUGCCUCUCCAGGGGUGAAAGAUCGACAAACAUUUAUGCCUCGUCUGUUGCAGAAUCAUGAGGCUUAUCAGUAGGUCGGGGCGUGUUGUCAGUGGUAUCACCUGCAACUUUCUUGCCAAUCUUCUUGUUUGGGCUGUAGGGGACACCAAUGUUGACUGGGAGCUUAGAAGUGCGCAAAUUUAUGCUGGGGGUCUCCACGGCGGGUAAAGACGCAGUCUGCUCCGGACGUUCACCUCCGUCAGUCGUGCCCAGCUUGCCACCUGGGUCAGUUGUACUCCGGUCUUCCGUUUUCUCCAUAACAUUGCUUUUGGCAGGUGGUGGGGAACAGUGUGGACGCAGGCACAUAACAAGAGUCAUCUCUGCUUCUCCUAGCUACAGCUGGUGCGUUGGAUAUGUGUGCUGAUUGCUUGCGGGGGCUACGCCGCCUAGGUAGAAGACCAGCUCGUGAAACGGUCGCCUUUGCAACCUCUAGACAACCAGGAGCUGUUGUGCCAAGACUCUCACCUGUGGAUGGCAUAUCAGUCUGAACUGUCACCUCAGCCCCUUCUUUCGUGGACGUAGAGGUGCCACCACCCACGCGCUUGGAAUCCGUAUCAGAUGAGCGGGAAUCUUCUUUGCUUAGGUUGAUCUCGGGGGCAUCCACUUCAACACUUGCUGAUCGGGUGGCAUGGGUCACGACAGCAUCCUUCAUUGCCAGCAGAGUGGGCAAUAUCUUAGCAGUCCUGGCAGAUACGGACUCAUCACUCCCAGAUGUGCGGAUGCCUGUUGUUGUAGCCUGCACAUCUGCAACCGGUGGAGAUGGUCGGCCGCUUGCAUCAGAGCUAGUGGGAACAGUUGACGGUGCAGUAGCAGAUUUGUCGACUCGCGCCUCAUGAGAAUCUGAGUUGCCACCUGUCGACAGCUUUGAGUGUAUGCGUUCGAGUGGGUCUCUGGGGUUCUUCUUGGUCACACGUGUGGUAGUCUUCUUCAACCUGCAAAAAAGCACACAAAUAGUGUUAAAAAUUAAACAAAAAUAGUUGCCAUGGUAGCCAUCUUAAAGAAUGAAAAAAUGUGUGAUGUGCCAGAGCUGCCAUUUCAGAACUAGGUAUGGAUGAGCACACAAGACAAAGUAGGGGGUGGAAGCCAGUGGAAAGUUGGUAGUUGCCAUAUAGGUGGAAAAAGAAUUGCCAUGUGGCCUAGUUAGCAGUUGCCAUGCAGGACAGGUAGGAGUUGCCAUGCAGUAGAAAAAAGAGAUCAUGGGAAAACAGCAGUUGCCAGGUGGGGCUGAUGGCAGUAGCCCAUGUGGCAAGCUGGACAGCUGCAUUAAAAGCAAAAAUAUAGCACUAUGACAAUGAAAAGAACAGGGAUAACCUACUUCUUAACUGUCUUCCUCAAGUCUACCAACAAGAGAGGAUCCCCGGUGUUGGACGUCGACGUACGAGGAGAUGACCUAGUGGAAGGGGUGUCACCAGCAAUGGGGGCACCCUUGUUCAAUCAAGCAGAAACACGUGUUGGCGUUGGUGCUUGUUUCUUCAUAACUGCUCGUCCACCAGCUGUCGCCUCACUGCACGUAUAAGAAAAAGGCAAAAAAAAGGUACCAAGUGCCAGACACGAAAAUCAUUGCCACACUUAGCAAAACAAAAUGGAAAAAAGGGUCGGUCUGUUCAAAAGGAGAGACAAACAAGACACUAAAAAUAGAUGUCGAACCUCCUCCUAGCAGCUAAGGGAUCGGUCCUAGGCCUCUUGCCAGGAGAGCCCUGCCCAACAUCCUCUGGAGCCCUGCCCCACUUUGAGGGCGACUCCCCCUUGUCUCUCGUAGCUGUCUAUUCUUUGACUUUCUCCGACGGGGGACAUCUGGUGCAGCCUUGCCCUUCUUGCCACCUACACGAACUUCAACAGGUUCAUCAUCGUCGGUGUCAUGUUGCACGUUCUCCAUGUCAUCAUCAUUGUCCUUGUCGAGAGCAGCAUCUCCAUCUAGUUCAUCUUGCGUGUCAGGAAGCUCCUGGGAGCUGUAGUAGUCGUACCGGCCACGGGCAACCAGUUGGCCGAUGUGUCCGUUCUGCAACAAAUGGAGUGAGCUGCCUCGCAACCGCGUCGCUGUCAAAGCCAUUAAGGGACGUCCAACCCUCAACCAACUUCCCGAGGAAGCCGAUCAUUCCGGAAGCAAACUGCCCAAUUAGAUGCUCAACAGGUGCCCUCGCCUAUGCAGAAACAAGAAGCAACAGUAAUCAACCGUGUUAGAGUCACGUGCAAAAGAUCAAAUAAACCAAAAAUAACCAUAGAGAUAUAUCAAAAAAAGAGAAAAAAAUUUGAAAAAACAAAAUAAAAAUCCUUGAUUACCUCAGGAGGACAAGACGGAGCUGAGUGCACGUCCAUCCACUUUCCAAAGUUUUGAGGCCCACCAAACACGCUGUAGUCUAUAGCAUGCUUAGCGAUCAGCUGGAAAACAUGAAAAAAAACUAGGAUGUAAGAGAGAAAAUAAGGAACAGCGACUAACAAUUCAUGUAUUGCAAAAAAAGAGGGAGAAAGUAGAAGUUUCAAUACGGAUGGCGGAGUUGCCGUGUGGCGUUAGACAUGGUUCCCAUGCGCAGACACCCAUGGCUAACAAGGUAUUCAUCUCUUGUUAGCCGCAUAUGGUUGCCAUAUGGGGAUUUUUUUCAUAUGUUAUGCAGCAUCAAAAUUGAAGAAUGUCGUGCAAGAAAGGAGGCAGAACUAACCUGUAGUUUCCCAUAUUUCUUAUCAGUUAUCUUGUCUGCGGCAAGCACAGCCUUGACAGCAUCGUACGUCCAUGCAGAGACAGCAAACUUAUGUGGAGGCAGCGGGCCUCCUAUCCCAGUAAAGUCGACGGUGGACAGAUCAAGACGAUCGACGUACAUGAGCUGAUGUACACAAUUUAAAAGAAAAAAUGUCAGUUGCCAUCAUGCUAUGUUGAAAAAGAAGCUAAUGGAGAAUACUGCAGUCAUCAAGUUGAAGGGGAAUCUCAAGGGAAAAGAUUUGCCAUAUAUAUGUGUUAGUUGCCAUCAUGAUGUGAUGAUAGUUGCCAUCUUGUUAUGAUGAUACUUGCCACAAGGUCAAAAUCAUGGUUGCCAUGCAUAGUGUAUAAAACAGAGAGUGGAUGUAUGAAAUGAAUUUAUUUAUUUUUGUAUGUUGUUGACGAAUGAUAUUGCCUUGUAGGCAGCAAACCACAGAUGCCAUGGAUCAUAUAGAAGUCGCCUUCACACGUAAAAAAAUCAUAUAAAACAAAUGAAAACAAAACGGGUUGCCAUGCAUGAUCUUGUACGGUUCGCACUUAUCGACAGCUGACAUGUUGAUUUGGGAAAACAUUCAACGUGGUAAGAGUGUUUGCAAAGGAGUAGGGAAGAAAUACCAUUAAAUGGAGUCAACAACCCUUCUGAUACAUCUUGUUUGAGAAUGCAUAAUGCAGGAAGUCCGCGAUGAACUUACGCCAAUUCUUGUUCUUCACAUCUUUCAGCUUCGUCUGCACGACACAAAUUUCAGGACAAGAAGUUGACAUCAGAAAUCAAAUGAAAAAACAUCAAAAAACUGGCAGUUACUAGCUUACAAAUGACAUCGGAGUCAAAAGAUUGAAGGAAUAAAGGAGUAGAGAUAGAUCAUUAACCAGGAUGGGGAAGCAUUUGUUGCUUGGGCGAAGAGACGUGGUAGGCGCAAAUACAGCUGAGAUCAGGUACAUGAGUAGCUUCAUCUUAAAAACCUCGCCAUGGGUUUUCAUGCUCUCCAGCGAAUUUGCCAGCAUAGUCGUGUUCGGCAUGGAUGCCGUCCCAGGAAACAAACGGGCAAACAACGUUUCCUCAAUCGUAUUAUUGACCUCGUACGGGACUUUGAUUUCUCCACGGGGCACACCCAAAGUGCAGAACACGGAUUCCUCGUCCAACGGGAGUCUUCCACAUCCCAGAAUCACAAAUUCCCUGGAGGCGGUGUCGUAAAUCUCACCGAGCCAGUCGCAUACAGGGUUCACUAGGUUCUUGCACCGAACAUCCAUUAGAGCCUACAUACCCAUCUCAGCAGUAGCUCCCUUCUGCUCGUCGGUAAAUCCAUCGGUCAAUAUACCAUUCCUGUGAAGCCCUAUUGCGAUAACGUUUCUUCUUCUGCAAAACAGACAAAUGUUCAUUUGUUGCCAUGUUUGAGUAUCAUGAAAAUUUAGUUCCUAGUAGACGAUUGCAAACUCAAUGUGACAAUCAAAAGCAUAUGGGGGUGGAAAGUUACCUCAUCGCCAUCUUUUGUCCGUCCAGUUCGGCGAUUCUGUUGCGGUAACUCCAUGAAAUCAUCAUCGCCAUCUUGGAUGUGGCCGCGAGCCAUUGUGUUGGGUAAGAACAAAUCAAAAUGUCAGGGUGAAAUGAACUUACGAAGGAAGCAGUUGCCACCUAACAGAAUGUACUUGCCACAUGGGCUCAAUUGAAAGUGGCAAAAAAGACUAGGCAAUAUCAUAGGAACACCCACACCUCCCUAUGAUUGUCCAACAAGAAAAGUGGCAACUAAACACACUGGCUUCAUUUGAAAACUGUACAGAUCAUAAGGCACUUACGCAAAAAAUGUUCAAGUUGACAUGUUGGCACGAGAUAGUACAAAAGAAAGGCACACAUAUUCCACUGCACAAACAUAUAAUGUGGCAACUGACACACUGUCCUCAUUAUAAAAAUGAGUUUCCAUAUGUUCAAAGGCAAAUGUACUAGGUUGAAGUUGCCAUGUAAAAAUGGAAGACAAAUCAAAAAGUGCUCAAAACAUCCAGUAAACAACAUGUAAUGUGGCAAUUCACACACUGGCCUCAUAUUAAAAAUGAGUUGCCGUGUAAUACAGCCAAUUAUGUUCAGAUAUCACUAGUCAGCAUGGCAAAACACAAAUUGAGUCUAUAGUACAGUGAAGUUGCCACAUUAUCCUGCCUACAGCAUGGCAACAGCCAUAGUGUGUUCACAAAAAUAGUUGCCACAUGGAAAGCAUAUUUGUGGCAACUGACAUAGUUGAUCAGGAAAUUAGUUGCCAUCCAUUGCACAUAGUUGCUGAAAACUGCCAUGGCUGUUUUAUACUACACUUUGAAAAAUACAACUACCUAGAUCUAGGGUUCGUUGGCAACUAUCAUAACCUGAAAUUCAACAACGAAAAACUUCCCCCACUGAUCGCAAAUAGCAUUCCGAGGCAACACAUAACUAACAACUAGAAAAACGCCGGCUCAAUCGCAAGGCAGAACCAGGAUGUGGCUGCGGACAGGCCGAGCCACACCGGCAUGACUGCCACCGCGGCGGCGACGAAACUGCGCAAUGCCACCCAAAACGGCAAGCACGGGACUCCGCCGCCAACGGGAACGCUGGAGCACCGCGAAUCCGCCAGAAUCUCGAUGAAUCUCGAGCGGAACAUUGACCACGGAGGAGAGGGGGGAAUGCAAGCAAGGAAUGUGGGCGUGGGGAGGAGCAUUACCUUCAAUCUGCAGGCGCUCCGGUGACGACGCUCCGGUCCGGCGAGUCCCAUCGACGGCCGUGAAUGUCGUUGACUCUUUCGCCUCCGCCGCCGCCUUCUCCUCUCGGCUUCUCUUCCAAUCUAAUGAACUGCGGGGUGGGUUGGGUGAGUAAUGGAGUGCAGCAAGUAAAUGGAACCGCGAUCGGAGGGGGGGCUAAGGGCGAGAUGUGGUUGACGACAACCGUAGUCGGGCGUGGCGUGCGGGCGCCGAGCAGUUCCACCACACGCCCCCGAGUGGCAACCGUUGACCGCGGAGAGGAAACCGGCGUGUGGGCGAACUCUGUCACACACCACACACGCGAGUUGUCCUACGUGACACACAAAAUCACCCAAAACGUGCCAAGAUUCGUGCAGAAAUUGCUAAACGGUGAUGGAGGCAUGUGGGUGAGUUGGCUAACGCCCACACAUGUGGGUGUUAGUGUUUUCGUUACCUCAAAGGACCAAAGAAAUUUGCCAACUAGGGCAAGCCUAUAAAAAUAAUCUCUACAGAGACAUACUAAUAACCAUCGUAAUCUCCACCAAUGGUAAUACCUAUCUAUGGCAAUCAUGACGCCGAGCCCCCUAUUUGUUUGAGGCAUCUUCCAUCUCACACUACUACUGACUAAAUUAGCCGCCUACUGAUAUUUUAGGUAUUGACUGCCCCAGCCUUGAUAUACCAUACUUGCCAUGAUCACGAUGAUGUGCGUUCUUAAAUUACUCAAACAUUAUCGUUUGAUCAAUUCGUCAAACAUUCAUCAAUGGUUUUCGCCAUUAUAAUUAUUGCUAGCGCAUCAUUUAUCUUCAUGUGUAAACACAUUAGUGCUACUGAUCAAUUAGUCUAUCAACAUAUAUUGAGAGUUUAGUUAAGAAAGAAGACUGGUAUGCACAUUCUUGCCUUGAUGUUGUUCCUCGGUUAAAUCUGAGCUCCAACUUAAGCACAUUAGAAACUCACAUUAGCCUAUUAGUUCAUGCAACUUGCAGGUGCCAACAGUGGAGACAUGGAUAGCUAUGUGUAGUACUGGGAUGUAACAACUCGUUCUAUAGUACUUGGCCAUGUGGAGUGAGACAUGCAUGGCUAGCUUUAGUUUUGGUACUAUCCAUGAUUAUUAGUUUGAGACGUGCAACGACUUACAUGCAUGCUAGCUAGUCGUGAGAAGUACUUCUUUUCACAAGAGAUGUACGCAUGUCAGGAUCCUGUAGUACUAGUACUACUUGUUCUCACAUUUUCAUCCCAGCCAGUACUAGUUGUUCUUUCUUUUUUUUUGAAAGGAGGUUUUCCCAUGGCCUCUGCAUCGGAAAGAUGCAUGCGGCCACUUUAUUAAAGCAAAUUCAGGAAAACAAAUAGUCUAAUAUCUAAAGUAAGCUCACAAAAGGAGCAAAGAGAGAUAAAAGCUAGGAAAACAAAUCAUCACCACAACCGGCUAGACGAAAGGACAUUAAGGACCUAUCCUAUUAUGCGACCGCCAUCCAAACCUGUUAGAAGGGAGAGAGAGGAUUGGUGGAAUAGUUCGUUGUAUUGCUUGAGCCUUGUGGGCAUAUAUAUAGGAGUACAUGGUCAACUUGGAGUACAAGACAAGCCGGAACCGAAGGAAAUAUGCCCUAGAGGCAAUAAUAAAGUUAUUAUUUAUUUCCUUAUUUCAUGAUAAAUGUUUAUUAUUCAUGCUAGAAUUGUUUAACUGGAAACAUAAUAUAUGUGUGAAUACAUAGACAAACAAAGUGUCACUAGUAUGCAUCUACUUGACUAGCUCGUUGAUUAAAGAUGGUUAUGUUUCCUAACCAUAGACAUGAGUUGUCAUUUGAUAAACGGGAUCACAUCAUUAGGAGAAUGAUGUGAUUGACUUGACCCAUUCUGUUAGCUUAGCACUUUAUCGUUUUAGUUUACUGCUAUUGCUUUCUUCAUGACUUAUACAUGUUCCUAUGACUAUGAGAUUAUGCAACUCCCGAUUAUCGGAGGAUCACUUUGUGUGCUACCAAACGUCACAACGUAACUAGGUGAUUAUAAAGGUGCUCUACAGGUGUCUCCGAUGGUACUUGUUGAGUUGGCAUAGAUCAAGAUUAGGAUUUGUCACUCCGAUAGUCGGAGAGGUAUCUCUGGGCCCUCUCGGUAAUGCACAUCACUAUAAGCCUUGCAAGCAGUGUGACUAAUAAGUUAGUUGCGGGAUGAUGCAUUACGAAAUGAGUAAAGAGACUUUCCGGUAACGAGAUUGAGCUAGGUAUUGAGAUACCGACGAUCGAAUCUCGGGCAAGUAACAUACCGAUGACAAAGGGAACAACGUAUGUUGUUAUGCGGUUUAACCGAUAAAGAUUUUCGUAGAAUAUGUAGGAACCAAUAUAAGCAUCCAGGUUCCGCUAUUGGUUAUUAACCGGAGAUGUGUCUCGGUCAUGUCUACAUAGUUCUCGAACCCGUAGGGUCCGCACGCUUAAAGUUCUGUGACAAUCGAUAUUAUGAGUUUAUAUGUUUUGAUGAACCGAAGAUAGUUCGGAGUCCCGGACGUGAUCUCGGACAUGAUGAGGAGUAUCGAAAUGGUCGAGACAUAAAGAUUGAUAUAUUUGGACAUCGGAAAGGUUCCGGGUGAAAUCGUGAUUUUACCGGAGUGCCGGGGGGGUUACCGGAACCCCCCGGGGGUUAAUGGGCCUUGUUGGGCCCUAGUGGAGAGAGAGAGAGAGGGGCCGGCCAAGGCAGGCCGCGCACCCCCUCCCUCUGUGGUCCGAGUUGGACUAGGAAGGGGGGUGGCGCCCCCUUUCCUUCUCCCUCUCCUCCUCCCUUUCCCCCUCCUAGUAGGAGUAGGAAAGGGGGAGUCCUACUCCUACUAGGAGGAGGACUCCUCCUCCUGGCGCGCCCUACAGGGCCGGCCGGCCUCCCCCCUUGCUCCUUUAUAUACGGGGGCAGGGGGCACCCCAUAACACACAAGUUGAUCAUUGAUCUCUCUUAGCCGUGUGUGGUGCCCCCCUCCACCAUAAUCCACCUCGGUUAUAUCGUGGCGGUGCUUAGGCGAAGCCCUGCGUCGGUAGCUUCAUCAACAUCGUCAUCACGCCGUCGUGCUGACGAAACGAUCCCUCGAGUUCUACUGGAUCGUGAGUUCGCGGGACGUCACCGAGUUGAACGUGUGCUGAACACGGAGGUGUCGUACGUUCGGUUCUGAGGAUUGGUCGAUCGUGAAGACGUACGACUACAUCAACCGCGUUGUCACAACGCUUCCGCUUUUGGUCUACGAGGGUACGUGGACACACUCUUCCCUCUCGUUGCUAUGCAUCACCAUGAUCUUGCGUGUGUGUAGGAUUUUUUUUGAAAUUACUACAUUCCCCAACAGUGGCACCCGAUUCAGGUUUAUGCGUAGAUUUUAUAUGCACGAGUAGAACACAAGUGAGCUGUGGGCGAUACAAGUCAUACUGCUUACCAGCAUGUCAUACUUUGGUUCGGCGGUAUUGUUGGAUGAAGCGGCCCGAACCUACAUUACGCGUACGCUUACGCGAGACUGGUUCUACCGACGUGCUUUGCACAUAGGUGGCUGGCGGGUGUCAGUUUCUCCAACUUUAGUUGAACCGAGUGUGACCACGCCCGGUCCUUGUUGAAGGUUAAAACAGCACUAACUUGACGAAAUACCGUUGUGGUUUUGAUGCGUAGGUAAGAACGGUUCUUGCUCAGCCCGUAGCAGCCACGUAAAACUUGCAACAACAAAGUAGGGGACGUCUAACUUGUUUUUGCAGGGCAUGUUGUGAUGUGAUAUGGUCAAAGCGUGAUGCUAUAUUUUAUUGUAUGAGAGAUCAUGUUUUUUAACGGAGUUAUCGGCAACUGGCAGGAGCCAUAUGGUUGUCGCUUUAUUGUAUGCAAUGCAAUCUCCCUGUAAUUGCUUUACUUUAUCACUAAGCGGUAGCGAUAGUCGUAGAAGCAAUAGUUGGCGAGACGACAAUGAUGAUACGAUGGAGCUCAAGUUGUCGCGCCGGUGACGAUGGUGAUCAUGACGAUGCUUUGGAGAUGGAGAUCAAAGGCACAAGAUGAUGAUGGCCAUAUCAUAUCACUUAUAUUGUUUGCAUGUGAUGUUUAUCCUUUAUGCAUCUUAUUCUGCUUGAUUGACGGUAGCAUUAUAAGAUGAUCUCUCACUAAAUUUCAAGGUACAAGUGUUCUCCCUGAGUAUGCACCGUUGCCAAAGUUCGUCGUGCUGAGACACCACAUGAUGAUCGGGUGUGAUAAGCUCUACGUUCACAUACAACGGGUGCAAGUCAGUUUUGCACACGCUGAAAUACUCGGGUUAAACUUGACGAGCCUAGCAUAUGCAGAUAUGGCCUCGGAACACUGAGACAAAAAGGUCGAGCGUGAAUCAUAUAGUUGAUAUGAUCAACAUAGUGAUGUUCACCAUUGAAAACUACUCCAUUUCAUGUGAUGAUUAGAGGGAUGUCUAUCUAAGUGGGAGUUCUUAAAUAUGAUUAAUUGAACUAUAAUUUGUCAUGAACUUAGUACCUGAUACUAUUUUUCUUAUCUAUGUUGUUGUAGAUAGAUGGCGUGUGUUGUUGUUCCGUUGAAUUUUAAUGCGUUCCUUGAGAAAGCAAAGUUGAAAGAUGAUGGUAGCAAUUACACGGACUGGGUCCGUAACUUGAGGAUUAUCCUCAUUGCUGCACAGAAGAAUUACGUCCUGGAAGCACCGUUAGGUGCCAAACCCGCUGCAGGAGCAACGCCAGAUGUUAUGAACGUCUAGCAGAGCAAAGCUGAUUACUACUCAAUAGUUCAGUGUGCCAUGCUUUACGGCUUAGAAUGGGGACUUCAACAACGUUUUGAACGUCAUGGAGCAUAUGAGAUGUUCCAGGAGUUGAAGUUAAUAUUUCAAGCAAAUGCUGGGAUUGAGAGAUAUGAAGUCUCCAAUAAGUUCUAUAGCUGCAAGAUUGAGGAGAAUAGUUCUGUCAGUGAACAUAUACUCAGAAUGUCUGGGUAUAACAAUCACUUGAUUCAACUGGGAGUUAAUCUUCCGGAUGAUAGUGUCAUUGACAGAAUUCUUCAAUCACUGCCACCAAGCUACAAGAGCUUUGUGAUGAAAUAUAAUAUGCAAGGGAUGGAUAAAACAAUUCCCGAGCUCUUCGCAAUGCUAAAGGCUGCGGAGGUAGAAAUCAAAAAGGAGCAUCAAGUGUUGAUGGUCAACAAGACCACCAGUUUCAAGAAGAAGGGUAAAGGGAAAAAGAAGGGGAACUUCAAGAAGAACAGCAAGCAAGGUGCUGCUCAAGAGAAGAAACCCAAGUCUGGACCUAAACUGAGACUGAGUGCUUCUACUGCAAACAGACUGGUCACUGGAAGCGGAACUGCCCCAAGUAUUUGGCGGAUAAGAAGGAUGGAAAGGUGAACAAAGGUAUAUGUGAUAUACAUGUUAUUGAUGUAUACCUUACUAAAGGUCGCAGUAGCACCUGGGUAUUUGAUACUGGUUCUGUUACUAAUAUUUGCAACUCGAAACAGGGACAACAGAUUAAGCGAAGAUUAGCUAAGGACGAGGUGACGAUGCGCGUGGGAAAUGGUUCCAAAGUUGAUGUGAUCGUAGUCGGCACGCUACCUCUACAUCUACCUUCAGGAUUAGUUUUAGACCUGAAUAAUUGUUAUUUGGUGCCAGCGUUGAGCAUGAACAUUAUAUCUGGAUCUUGUUUGAUGUGAGACGGUUAUUCAUUUAAAUUAGAGAAUAAUGGUUGUUCUAUUUAUAUGAGUAAUAUCUUUUAUGGUCAUGCACCCUUAAAGAGUGGUCUAUUUUUAUUGAAUCUCGAUAGUAGUGAUACACAUAUUCAUAAUGUUGAAGCCAAAAGAUGCAGAGUUGAUAAUGAUAGUGCAACUUAUUUGUGGCACUGCCGUUUCGGUCAUAUUGGUGUAAAGCACAUGAAGAAGCUCCAUACUGAUGGACUUUUGGAAUCACUUGAAUUAUGAAUCACUUGGUACUUGCAAACCAUGCCUCAUGGGCAAGAUGACUAAAACGCCGUUCUCCGGAACAAUGGAGCGAGCAACAGACUUAUUGGAAAUCAUACAUACUGAUGUAUGUGGUCCGAUGAAUAUUGAGGCUCGCGGUGGGUAUCAUUAUUUUCUCACCUUCACAGAUGAUUUGAGCAGAUAUGGGUAUAUCUACUUAAUGAAGCAUAAGCCUGAAACAUUUGAAAAGUUCAAAGAAUUUCAGAGUGAAGUGGAAAAUCAUCGUAACAAGAAAAUAAAGUUUCUACAAUCUGAUCGUGGAGGAGAAUAUUUGAGUUACGAGUUUGGUCUUCAUUUGAAACAAUGCGGAAUAGUUUCGCAACUCACGCAACCCGGAACACCACAACGUAAUGGUGUAUCCGAAUGUCGUAAUCGUACUUUACUAGAUAUGGUGCGAUCUAUGAUGUCUCUUACCGAUUUACCGCUAUCGUUUUGGAGUUAUGCUUUAGAGAUAGGUGCAUUCACGUUAAAUAGGGCACCAUCUAAAUCCGUUGAGACGACACCUUAUGAACUAUGGUUUGGCAAGAAACCAAAGUUGUCGUUUCUUAAAGUUUGGGGCUGCGAUUCUUAUGUGAAAAAGCUUCAACCUGAUAAGCUCGAACCCAAAUCGGAGAAAUGUGUCUUCAUAGGAUACCCAAAGGAGACUGUUCGGUACACCUUCUAUCACAGAUUCGAAGGCAAAACAUUUGUUGCUAAGAAUGGAUCCUUUCUAGAGAAGGAGUUUCUCUCGAAAGAAGUGAGUGGGAGGAAAGUAGAACUUGAUGAGGUAACUGUACCUGCUCCCUUAUUGGAGAGUAGUUCAUCACAGAAACCGGUUCCUGUGACGCCUACAGCAAUUAGUGAGGAAACUAAUCAUGCUGAUCAUGAAACUUCAGAUCAAGUUACUACCAAACCUCUUAGGUCAACCAGAUUAAGAUCCCCACCAGAGUGGUAUGGUAAUCCUGUUCUGGAGGUCAUGUUACUUGACAAUGACGAACCUACGAACUAUGAGGAAGCGAUGAUGAGCCCAGAUUCCGCGAAAUUGCUUGAGGCCAUGAAAUCUGAGAUGGGAUCCAUAUAUGAGAACAAAGUGUGGACUUUGGUUGACUUGCCCGAUGAUUGGCAAGCCAUCGAGAAUAAAUGGAUCUUCAAGAAGAAGACUGACACUGACGGUAAUGUUACUGUCUACAAAGAUCGACUUGUUGCGAAAUGUUUUCGACAAGUUCAAGGGGUUGACUACGAUGAGACUUUCUCACCCGUAGUGAUCCUUAAGUCUGUCCGAAUCAUGUUAGCAAUUGCCGCAUUUUAUGAUUAUGAAAUUUGGCAAAUGGAUGUCAAAACUGCAUUCUUGAAUGGAUUUCUAGAAGAAGAGUCGUAUAUGAUGCAACCAGAAGGUUUUGUCGAUCCAAAAGGUGCUAACAAAGUGUGCAAGCUCCAGCGAUCCAUUUAUGGACUGGUGCAAGCCUCUCGGAGUUGGAAUAAACAUUUUGAUAGUGUGAUCAAAGCAUAUGGUUUUAUACAGACUUUUGUAGAAGCCUGUAUUUACAAGAAAGUGAGUGGGAGCUCUGUAGCAUUUCUAAUAUUAUAUGUGGAUGACAUAUUGUUGAUUGGAAAUGAUAUAGAAUUUCUAGAUAGCAUAAAAGGAUACUUGAGUAAGAGUUUUUCAAUGGAAGACCUCAGUGAAGCUGCUUAUAUAUUAGGCAUCAAGAUCUAUAGAGAUAGAUCAAGACGCUUAAUUGGACUUUCACAAAGCACAUACCUUGAUAAAAUUUUGAAAAAGUUCAAAAUGGAUCAAGCAAAGAAAGGGGUCUUGCUUGUGUUACAAGGUGUGAAGUUGAGUAAGACUCAAUGCCCGACCAUUGCAGCAGAUAGAGAGAAAAUGAAAAGUGUUCCCUAUGCUUCAGCCAUAGGAUCUAUCAUGCAUGCAAUUCUGUGUACCAGACCUGAUGUGUGCCUUGCUAUUAGUUUAGCAGGGAGGUACCAAAGUAAUCCAAGAGUGGAUCACUGGACAGCGGUCAAGAACAUCCUGAAAUACCUAAAAAGGACUAAGGAUAUGUUUCUCAUUUAUGGAGGUGACAAAGAGCUCGUCGUAAAUGGUUACAUCGAUGCAAGCUUUGACACUGAUCCGGACGAUUGUAAAUCACAAACCGGAUACGUAUUUAUAUUAAACGGUGGAGCUAUCAGUUCGAGCAGUUCUAAACAAAGCGUCGUGGCAGGAUCCACGUGUGAAGCGGAGUACAUAGCUGCUUCGAAAGAAGAAAAUGAAGGAUUCUGGAUGAAGGAGUUCAUAUCCGAUCUAGUGUCAUACCUAGUGCAUCGGGUCCAAUGAAAAUCUUAUGAGAUAAUACUAGGGCAAUUGCCUUGGCAAAAGAAUCCAGAUUUCACAAAAGAACCAAACACAUCAAGAGACGCUUCAAUUCCAUCCGCGAUCAAGUCCAGGUGGGAGACAUAGAGAUUUGCAAGAUACAUACGGAUCUGAAUGUUGCAGACCCAUUGACUAAGCCUCUCUCACGAGCAAAACAUGAUCAGCACCAAGGCUCCAUGGGUGUUAGAAUCAUUACUGUGUAAUCUAGAUUAUUGACUCUAGUGCAAGUGGGAGACUGAAGGAAAUAUGCCGUAGAGGCAAUAAUAAAGUUAUUAUUUAUUUCCUUAUUUCAUGAUAAAUGUUUAUUAUUCAUGCUAUAAUUGUAUUAACCGGAAACAUAAUACAUGUGUGAAUACAUAGAAAAACAAAGUGUCACUAGUAUGCCUCUACUUGACUAGCUCGUUGAUCAAAUAUGGUUAUGUUUGCUAACCAUAGACAUGAGUUGUCAUUGGAUAAACGGGAUCACAUCAUUAGGAGAAUGAUGUGAUUGACUUGACCCAUUCCGUUAGCUUAGCACUUGAUCAUUUUAGUUUACUGCUAUUGCUUUCUUCAUGAAUUAUACAUGUUCCUAUGACUAUGAGAUUAUUGCAACUCCCGAUUACCAGAGGAACACUUUGUGUGCUACCAAACAUCACAACAUAACUGCGUGAUUAUAAAGGUGCUCUACAGGUGUCUCCGAUGGUACUUGUUGAGUUAGCAUAGAUCAAGAUUAGGAUUUGUCACUCCGAUUGUCGGACAGGUAUCUCUGGGCCCUCUCAGUAAUGCACAUCACUAUAAGCCUUGCAAGCAAUGUGACUAAUAAGUUAGUUGCGGGAUGAUGCAUUACGGAAUGAGUAAAGAGACUUGCCGGUAACGAGAUUGAGCUAGGUAUUGAGAUACUGACGAUCGAAUCUCGGGCAAGUAACAUACCGAUGACAAAGGGAACAACGUAUAUCGUUAUGCCGUUUGACCGAUAAAGAUCUUCGUAGAAUAUGUAGGAACCAAUAUGAGCAUCCAGGUUCCGCUAUUGGUUAUUGACCGGAGACAUGUCUCGGUCAUGUCUACAUAGUUCUCAAACCCAUAGGGUCCGCACGCUUAAAGUUCUGUGACGAUCGGUAUUAUGAGUUUAUAUAUUUUGAUGUACCGAGGAUAGUUCGGAGUCCCGGAUGUGAUCACGGGCAUGAUGAGGAGUCUCGAAAUGGUCGAGACAUAAAGAUUGAUAUAUUGGAAGCCUAUAUUUGGACAUCGGAAAGGUUCCGGGUGUAAUCGGGAUUUUACCGGAGUGCCGGGGGGGUUAUCAGAGCCCCCUGGGGGUUAAUGGGCCUUGUUGGGCCCUAGUGGAGAGAGAGAGGGGCCGGCCAGGGCAGGCCGCGCACCCCCUCCCCCUCUGGUCCGAAUUGGACUAAGGUGUUGGAAAUAAACCCUAGAGGCAAUAAUAAAUUGGUUAUUAUUAUAUUUCCUUGUUCAUGAUAAUCGUUUAUUAUCCAUGCUAAAAUUGUAUUGAUAGGAAACUCAGAUACAUGUCUGGAUACAUAGACAACACCAUGUCCCUAGUAAGCCUCUAGUUGACUAGCUCGUUGAUCAAUAGAUGGUUAUGGUUUCCUGACCAUGGACAUUGGAUGUCGUUGAUAACGGGAUCACAUCAUUAGGAGAAUGAUGUGAUGGACAAGACCCGAUCCUAAGCCUAGCACAAGAUCGUGUAGUUCGUUUGCUAAGUGCUUUUCUAAUGUCAAGUAUCAUUUCCUUAGACCAUGAGAUUGUGCAACUCCCGGAUACCGUAGGAAUGCUUUGGGUGUACCAAACGUCACAACGUAACUAGGUGGCUAUAAAGGUGCACUACAGGUAUCUCCGAAAGUGUCUGUUGGGUUGGCACGAAUCGAGACUGGGAUUUGUCACUCCGUGUAAACGGAGAGGUAUCUCUGGGCCCACUCGGUAGGACAUCAUCAUAAUGUGCACAAUGUGACCAAGGAGUUGAUCACGGGAUGAUGUGUUACGGAACGAGUAAAGAGACUUGCCAGUAACGAGAUUGAACAAGGUAUCGGGAUACCGACGAUCGAAUCUCGGGCAAGUAACAUACCGAUAGACAAAGGGAAUUGUAUACGGGAUUGAUUGAAUCCUCGACAUCGUGGUUCAUCCGAUGAGAUCAUCGAGGAGCAUGUGGGAGCCAACAUGGGUAUCCAGAUCCCGCUGUUGAUUAUUGACCGGAGAGUCGUCUCGGUCAUGUCUGCAUGUCUCCCGUGUUGGAAAUAUGCCCUAGAGGCAAUAAUAAAUGGUUAUUAUUAUAUUUCUCUGUUCAUGAUAAUUGUCUAUUGUUCAUGCUAUAAUUGUGUUAUCCGGAAAUCGUAAUACAUGUGUGAAUACAUAGACCACAAUGUGUCCCUAGUAAGCCUCUAGUUGACUAGAUCGUUGAUCAACAGAUAGUCAUGGUUUCCUGACUAUGGACAUUGGAUGUCAUUGAUAACGGGAUCACAUCAUUAGGAGAAUGAUGUGAUGGACAAGACCCAAUCCUAAGCAUAGCUCAAAGAUCGUGUAGUUCGUUUGCUAGAGCUUUUCCAAUGUCAAGUAUCUUUUCCUUAGACCAUGAGAUCGUGCAACUCCCAGAUAUCGUAGGAGUGCUUUGGGUGUGCCAAACGUCACAACGUAACUGGGUGACUAUAAAGGUGCACUACGGGUAUCUCCGAAAGUGUCUGUUGGGUUGGCACGGAUCGAGACUGGGAUUUGUCACUCCGUGUGACGGAGAGGUAUCUCUGGGCCCACUCGGUAAUGCAUCAUCAUAAUGAGCUCAAUGUGACUAAGGCGUUAGUCACGGGAUCAUGCAUUGCGAUACGAGUAAAGAGACUUGCCGGUAAGGAGAUUGAACAAGGUAUUGGGAUACCGACGAUCGAAUCUCGGGCAAGUAACAUACCGAUUGACAAAGGGAAUAGCAUACGGGAUUGAUUGAAUCCUCGACAUCGUGGUUCAUCCGAUGAGAUCAUCGUGGAACAUGUGGGAGCCAACAUGGGUAUCCAGAUCCCGCUGUUGGUUAUUGACCGGAGAGGCGUCUCGGUCAUGUCUGCAUGUCUCCCGAACCCGUAGGGUCUACACACUUAAGGUUCGGUGACGCUAGGGUUGUAGAGAUAUGAGUAUGCGGAAACCCUAAAGUUGUUCGGAGUCCCGGAUGAGAUCCCGGACGUCACGAGGAGUUCCGGAAUGGUCCGGAGGUGAAGAAUUAUAUAUAGGAAGUCCAGUUUCGGCCACCGGGAAUGUUUCAGGGGUUAUCGGUAUUGUACCGGGACCACCGAAAGGGUCCCGGGGGUCCACCGGGUGGGGCCACCUAUCCCGGGGGGCCCCAUGGGCUGAAGUGGGAAGGGAACCAGCCCUUAGUGGGCUGGGGCGCCCCCCAUGGGCCUCCCCCCUGCGCCUAGGGUUGGAAACCCUAGGGUGGGGGGGCGCCCCACUUGGCUUGGGGGGGAAGCCACCCCCCCUUACCCCUUGGCCGCCGCCCCCCCUUGGAGAUCCCAUCUCCCAGGGCCGGCGCCCCCCCCCCCCCAGGGGGCCUAUAUAAAGGGGGGGAUGGAGGGCAGCAACACAACAGCCUUGGGCGUCUCCCUCCUCCCCUGCUACACCUCUCCCUCUCGCAGAAGCUCGGCGAAGCCCUGCCGAGACCCCGCUACUUCCACCACCACGCCAUCGUGCUGCUGGAUCUCCAUCAACCUCUCCUUCCCCCUUGCUGGAUCAAGAAGGAGGAGACGUCGCUGCACCGUACGUGUGUUGAACGCGGAGGUGCCGUCCGUUCGGCACUCGGUCAUCGGUGAUUUGGAUCACGGCGAGUACGACUCCAUCAACCACGUUCAUUGGAACACUUCCGCUCGCGAUCUACAAGGGUAUGUAGAUGCACUCCUUUCCCCUCGUUGCUAGUAUACACCAUGGAUGCAUCUUGGUGAGCGUAGGAAAAUUUUAAAAUUCUGCUACGAUAUCCAACAGUGGCAUCAUGAGCCAGGCCUAUGUGUAGUUACUAUGCACGAGUAGAACACAAAGCAGUUGUGGGUGUUGAUGUUGCCAAUUCUUCUUGCCGCUACUAGUCUUAUCUUGUUUCGGCGGUAUUGUGGGAUGAAGCGGCCCGGACCGACCUUACACGUACGCUUACGUGAGACAGGUUCCACCGACUGACAUGCACUAGUUGCAUAAGGUGGCUAGCGGGUGUCUGUCUCUCCUACUUUAGUCGGAACGGAUUCGAUGAAAAGGGUCCUUAUGAAGGGUAAAUAGAAAUUGGCAAAUCACGUUGUGGUUUUACGUAGGUAAGAAACGUUCUUGCUAGAAACGUAUACAAGCCACGUAAAAACUUGCAACAACAAUUAGAGGACGUCUAACUUGUUUUUGCAGCAUGUGCUAUGUGAUGUGAUAUGGCCAGAAGAUGUGAUGAAUGAUAUAUGUGAUGUAUGAUAUUGAUCAUAUUCUUGUAAUAGGAAUCACGACUUGCAUGUCGAUGAGUAUGACAACCGGCAGGAGCCAUAGGAGUUGUCUUUAUUAUUUUGCAUGACCUACGUGUCAUUGAAUAACGCCAUGUAAAUUACUUUACUUUGUUGCUAAACGCGUUAGCCAUAGAAGUAGAAGUAAUCGUUGGCGUGACAACUUCAUGAAGACACAAUGAUGGAGAUCAUGAUGAUGGAGAUCAUGGUGUCAUGCCGAUGACGAAGGUGCCCCGAAGAUGGAGAUCAAAGCAGCAAAUGAUAUUGGCCAUAUCAUGUCACUAUUUGAUUGCAUGUGAUGUUUAUCAUGUUUUUGCAUCUUAUUUGCUUAGAACGACGGUAGUAAGUAAGAUGAUCCCUUAUAAUAAUUUCAAGAAAGUGAUCACCCUAACUAUGCACCGUUGCGAAGGAUCGUUGUUUUGAAGCACCACGUGAUGAUCGGGUGUGAUAGAUUCUAACGUUCGCAUACAACGGGUGUUAACGAGCCUAGCAUGUACAGACAUGGCCUCGGAACACACGCAAUACACUUAGGUUGACUUGACGAGCCUAGCAUGUACAGAUAUGGCCUCGGAACACGGAGGACCGAAAGGUCGAGCAUGAGUCGUAUAGAAGAUACGAUCAACAUGGAGAUGUUCGCCGAUCUUGACUAGUCCGUCUCACGUGAUGAUCGGACACGGCCUAGUUAACUCGGAUCAUGUUUCACUUAGAUGACUAGAAGGAUGUCUAUCUGAGUGGGAGUUCAUAAAGUAAUUUGAUUAGAUGAACUUAAUUAUCAUGAACUUAGUCUAAAAUCUUUACACUAUGUCUUGUAGAUCAAAUGGCCCACGUUGUCCUCAAUUUCAACGCGUUCCUAGAGAAAACCAAGCUGAAAGAUGAUGGCAGCAACUAUACGGACUGGGUCCGGAACCUGAGGAUCAUCCUCAUAGCAGCCAAGAAAGAUUAUGUCUUAGAAGCACCGCUAGGUGAAGCACCAAUCCCAGAGAACCAAGACGUUAUGAACGCUUGGCAGCAGCGUGCUGAUGAUUACUCCCUCGUCCAGUGCGGCAUGCUUUACAGCUUAGAACCGGGUCUCCAAAAGCGUUUUGAGAAACACGGAGCAUAUGAGAUGUUCGAGGAGCUGAAAAUGGUUUUCCAAGCUCAUGCCCGGGUCAAGAGAUAUGAAGUCUCCGACAAGUUCUUCAGCUGUAAAAUGGAGGAGAAUAGUUCUGUUAGUGAGCACAUACUCAGAAUGUCUGGGUUGCACAACCGCUUGUCUCAGCUGGGAGUUAAUCUCCCGGAUGACGCGGUCAUUGACAGAAUCCUUCAGUCACUUCCACCAAGCUACAAGAGCUUUGUGAUGAACUUCAAUAUGCAGGGGAUGGAAAAGACCAUUCCCGAGGUAUAUUCAAUGCUGAAAUCAGCGGAGGUAGAGAUCAGAAAAGAACAUCAAGUGUUGAUGGUGAAUAAAACCACUAAGUUCAAGAAGGGCAAGGGUAAGAAGAACUUCAAGAAGGACGGCAAGGGAGUUGCCGCACCCGAUAAGCCAGUUGCCGGGAAGAAGUCAAAGAAUGGACCCAAGCCUGAGACUGAGUGCUUUUAUUGCAAGGGAAGUGGUCACUGGAAGCGGAACUGCCCCAAAUACUUAGCGGACAAGAAGGCCGGCAACACCAAAGGUAUAUGUGAUAUACAUGUAAUUGAUGUGUACCUUACCAGUACUCGUAGUAGCUCCUGGGUAUUUGAUACCGGUGCGGUUGCUCAUAUUUGUAACUCAAAACGGGAACUACGGAAUAAACAGAGACUGGCGAAGGACGAGGUGACGAUGCGCGUCGGGAAUGGUUCCAAGGUCGAUGUGAUCGCCGUCGGCACGCUACCUCUGCAUGUACCUACGGGAUUAGUUUUAAACCUCAAUAAUUGUUAUUUAGUGCCAGCUUUGAGCAUGAACAUUGUAUCAGGAUCUCGUUUAAUUCGAGAUGGCUACUCAUUUAAAUCCGAGAAUAAUGGUUGUUCUAUUUAUUUGAGGGAUAUGUUUUAUGGUCAUGCCCCGCUGGUCAAUGGUUUAUUCUUGAUGAAUCUCGAACGUGAUGUUACACAUAUUCAUAGUGUGAAUACCAAAAGAUGUAAAGUUGAUAACGAUAGUCCCACAUACUUGUGGCACUGCCGCCUUGGUCACAUUGGUGUCAAGCGCAUGAAGAAGCUCAAUGCAGAUGGACUUUUGGAGUCUCUUGAUUACGAAUCAUUUGACACGUGCGAACCAUGCCUCAUGGGUAAGAUGACCAAGACUCCAUUCUCCGGAACAAUGGAGCGAGCAACCAACUUAUUGGAAAUCAUACAUACCGAUGUGUGCGGUCGAAUGAGUGUUGAGGCUCGUGGAGGAUAUCGUUAUGUUCUCACUCUCACUAAUGACUUAAGUAGAUAUGGGUAUGUCUACCUGAUGAAACACAAGUCUGAAACCUUUGAAAAGUUCAAGGAAUUUCAGAGUGAGGUUGAGAAUCAACGUGACAGAAAAAUAAAAUUCUUACGAUCAGAUCGUGGUGGAGAAUAUUUAAGUCACGAGUUUGGUACACACUUAAGGAAAUGUGGAAUAGUUUCACAACUCACACCGCCUGGAACACCUCAGCGAAACGGUGUAUCCAAACGUCGUAAUCGCACUCUAUUGGAUAUGGUGCGAUCUAUGAUGUCUCUUACCGAUUUACCGCUAUCAUUUUGGGGAUACGCUCUAGAGACAGCUGCAUUCACUUUAAAUAGGGCUCCGUCGAAAUCCGUUGAGACGACACCGUAUGAAUUAUGGUUUGGGAAGAAACCUAAGCUGUCGUUUCUAAAAGUUUGGGGAUGCGAUGCUUAUGUCAAGAAACUUCAACCUGAAAAGCUCAAACCCAAGUCGGAGAAAUGUGUCUUCAUAGGAUACCCUAAGGAAACCAUUGGGUAUAUCUUCUACCUCAGAUCUGAAGGCAAGAUCUUCGUUGCCAAGAACGGGUCCUUUCUGGAGAAGGAGUUUCUCUCGAAAGAAUUGAGUGGGAGGAAAGUGGAACUUGAUGAGGUGAUAGUCACCCCUUCCGAACUGGAAAGUAGCGCUGCACGGGAAAAUGUUCCUGUGGUGCCUACACCGACUGGGGAGGAAGUUAAUGAUGAUGAUCAUGAAGCUUCGGAUCAAGUUACUACUGAACUUCGUAGGUCCACAAGGACACGUUCCGCACCAGAGUGGUACGGCAACCCUGUCCUGGAAAUCAUGUUGUUAGACAACGGUGAACCUUCGAACUAUGAAGAAGCGAUGGCGGGCCCGGAUUCCAACAAAUGGCUAGAAGCCAUGAAAUCCGAGAUAGGAUCCAUGUAUGAAAACGAAGUAUGGACUUUGACUGACUUGCCCGAUGAUCGGCGAGCCAUAGAAAACAAAUGGAUCUUUAAGAAGAAGACAAACGCAGAUGGUAAUGUGACCAUCUAUAAGGCUCGACUUGUCGCUAAGGGUUAUCGACAAGUUCAAGGGGUUGACUACGAUGAGACUUUCUCACCCGUAGCGAAGCUGAAGUCCGUCCGAAUCAUGUUAGCAAUUGCCGCAUACUAUGAUUAUGAGAUAUGGCAGAUGGACGUCAAAACGGCAUUCCUUAACGGCUUCCUUAAGGAAGAGUUGUAUAUGAUGCAGCCGGAAGGUUUGGUCGAUCCUAAGAAUGCUAACAAAGUAUGCAAGCUCCAACGCUCAAUCUAUGGGCUGGUGCAAGCAUCUCGGAGUUGGAACAUUCGCUUUGAUGAGAUGAUCAAAGCGUUUGGGUUUACACAGACUUAUGGAGAAGCCUGUGUUUACAAGAAAGUGAGUGGGAGCUCUGUAGCAUUUCUCAUAUUAUAUGUGGAUGACAUACUAUUGAUGGGAAAUGAUAUAGAAUUCUUGGAAAGUAUAAAGGCCUAUUUGAAUAAGUGUUUUUCAAUGAAGGACCUUGGAGAAGCUGCUUAUAUAUUAGGCAUCAAGAUCUAUAGAGAUAGAUCAAGACGCCUCAUUGGUCUUUCACAGAGUACAUACCUUGACAAGAUAUUGAAGAAGUUCAAUAUGGAUCAGUCCAAGAAGGGGUUCUUGCCUGUAUUGCAAGGUGUGCAAUUGAGCACGGCUCAAUGCCCGACCACGGCAGAAGAUAGAGAAAAGAUGAGUGUCAUCCCCUAUGCCUCGGCCAUAGGGUCUAUUAUGUAUGCCAUGCUAUGUACCAGACCUGAUGUAAACCUUGCCGUGGGUUUGGUAGGAAGGUACCAAAGUAAUCCCGGCAUGGAACACUGGACAGCGGUCAAGAAUAUCCUAAAGUACCUGAAGAGGACUAAGGAUAUGUUUCUCGUUUAUGGAGGUGACGAAGAGCUCGUCGUAAAGGGUUACGUCGACGCUAGCUUCGACACAGAUCUGGAUGACUCGAAGUCACAAACCGGAUACGUGUAUAUUUUGAAUGGAGGAGCAGUAAGCUGGUGCAGUUGCAAGCAAAGCGUCGUGGCGGGAUCUACAUGUGAAGCGGAGUACAUGGCAGCCUCGGAGGCAGCACAGGAAGCAGUCUGGAUGAAGGAGUUUAUUACCGACCUAGGGGUGAUUCCCAAUGCGUCUGGCCCGAUGACUCUCUUCUGUCAUAACACUGGAGCUAUUGCCCUUGCGAAGGAGCCCAGGUUUCACAGGAAGACCAGGCAUAUCAAGCGUCGCUUCAACUCCAUUCGUGAAAGUGUUCAAAAUGGAGACAUAGAUAUUUGUAAAGUACAUACGGACCUGAAUGUAGCAGAUCCGUUGACUAAACCUCUCCCUAGAGCAAAACAUGAUCAACACCAGGACGCAAUGGGUGUUCGAUUCAUCACAAUGUAACUAGAUUAUUGACUCUAGUGCAAGUGGGAGACUAUAGGAAAUAUGCCCUAGAGGCAAUAAUAAAUGGUUAUUAUUAUAUUUCUUUGUUCAUGGUAAUUGUCUAUUGUUCAUGCUAUAAUUGUGUUAUCCGGAAAUCGUAAUACAUGUGUGAAUACAUAGACCACAACAUGUCCCUAGUAAGCCACUAGUUGACUAGCUCGUUGAUCAACAGAUAGUCAUGGUUUCCUGACUAUGGACAUUGGAUGUCAUUGAUAACGGGAUCACAUCAUUAUGAGAAUGAUGUGAUGGACAAGACCCAAUCCUAAGCAUAGCUCAAAGAUCGUGUAGUUCGUUUGCUAGAGCAUUUCCAAUGUCAAGUAUCUUUUCCUUAGACCAUGAGAUCGUGCAACUCCCGGAUACCGUAGGAGUGCUUUGGCUGUGCCAAACGUCACAACGUAACUGGGUGACUAUAAAGGUGCACUACGGGUAUCUCCGAAAGUGUCUGUUGGGUUGGCACGGAUCGAGACUGGGAUUUGUCACUCCGUGUGAUGGAGAGGUAUCUCUGGGCCCAGUCGGUAAUGCAUCAUCAUAAUGAGCUCAAUGUGACUAAGGCGUUAGUCACGGGAUCAUGCAUUGCGAUACGAGUAAAGAGACUUGCCGGUAACGAGAUUGAACAAGGUAUUGGGAUACCGACGAUCGAAUCUCGGGCAAGUAACAUACCGAUUGACAAAGGGAAUAGUAUACGGGAUUGAUUGAAUCCUCGACAUCGUGGUUCAUCCGAUGAGAUCAUCGUGGAACAUGUGGGAGCCAACAUGGGUAUCCAGAUCCCGCUGUUGGUUAUUGACCGGAGAGGCGUCUCGGUCAUGUCUGCAUGUCUCCCGAACCCGUAGGGUCUACACACUUAAGGUUCGGUGACGCUAGGGUUGUAGAGAUAUGAGUAUGCGGAAACCCGAAAGUUGUUCGGUGUCCCGGAUGAGAUCCCGGACGUCACGAGGAGUUCCGGAAUGGUCCGGAGGUGAAGAAUUAUAUAUAGGAAGUCCAGUUUCGGCCAUCGAGAAAGUUUCGGGGGUUAUCGGUAUUGUACCGGGACCACCGGAAGGGUCCCGGGGGUCCACCGGGUGGGGCCACCUAUCCCGGAGGGCCCCAUGGGCUGAAGUGGGAAGGGAACCAGCCCUUAGUGGGCUGGGGCGCCCCCCAUGGGCCUCCCUCCUGCGCCUAGGGUUGGAAACCCUAGGGUGGGGGGCGCCCCACUUGGCUUGGGGGGAAGCCACCCCCCUUCCCCCUUGCCGCCGCCCCCCCUUGGAGAUCCAAUCUCCCAGGGCCGGCGCCCCCCCCCCCCAGGGGGCCUAUAAAAGGGGGGGAGGGAGGGUAGCAACACAACAGCCUUGGGCGCCUCCCUCCUCCCCUGCUACACCUCUCCCUCUCGCAGAAGCUCGGCGAAGCCCUGCCGAGACCCCGCUACUUCCACCACCACGCCGUCGUGCUACUGGAUCUCCAUCAACCUCACCUUCCCCCUUGUUGGAUCAAGAAGGAGGAGACUUCGCUGCACCGUACGUGUGUUGAACGCGGAGGUGCCGUCCGUUCGGCACUCGGUCAUCGGUGAUUUGGAUCACGGCGAGUACGACUCCAUCAACCACGUUCAUUGGAACGCUUCCGCUCGCGAUCUACAAGGGUACGUAGAUGCACUCCUUUCCCCUCGUUGCUAGUAUACUCCAUAGAUGCAUCUUGGUGAGCGUAGGAAAAUUUUAAAAUUCUGCUACGAUACCCAACAUCCCGAACCCGUAGGGUCUACACACUUAAGGUUCGGUGACGCUAGGGUUAUAGAGAUAUUAGUAUGCGGUAACCCGAAAGUUGUUCGGAGUCCCGGAUGAGAUCCCGGACGUCACGAGGAGUUCCGGAAUGGUCCGGAGGUAAAGAUUUAUAUAUGGGAAGUCUUAUUUUGGUCGCCGGAAAAGUUUCGCACUUUAUCGGUAUUGUACCGGGAGUGCCGAAAGGGGUCCGGGGGUCCACCAAGGGGGUCCACCAGCCCCGGGGGGCCACAUGGGCUGUAGGGGUGUGCGCCUUGGCCUAUAUGGGCCAAGAGCACCAGCCCCAAGAGGCCCAUGCGCCAAGGGAUAAGGGAAAGGGAGAGUCCUAAAGGGGGAAGGCACCUCCGAGGUGCCUUGGGGAGGAUGGACUCCUCCCUGGCCGCACCCUUCCUUGGAGGAAGGGCCAAGGCUACGCCCCCCCCCCCCCUCUCCCUUGGCCCUAUAUAUAGUGGGGGGGAGGGAGGACAGCAAUAUCUAAGCCCUGGCGCCUCCCUCUCCCUCCCGUGACACCUCUUCGUCCCCGCUUGCGCUUGGCGAAGCCCUGCCGGGAUCCCGCUACUUCCACCACCACGCCGUCGUGCUGCUGGAUCUCCAUCAACCUCUCCUCCCCCCUUGCUGGAUCAAGAAGGAGGAGACGUCGCUGCUCCGUACGUGUGUUGAACGCGGAGGUGCCGUCUGUUCGGCGCUAGGAUCAUCGGUGAUUUGGAUCACGACGAGUACGACUCCAUCAACCCCGUUCUCUUGAUCGCUUCCGCUCGCGAUCUACAAGGGUAUGUAGAUGCACUCCUCUCUCUCUCGUUGCUAGAUGACUCCAUAGAUUUAUCUUGGUGAUGCGUAGAAAAUUUUGAAUUAUUGCUACGUUCCCCAAUAGUGGCAUCAUGAGCCAGGUCUAUGCGUAGAUUCUAUGCACGAGUAGAAUACAAAGUAGUUGUGGGCGAUGAUUUGUUCAAUUUACUUGCCGUUACUAGUCUUAUCUUGAUUCGGCGGCAUCGUGGGAUGAAGCGGCCCGGACCCACCUUACACGUACACUUACGUGAGACAGGUUCCACCGACUGACAUGCACUAGUUGCAUAAGGUGGCUAGCGGGUGUCUGUCUCUCCCACUUUAGUCGGAUCGGAUUCGAUGAAAAGGGUCCUUAUGAAGGGUAAAUAGAAAUUGGCAUAUCACGUUGUGGCUUUUGCGUAGGUAAGAAACGUUCUUGCUAGAAACCCAUAGCAGCCACAUAUAACAUGCAACAACAAUUAGAGGACGUCUAACUUGUUUUUGCAGGGUAUGCUAUGUGAUGUGAUAUGGCCAAAAGGAUGUGAUGAAUGAUAUAUGUGAUGAAUGAUAUAUGUGAUGUAUGUGAUGUAAUAGGAAUCACGACUUGCAUGUCGAUGAGUAUGACAACCUGCAGGAGCCAUAGGAGUUGUCUUAAUUUAUUGUAUGACCUGCGUGUCAAUGAAAAUGCCAUGUAAUUACAUUACUUUAUUGCUAACCGUUAGCCAUAGUAGUAGAAGUAAUAGUUGGCGAGACAACUUCAUGAAGACACGAUGAUGGAGAUCAUGAUGGUGGAGAUCAUGGUGUCAUGCCGGUGACGAAGGUGAUCAUGCCGCGCCUCAAAGAUGGAGAUCAAAGGCGCAAGAUGAUAUUGGCCAUAUCACGUCACUUUAUGAUUUGCAUGUGAUGUUUGUCAUGUUUACAUCUUAUUUGCUUAGAACGACUGUAGCAUAAAUAAGAUGAUCCCUCACUAAAAUUUCAAGAGACGUGUUCCCCCUAACUGUGCACCGUUGCGAAGGUUCGUUGUUUCGAAGCACCACGUGAUGAUCGGGUGUGAUAGAUUCUAACGUUCGAAUACAACGGGUGUUGACGAGCCUAGCAUGUACAGACAUGGCCUCGGAACACAUGCGAAACACUUAGGUUGACUUGACGAGCCUAGCAUGUACAGACAUGGCCUCGAAACACAAGAGAUCGAAAGGUCGAACAUGAGUCGUAUAGUAGAUGCGAUCAACAUGGAGAUGUUCACCGAUGAUGACUAGUCCGUCUCACGUGAUGAUCGGACACGGCCUAGUUUGACUCGGAUCAUGUAUCACUUAGAUGACUAGAGGGAUGUCUAUCUGAGUGGGAGUUCAUUAAAUAAUCAGAUGAACUUAAUUAUCAUGAACAUAGUCAAAAGGUCUUUGCAAAUUAUGUCAUAGCUUACGCUUUAGUUCUACUGUUUAAGAUAUGUUCCUAGAGAAAAUUUAGUUGAAAGUUGAUAGUAGCAAUUAUGCGGACUGGGUCCGUAAACUGAGGAUUGUCCUCAUUGCUGCACAGAAGGCUUAUGUUCUUAAUGCACCGCUCAGUGUGCUGAACCUCAGCGUCGUCUGUAGAUGUUGCGAAACAUCUGACAUACACGUUUUGAUGACUAUGUGAUAGUUCAGUGCGUAAUGCUAACGGUUUAGAAUUGUGGCACCAAAGACGUUUUGAAACGUCGCAGGACAUAUGAGAUGUUCCGAAGACUGAAAUUGGGAUUUCAGACUAGUGCCCACGUCAAGAGGUAUGAGACCUCUGACAAGUUUCUUAAGCCUGCAGACUAAGGGAGAAAAGCUCAAUCAUUGAGCAUGUGCUCAGAUUGUCUGAGUACCACAAUCGCUUGAAUCGAGUGGGAGUUAAUCUUCCAGAUGAGAUAGUGAUGGUUCUCCAUAGUCACUGCCACCAAGCUAUUAGAGCUUCGUGAUGAACUAUAACAUAUCAGGGAUAGAUAUGAUGAUCCUUGAGCUAUUCGCGAUGUUUGACACCGUAAAAGUAGAAAUCAAAUAGGAGCAUCAAUUGUUGAUGGUUAGUAAAACCACUAGUUUCAAGAAGGGCAAGGGCAAAAAAAGGGAUACUUCAUGAAACGGCAAAUCAUUUGCUGCUCUAGUGAAGAAUCCCAAGGUUGAACCCAAACCAGAGACUAAGUGCUUCUGUAAUGAGGGAAACAGUCACUGAAGCAGAACUGCCCUAGAUACUUGGUAGAUGAGAAGGCAGGCAAGGUCGACAGAAGUAUAUUGGAUAUACAUUAUAUGAAUGUGUACUUUACUAGUACUCCUAGUAGCACCAGGGUAUUAGAUACCGGUUCGGUUGCUAAGUGUUAGUAACACGAAAUAAAAGCUGCGGAAUAAACGGAGACUAGCUAAAGGUGAGAUGACGAUAUGUGUUGGAAGUGUUUCCAAGGUUGAUGUGAUCAAGCAUCGCAUGUUCCCUCUACCAUCGAGAUUGGUGUUCAACCUAAAUAAUUGUUAUUUGGUGUUUGCGUUGAGCAUAAACAUGAUUGGAUUAUGUUUAUCGCAAUACGGUUAUUCAUUUAAGGAGAAUAAUGGUUACUCUGUUUAUUUGAAUAAUACCUUCAAUGGUCCUGCACCUAAAAUGAAUCUCGAUCGCAGUGAUACACAUGUUCGUGCCAAAAGAUAUAAAAUAGUGAUGAUAGUACCACAUACUUGUGGCACUGCCGUUUGAGUCAUAUUGGUAUAGAACGCAUGAAGAAGCUCCAUGUAGAUGGAUCUUUGGACUCACUCGUUUUUGAAAGGAUUGAGACAUGCAAACCAUGUCUAUUGGUAUAUAUGCAUGAAGAAACUCCAUGCAGAUGGAUCGUUUGGACUCACUUGAUUUUGAAUCACUUGAGACAUGCAAAUCAUACCACAUGGGCAAGAUGACUGAAAGGCCUCGUUUUCAGUAAGAUGGAACAAGAGAGCAACUUGUUGGAAGUAAUACAUUUGAUGUGUGCAGUCCAAUGAGUGCUGAGGCACGCAGUGGAUAUCGAUAUGUUCUUACUUCACAGAUGAUUUGAGUAGAUGCUGAGUGUAUUUACUUGAUGAAACACAAGUCUGAAUUAUUGAAAGGUUCAAGUAAUUUCAGAGUGAAGUGGAAGAUCGUCGUGACAAGAGGAUAAAAUGUCUAUGAUAUGAUCAUAGAGAUAUCUGAGUUACGAGUUUGGCACACAAUUAAGAAAUUGUGGAAAUUGUUUCACGACUAAUACCGCUUGGAGCACCAUAGUGUGAUGGUGUGUCCGAACAUCAUAACUGCACCCUAUUGGAUAUGGUGCAUACCAUGAUGUCUCUUAUCGAAUUACACUAUCGUUUAUGGGUUAGGCAUUAGAGACAACCGCAUUCACUUUAAAAGGGGCACCACGCAAUUCCGUUGAGACGACACCGUUUAGAGAAACCUAAGUUGUCAUUUCUUAAAAGUUUGGGGCUGCGAUGCUUAUGUGAAAAAGUUUCAGGCUGAUAAGCUCGAACCCAAAGCGGAUAAAUGCAUCUUCAUAGAAUACCCAAAACAGUUGGGUAUACCUCCUGUUUCAGAUCUGGAAGUUAACAGGUCCUUUCUCGAGAAGAAGUUUCUCUCGAAAGAAUUGAGUGGGAGGAUGGUGGAGACUUGAUGAGGUUAUUGAACCACAACUUCAUCUAGUGUGUAGCAGGGCACAGGAAGUUGUUCCUGUGGCACCUACACCAAUUGAAGUGGAAGCUUAUGAUAGUGAUCAUGAAACUUCGGAUCAAGUCACUACCAAACCUCGUAGGUCGAUAAGGAUGCGUACUACUUCAGAGUGGUACAUAAUCCUGUCUUGAAAGUCAUGUUGCUAGACAACAAUGAACCUACGAGCUAUGGGGAAGCGAUGGUGGGCCCGGAUUCCGACGAAUGGCUCGAGGCCAUGAAAUCCGAGAGAGGAUCCAUGUAUAAAAGCAAAGUAUAGACUUUGGAAGAAAUACUUGAUGGUCGCAAGGCUAUUGGGUGCAGAUGGAUUUUAAAAGGAAGACAGACAAUGAUCGUAAGUGUCACCAUUAAGAAAGCUCGACUUGUCGUUAAGAUGUUUUCCGACAAGUUCAAGGAGUUGACUGCGAUGAGACUUUCUCACUCGUAGCGCUGCUAAAGAGUCUGUUGGAAUUAUAUUAGCAGUUACUGCAUUAUUUAUGAAAUCUUGCAGAUAGGAUGUCAAAACAUUGUUUCCUCGACGAUUUUCUUGAGGAAAGGUUGUAUGUGAUACAACCAUAAGGUUUUGUCAAUCCUGAAAGAUGCUAACAAGUAUGCAAAGCUCCAGCAAUCCUCCUAAGGACUGGAGUAAGCAUCUCGGAGUUGGAAUGUACGCUUUGAUGAGAUGAUCAAAGAUUUUGGGUUUAUACAAAGUUUGUGAGAAACUUGUAUUUCCAAAGAAGUGAGUGGGAGCACUAUAGAAUUUUAGAUGAGUAUAUGUUGUUAACAUAUUGUUGAUCAGAAAUGAUUUCUGGAAAGCAUCUAGGGUUGUUUGAAAGGAGUUUUUCAAAGGAAGACCUGGAUAAAGCUGCUUACAUAUUGGGCAUCAAGAUCUAUAGAGAUAGAUCAAGACGCCUGAUGAUAGUUUCAAAGAACGCACACCUUGACAUGAUUUUGGAAGAGUUCAAAAUAGAUCAGCAAAGAAGGAGUUCUUGGCUGUGUUACAAGGUGUGAGUAUUGAGUAAGACUCAAGACCUGACCACAGCAGAAGAGACAGAAAGGACGAAGGUCGUCCCCUAUGCUUUAGACGUAGGUUCUACAGUAUGCUAUGCUGUGUACCGCACAUGAAGUGUGCCUUGCCAUGAGUUGGUCAAGGGGUACAAUAGUGAUCCGGGAAUGGAUCACAUGACAGCGGUCGAACUUAUCCUUAGUAUCUAGUGGACUAAGGAAUUUUCUCGAUUAUGGAGGUCAAAAGGAGUUCGUCGUAAAGGGUUACGUUGAUGCGAACUUUGACACUAAUCCGGAUGACUCUGAGUAGUAAACCGGAUUCGUAUAGUAGAGCAGUUAUUUGAAAUGGCUCCAACUAGCGCGUGGUAGCAUCCACAAGAUGACAUAGAUAUUCGUAAAGCACACACGGAUCUGAAAGGUUCAGACCCGUUGACUACAACCUCUCUCACAAGCAUAACAUGAUCAAACCAGAACUCAUUGAGUGUUAAUCACAUAGUGAUGUGAACUAGAUUGUUGACUCUAGUAAACUCUUUGGAUGUUAGUCACAUGGUGAUGUGACCUGUGAGUGUUAAUCACAUGGUGAUGUGAACUAGAUUAUUGACUCUAGAUACCUGUGUGGAUACAUAGACAACACCAUGUCCCUAGUAAGCCUCUAGUUGACUAGCUCGUUGAUCAAUAGAUGGUUACGGUUUCCUGACCAUGGACAUUGGAUGUCGUUGAUAAUGGGAUCACAUCAUUAGGAGAAUGAUGUGAUGGACAAGACCCAAUCCUAAGCCUAGCACAAGAUCGUGUAGUUCGUUUACUAAGUGCUUUUCUAAUGUCAAGUAUCAUUUCCUUAGACCAUGAGAUUGUGCAACUCCCGGAUACCGUAGGAAUGCUUUGGGUGUACCAAACAUCACAACGUAACUGGGUGGCUAUAAAGGUGCACUACAGGUAUCUCCGAAAGUGUCUGUUGGGUUGGCACAAAUCGAGACUGGGAUUUGUCACUCCGUGUAAACGGAGAGGUAUCUCUGGGCCCACUCGGUAGGACAUCAUCAUAAUGUGCACAAUGUGACCAAGGAGUUGAUCACGGGAUGAUGUGUUACGGAACGAGUAAAGAGACUUCCCGGUAACGAGAUUGAACAAGGUAUCGGGAUACCGACGAUCGAAUCUCGGGCAAGUAACAUACCGAUAGACAAAGGGAAUUGUAUACGGGAUUGAUUGAAUCCUCGACAUCGUGGUUCAUCCGAUGAGAUCAUCGACGAGCAUGUGGGAGCCAACAUGGGUAUCCAGAUCCCGCUGUUGGUUAUUGACCGGAGAGUCGUCUCGGUCAUGUCUGCAUGUCUCCCGAACCCGUAGGGUCUACACACUUAAGGUUCGGUGACGCUAGGGUUAUAGAGAUAUUAGUAUGCGGUAACCCGAAAGUUGUUCGGAGUCCCAGAUGAGAUACCGGACGUCACGAGGAGUUCCGGAAUGGUCCGGAGGUAAAGAUUUAUAUAUGGGAAGUCUUAUUUUGGUCGCCGGAAAAGUUUCGCACUUUAUCGGUAUUGUACCGGGAAUGCCGAAAGGGGUCCGGGGGUCCACCAGCCCCGGGGUGGCCACAUGGGCUGUAGGGGUGUGCGCCUUGGCCUAUAUGGGCCAAGGGCACCAGCCCCAAGAGGCCCAUGCGCCAAGAGAUAAGGGAAAGGGAGAGUCCUAAAGGGGAAUGGCACCUCCGAGGUGCCUUGGGGAGGAUGGACUCCUCCCUGGCCGCACCCUUCCUGGGAGGAAGGGCCAAGGCUGCGCCCCCCAUCUCCCUUGGCCCUAUAUAUAGUGGGGGGAUGGAGGGCAGCAAUAUCUAAGCCCUGGCGCCUCCCUCUCCCUCCUGUGACACCUCUUCCUCCCCGCUUGCGCUUGGCGAAGCCCUGCCGGGAUCCCGCUACUUCCACCACCACGCCGUCGUGCUGCUGGAUCUCCAUCAACCUCUCCUCCCCCCUUGCUGGAUCAAGAAGGAGGAGACGUCGCUGCUCCGUACGUAUGUUGAACGCGGAGGUGCCGUCUGUUCGGCGCUAGGAUCAUCGGUGAUUUGGAUCACGACGAGUACGACGCCAUCAACCCCGUUCUCUUGAACACUUCCGCUCGCGAUCUACAAGGGUAUGUAGAUGCACUCCUCUCUAUCGUUGCUAGAUGACUCCAUAGAUUGAUCUUGGUGAUGCGUAGAAAAUUUUGAAUUAUUACUACGUUCCCCAACAGAAGGCGGGGCGGCGCCCCCCUUUCCUUCUCCCUCUCCUCCUUCCAUUCCCCCUCCUAGUAGGAGUAGGAAAGGGGGAGUCAUACUCCUACUAGGAGGAGGACUCCUCCUCCUGGCGCGCCCUACAGGGCCGGCCAGCCUCCCCCCUUGCUCCUUUAUAUACGGGGGCAGGGGGCACCCCAUAACACACAAGUUGAUCAUUGAUCUCUCGUAGCCGUGUGUGGUGCCCCCCUCCACCAUAAUCCACCUCAGUUAUAUCGUAGCGGUGCUUAGGCGAAGUCCUGCAUCGGUAGCUUCAUCAACAUCGUCAUCACGCCUUCGUGCUGACGAAACUCUCCCUCGAGCUCUACUGGAUCAUGAGUUCGCGGGACGUCACCGAGCUGAACGUGUGCUGAACACGGAGGUGCCGUACGUUCGGUACUGAGGAUCGGUCGAUCAUGAAGACGUACGACUACAUCAACCGUGUUGUCAUAACGCUUCCGCUUUCGGUCUACGAGGGUACGUGGACACACUCUCCCCUCUCGUUGCUAUGCAUCACCAUGAUCUUGCGUGUGUGUAGGAAUUUUUUUGAAAUUACUACGUUCCCCAACAGGAACAUAUCCUAGUCUAUCUCAUAUUUCCUAACUAAACAUAAUACUCAACAUCCCCCCGCAGUCACAACGGUAGCGACGCAGACGGUGAGACUGGAGAAGAAUCCGAUGGCAAGCCGACGGACACCCGCCCACCCACAGUCGUAACGAUCGAUGCAUCACGAAGUCGUGGCUGGAGUGGCAACCGACGAGGUUGCUCAAGCAAGGCGGUAGCCCUUUGUGCCGUUUAUCGAUGUAGCUGAUAACGUAUGUGGUGGAGAUGUGGUCGAGGUAGCCGUGCGAAGAAUGUCGUGGUCGAUGUCGAGUCGGGGUAGCUGGUGUCGAGGAAGUCGCCGUGGAGCCAUGGGCGCAAGGGGGCGCCGAGUUAGCAUGGGCGCAGUGGUGUCGAAGUACUGGUGCGCCUUGGAGAAGACAGUGUUGACGAGGCGUCGCGCUGGGGUUGCCAAACCCGGGGACACGUCAUAGACGGAGGCACGAAUCGGUGUUGCCAGCACCAGGCAUGCGUAGACGGUCGAAGAUGAAGUUGACGAAGCGCCGCACCAGGCUUGCUAGGCCCGGGGACACGUCGUGGACGAAGGCACGCGGCGGUGUUGCCAACACCGGGCAUGCAUAGACUGGGACUUGCACAAGCUGUACGCCAUGUCGAAGAGGUCAGAGAGGCCAGCAGAGAAGGACUCGACGACGGUUGCGGUGCCAAUCGGCGCGGGGCCAAUGUCACCCGCGGUUGUCGGAGUAGAUGAAGCGGUCGGGGUAGAUGACGGCGACGCUGGCGACGGGCUGGUGCUUGGACGAAAACGAAGGGGGUGGACGGGCGGCGGCGGCGGCUACGAAGGUAGCAGCGGCGGCGCCCAAAGAAGAGCGGCGGCAGCGGCCUGACGGCGGCGGCGGCUACGUUAGGAGUGCGGCGGCGGUGCUCGAAAUAGGCAAAGAACCCUAACAGCGUGACGAAGACCGGCGCAGACGGUGGCGUUCCCGCGCCAAGGAAGACGACAUGGCGCAUACCACGGGAGGUCAACGCGCGGUGACGGCGGAGCGGACCGCGGGCCACCGCGCUACGGCCCGAAGGGGCGACGCAGCAGCGGCAGGCGGUUCCAGGCGACGGCGGGAAGACCUCUGGGCGGCGGUGGGGACUGCGGGCCGCGACGCUGCGGCCCGAAGGGGCGACACAAUGGCGGUUUGCGAGUCGAUGCAACCGCGGGGACGGCCUCGGGGCGGCGACGGGGACCGCGUAUCGCAGUACUACGGCCCAAAGGGGCGACGCACGAGACGAUGCAGCCGCGAGAAGAACCACGGGGCGGCGGCGCUGCGGCCCGACGGGGCGACGCAGCGGCAGCCCAAUGCUCGAUCGGUGGAGAGGCGCGCUGAACUCGGGGACGAUCUUCACGGGACCUGCGGAGGCGUGCGUAACCGACGGGCCAGGUCGGUCGCGCGGCGUAGAUGAGGCGGAUCGCAGCGGCGAGCGGGUGAUCAAGCCGAUCGCCCGCGAGGUCGGGGACGCCGCUCGGUGGAGGCGUGGUGGCGACGGAGUCUGAGAUGAAGCCGACGAUGACGGACAGCGUGGGACGCCGUGCAGACGAGCUUAUCAGCACCGGCACUCGUGCUGCCAAAGCAAUGCCGGCGCCCGGGCAGCGAGGCCCGAGCGACCAACGGAGCAGCGGCGCCCGAGUUGAGGCAGCCGACGAGCCUGCCACAGCCGUCCCGAAGCAGCUGAGGUCGAGUCCGGCGUGGUAGACCGCCGGACCGCCAUGCAGACGCGACGGAGGCGGGUGAUGUGGAUCGAUGGGCGGGCCGGCGCGCGAGCGACAUCUAUGAUUGGACGUCCCAUGGCGCAAGGCCGGCGGGUCGGGGCGAUGCAGGUGUCCCGGUCGGAGCAGGGCGGUGAUGGCCGGCGCAGGGCGACGGGUGGACCGACGCGCGGACGGCGGCUGGCCCUGACGGGCCGCCUCGGCACGUGUGGCCGCCAGGUCGGAGGAGAGGCCGGCUGGUCGUGCCAGGGUAGUAGUAGAGGCGCUCGGGGUCGACGGCGGCGGUGGGCAACGCAAACCGAUCAAGAAUAGAUCGGAAAACCAAAAAGAAACCGCGCGAUCAAGAUGACCGGCGGGAGAGAGAAAACUCCGGAGCAAGGCUCGGGGAAAAGACUCUCUAGGGCAGCCGGUCAACACGACUGGCGGACGAACCCUAGGUACGGGCGGCGCGGCCCCCGGCAGCGGUCAUGGAGGCCGACCGCCCCGGGGGCGGCACGCGGGUGCGGAAGCGGCGGCGGCUAGGGUUUAGGAUUGACUUGCGAUAGAUACCAUGUUAGAAGGGAGAGGGAGGAUUGGUGGAAUAGUUCGUUGUAUUGCUUGAGCCUCGUGGGCAUAUAUAGGAGUACAUUGUCAACUUGGAGUACAAGACAAGCCCGAACAUAUCCUAAUCUAUCUCAUAUUUCCUAACUAAACAUAAUACUCAACAAAACCGGUUGAAGAUAGCCUGUGCUACCAUCUCCUAUCGGUUGCACCCAGUAGCCAAAUGCUCCAAGGAGCCCAUAGGAGUGAGUUGCAACCAUGUACGGAUCCAUGUCGUAGCUCUGAAAAUAACCUGCAAAAAGUUUAUCACAUAAAAUCUGUUAAAAAUCAUAUCGUUCCUGCAGUUCCAUAUAGCCCAAAGAAGUGCGCAUAUUCCAAUCCGAAUACUUGACGCAAUAUCAGGUUUCACUCCAUUUAGCCACGUCCCAAACAAUGCAUCUAUACUAACUGGAGGAAUAAUAUUAAAAGCUAUAUGAAUGGACCGCCAAAGUAACUUCGCGAGAGGGUAAUCGAUGAAUAAGUUUGAAUUGUUUUGUCGUGAAUACAAAAGCAACAUCGUGAACUGCCGACCCAUCGUCGCUUGAGUAAAUUAUCUUUGGUAAGGAUCACCUGCUUGUGUACAAACCACAUGAAAAUUUUGAUUCGCAAGGGCACCUUCACUUUCCAAAUAUGUAUCGAUCUUGGGAUUGGGCCAAAGUUAACGAGGUCUAAGUACACAGAUUUAACCGAAAACACCCCAUUACCCGUUAACUUUCAGUUCAAGGUGUCUCCCUGGUAUGAGAGUUGAACGUCCAUCAACCUCCGCACCAAGUGUAGCCAGGAAUUCCAUCUUUCCCCUACUAGAGCCCUCCUGAACUGGAUAUUCAAAGGUGCCGUUUGCAAUACUGUUGCCACGUAAUCCUCCUUACGUUGCACGGUAUGAUACAUGGAAGGGUACUGGAGAGCCAGCGGCAUGUCGCCUAGCCAUGUAUCCUCCCAAAACCUUGUUGUCGUUCCGUCCCUAACAACAAAUUUCACCCUAUGGAAGAAAGUCUCUUUUGUUCUCAUGAGUCCCUUCCAAAACGAUGAGUUAUUAGGUCUUGCGGUAACCUGAGCGAGAUUUUUAGAGUGUAAGUAUUUAUUCCUUAGAAUUUGUGCCCACAUACCAUCCGAUUCCUGAGAUAGCCUAUAUAGGUAUUUUCUCAAAAGGCAUUUAUUUGUAAUCUCUAGGUUCUCAAUCCCAAGACCCCCUGGUCUUUGGGUCGACAAAUAAUAUCCCAUCUUGCUAAGCGAUAUUUUGUCUUAAUCUCGUCUGACUUCUAGAAAAAACGAGAUCGAUAGAAGUCAAGUCUCUUUCGUACCCCUUUAGGUACCUCAAGGAAAGACAGAAGGAACAUCAGCAUACUAGUUAGCACUGAAUUGAUCAAUACUAGCCAUCCUCCAUAUGACAUAAGCUUACCCUUCCAGCAGCUUAGUUUUUUCUCAAAUCAACCUUCAAUACAUUUCCACUAGUUAUUAGUUAACUUCCUAUGAUGGAUUGGAAUACCUAGAUAGCUGAACGGUAAUGAUCCUAGUUCACAACCGAACAAUUGUCGAUAAUUUUCUUGUUCAUCUUUGGCCCUACCAAAGCAAAACAACUCACUCUUGUGAAAGUUGAUCUUUAGACCUGACAAUUGUCCAAGAGGCAAAAUACUAGUUUCAUAUUCCUCGCCUCAAGGUCAUGCUCCAUGAAUAUAAUAGUGUCGUCAGCAUAUUGUAGGAUAGAAAUGCCCCAUCCACCAAAUGGGGAACAAGACCACCUACCAGGCCUUUCUCCUUGGCCCGACCUAUGAGCACAGUUAACAUGUCUGCCACAAUGUUGAAGAGAAUAGGAGACAUCGGGUCUCCUUGUCUUAGGCCUUUAUGCAUCUAAAAAUAAUGACCAAUGUAAUCAUCCACCUUAAUCCCCACACUACCUUUUUGGACAAAAGAAUCCACCUGAUUCCUCCAUGCCCCAUUAAAACCCUUCAUGCGCAUGGCCUGCUGUAAGAAUGUCCAUUUGACCUUAUCAUAUGCCUUCUCAAAAUCCAUUUUGAAGAUCACCCCAUCUAGUUUCUUCGAAUGGAUUUCAUGUAAAGUUUCGUGUAAGAUUACAACCCCUUCUAGGAUAUGUCUUCGAGGCAUAAAAAUAGUCUGACUGGGUUGCACCACCGAAUGGGCAAUCCAUGUCAAACUAUUAGUGGCUACUUUCGUAAAGAUCUUGAAGCUCACACUCAAAAGACAAAUUGGCCUGAAUUGCUCAAUGCGAAUUGCUUCCUCUUUCUUUGGCAACAACGUUAUCAUGCCAAAGUUGAGAUGAAACAGUUGCAGAUGGCCAUUAAAGAAGUCAUGAAACAUAGGCAUAUGGUCAUCCUUCACAAUAUGCCAACAUUUCUUAUAGAAUUUUGCCGGAAACCCAUCUGGUCCCGGUGCUUUGUUCGGCUUCAUCUAAGAGAUCGCCUCGAAAACCUCCUUCUAGUAAAAGGCGCAGAUAAAAUCUCAUUCUCAUCUGACCGCAAUUGAGGUAUGUCCCCAACUACAAGCUCAUCUAGGGACACCGUCUUGUCUGCCAUAGGCCCAAAUAAUUGCUUGUAAUAAUUGGAGAUAUAUAACUUGAGAUUCUCGUGACCCACAACAGUUCCUUUAUCUUGCUCAAGCUGGAUGAUUUUCUUUUUCCUUUGUUUGCCAUUUGCAAUCAUAUGAAAAAAAUUGAGUGUUGUCAUCCCCUUGGACGACCUUAAGAACCUUAGCGCGUAAGGCCCAUUUCAUUUCUUCUUCUCUAAGAAGAGCACGCAGUUUCAACUCUGCUUCGGACUAAACAGCUUGUUCUAUUUCAUCCAGCAGAUUCGUUUUCGCUCUCAAGUCCAGUGCCUGAAUCAACUGGAUAAGCUGUUCUUUCUCUUGUUUAUAUAUCCCGCUUUAAUUUCUGGCCCAACCCAUACUGGAUCUACCUGCAACAGGCUUCUUUCUUAAGCCAGCAAAUAAAUUCGCUAGUGAAACAAGGUAUGAAUCAAAUAGCAUGGAACCGAUCUGAUGCAAUUCCUAGUAUUUUAUAAUCUUGACUAUCCAUCUAUCAACAACACAACAUCUCCUGCCAGCACUGAGCAAGAACAUCAUAUCCAGUACAUAGGAUGUGGAUUGAUGAAAAGAAAGAAUAUGUAGCCUUUAUGAGGAGUGAUGCUAGCUACAACUACCCAAAGAUUCUAUGAAGACUACACGAGGCAAGACCGGUGCUGGACAAAGCUAGCAGGCCAUACCUGCUUUCUUCAAGUUCAUCCUAAUCUUCUCCGAUGCGUCGCCGUCCUCCGUUUGAUAGGAACUAGGGUGGAGAAUUUUCUGGGUGGGGUGAGUAGUACUGUGCGACCGAAAUGCUAUUUAUAGCCCACGGCAACUACACGAAAGCAGGACACCUGUUGCUGGUACCACCUAAGCAAAGGCAGGUGGAUUAUAUCGGUUUGACAUAGGUUGGUUACCCAACCUUCUACACUACCCUGGUUUGUACAAUGUCUAUCCACUCGUUGCCCAAAUAUUUUGCAACUAGGCAACAUAAUACUUUGCUCAUAUAACUUACCGAUGAUUUGGUUACAAUUUACCGGAAGUCUUGUAUAUAUCUAUUCCUUCUCCUUUUACCAAUCAAAUAUCAGAUGUAUACAAAUCAUCCGGUAAGUUAUAUGAGCAAAGUAUUCUGUUGCCUAGCUAGAAAUUUACAGAAACGUCUCCUUCCUAGCUACAGAAGCAUACGGGCCUAACCUACAAGUUGACCUUUGCUAAGCAACGAACAAUGCCACACGCACGUGAAAAAUCAAAUCAGCAAGUAAACUUCAGAUACUUCUGUAUAUAACCGAAUAGACAAUUAAGUUUCCAAUACAAGCAUGUGUUUCUAGACCACGUUAGGCAGAACAAAACCACAAAUUCACAAGAUAAUAGAGGGGCCAGCUCCCUCCCGAUUACAAACCAUUUAACUUGUCUGCAGUGCACUAUUAUUUGAAUCCAAAAGCAUCUUUUUGCAGUUUUAACAGGGGUAACUUAAGAAGUACCGGAAUUACAGAGGAACUUUAAAUUAGAUAUGUUUAUAGUUCUAUAAUUCUAUUCAAUAUGAUGAAAAAAAUUAGUGUGUAUAGAUUACUUUGAUUUUGUAUUGUACUACUCCCUCUGAUCCAAAAAAAAUGUUGUGGCUUUAGUUAUACUUUAAGUGCACCCCACCUUUAUUUUCUUUGGUCCUCCGCCACUGUCCACAUUGUUUCUGAUACUCACAUGACUAUACAUGAUAAUUAUAUGAUACCACGAUCUGAUCAUGCGCCAAGCUCCAAAUAGACUCGGGUGGAAGGGAAACAUACAGGCAUUCAGAUGUUGGCAUGAAUUUCGAGUACAGGCUUUCGAAACCCAGGUCAUUCAAACGAAGUACCUCAUGAACUGCACACCACAUGUACAUAGGAAAUUACAGAUAACGACUACAACUACCAAAAAAUAGUGGAAAACUGAAACGAGUUAAGUUGUUUGUCUGUUUGAAACGAGAUCUAUCAAGGGUACCGCAUAAUAGUUUACGAAUUUCAAACCUCAGAACAUACUGAUAGAUUUGUAGCUGUUACAAACUGAAUCUGGUAGAAACAACAUGAAAAAUAUAUGAGUUGGUCCUAGUAGGAACCAGGGACCAAAUUUAAUUAGAUAGAAGUGAUGCUUGAAUCAUGGUUGACCAGCCCACUACCUCAUGCUGGUAGUCAGUAAGAUCCAUGUUCUUUUAAUAGAAACAACAUCCAGUUGAUUUGACCAAUGUUCAAAAAAAAAGUUGAUUUGACCAUUAUUUCAAUGAACAAACUAGAAAUAGUAUAAGUCUCGAAAUAUGUAUGAUCUGUAUUCAAGAUGAAAGCAUACGUACCCACCUAUAUGACCAAGAUUUGAGACCCUACAAUCUAGGAGAGGACGUACAAUACAACUGGGUACAUGUAUACCGAACUGUACAAUACAAUUGUGUUUAUCACUUGGCACUUCUCCUAAACUGACUGUUCAACCCAACUACUCCCUUCGUUCCUAAAUAUAAGUCUUCAUAGAGAUUUUACUAUGGACCACAUAUGAAUGUAUAUAGAUGCAUUUUUAGAGUGUAGAUUGAUUUAUUUUGCUCCGUAUGUAGUCCAUAGUGAAAUCUCUACAAAGACCUAUAUUUAGGAACGGAGGGAGUAGUUUAGUUCGUUUUCCAGGAAUCCUGGAGCAAAGUUCGCUUCUAUUAAUGUGCCCAAGCAGCUUCAGAUUUUUCAGCUCCCUCUUCAUUUACUUACAAUAGGGACAAAGUACUAUGAAUGAGUGGUGCAAACAAGUGGUUCGGAGUAUGGGUGUGUUAUCGUUUUCUUCCCCUCUUUGGACUCCUUCCUAUUGGAUUGUCAAACCAAUUUUUAAGAUUACAGUCCAAUUUUACUCGGAAACCAUUUUUCUUCAAUUUUCGAGGCAUUUCAAUUGAAAAAAUAAGACCACCACAGUUUAUUCGAACUGUUUUCCUACACCCCUAAUUCCCUAGGACUUUUAGCUAGAGCAACUCCUUAAAACAAUUCUCUCAAAAUUGAGAUUAGAUGCUUUCCUGCACUCCAAUUCUAUAGGACUUUUUAGCAAGAACAGAGUCCUCGGAUUUUAUUUUAUUUUUGUCUACGCGACAACAUCAUGCAAUCAAUAAACCUGCCAUGGCAAGUUACUCUUAAUGAAAGAUUGGAAUCCCCUUCCAAGAAAAGAAAAAAGAAGAGGAACACAAAAGAAAGUGUGUUGUUUUGUUUGAUGUGUUCUGGAUCAGUAGCUGUAUACCCUUCAUAAUUUCUGAAAACCUUGAAGAUGGUGUGUAUAUACAUGACUGAGUAACAGAGUACAUCCAGAAAUUAGUGAAGUUUCACCACAAAGACGAACGUUCAAGGAUAUACAAUAUAUACACAUUACGACAGAAGCAAAGUAUCAAACGACAAUGCAGCAAGAACAUACUCCUAUUACCAGAAUGGCAGCUGCAAUGCACCAGGUCUGCUACUGCUUCUCAUUGCAGGACAGUUGCCCAAAGGCGUCCCUGAUCGCCACUACGGCUGCCAGGUACUUGCUCCUCUGUUGAAGAUACAUUCGUUCUCUCACCAAUCGCUGUGCUGUGUCAUCUAACCCGAGCAACCAUUGCUGCUCUGAACGAUCUUCGACAAACAACCGAGCGACGACCAAGGAGAAAGACUCCGGAGAAUGCAUCCUGCUGAGCUGCCUAGCCUUGUCUCCCAUUAGUUUCCAGCUGAGCUUGUCUGAAAGCAUUGUCACGUCCUUCAGGUGCCCUUCCACCUGCUGCAUCAGGCACCCCAGGUUACUUGAAUCAGGUGAGUCUCUGUCUUUCAGUACCUGGACUCUUGCGAUGACAUAGGGCUUUGUUCUGACGACCUCCAGGACACGGAACCGGUCACCGCCGACGCACGUCAGGAAGAAGCGGUCAUCGACGAGCUUAUCGCACUGAACGAUAUGGACCAUGCAUCCAACAUCGGCCAUCCUACUAUCUUUCCUGCUGGAGUAGAUGAUACCAAAGCUGUGACCUUCCUGGAGUAGGAGUGUCUGCAUCAUGAUGCGGUAUCUGAACUCAACCGUCUGCAGCUGCAGCGUCUGGCCAGGGAAAACGACCGAUUGGUACAGGAGUAUGGGGAUCUCAGUAGUCUGAUGAUCCUGAUGGGACUGGCCAACCUCGUCGACGCUGCCAUGCGGAUUGGCUCUGCAUUUCAGGACUGGUGAACUCUGAAGGCGAUUCUUGGUGGCGAUUCUUGCUUGCGGUCUUGAGUGAGGUUUUGGCUGAUAAAAGUAAGACUUGGAGUUGGAGGGACUGAAGCUGCAACUGUCUGGCCUUGCUAAACUGGGUGGAGCUUGCAGAGUCUUAAAGGCCAUGUACUUGAAGUCCUCUUUCAGUGAUGAGCCUGUUAAGAUAUAUCCAAAGACAAAGAAAGUGAUGUGUUCAGUAACCCUCUGGCUGCAACACGAGUGCCUUGUACCCAGUUAUAUGGUUACUGAGCAACCUUCAAACAUCAACAAGUAACGGAAUUCAAUUUCAGAUAUUAAACACGUGCAACAGGUAAACAAAUAUUAAAUCGACACGCUGAGAAAGAUGUUAACACUUUCCUGAAAAGGCAUUAACACUCCCAUAAUUGUAGUGAAAAGGCUCUGUAUCAGUUACUGGUGAGUUGGAUAAAAGCUUCUACUGUCUCCAAAGAACAUCACUCACUAGAGAGUACAAUUGUACAAAUACCAAUCAUCUGAAACAAAGUUUAUGCUCAUGAUCCCGGCAGCUGUAAGCCUGUAACUAGAGUUCUAGACCAGCUUGUGAUGGAACAGAGUCUGUGAAAGUGCCCCCUAGUAGUACUGUAUUUCCUAACAGAAGAUAAACGAAGAAAGAAAGAACUAAUAUAAACCCUGGCUUUCAGAGACGCAGUUCGUGGCACCAGUUUGACCAGAUGAUCUAGCUGAGGAGGAACACCAUGGGGGAUGGAUAAGACGAGGAAAAGCCGCCGGAUCAUAUCUUCAUAUCACAGCCAACAAAGGGGAGGAAAAACAAGCCGUACAGGCGGAGAAGAAAGCGAUCAACAUGCAGGAAGAGGAAGG